AAUCUUCAAUCUAUUCCACUGUUGUCCAGGGAAGUAGAAUUACUGGCUUCAAUGUACUCCACUGUAACCACAGGGAGGUAAAAUCUGCCAUUUUUUAUCUGUUCCACUACUGCUUGGGGAGACAAGAUCUGAAAUCUUCAAUCUAUUCCACUACUGUCCAUGGAAGUAGAAUUACUGGCUUCAAUGUACUCCACUGUAACCACGAGGAGGUAAAAUCCGCCAUCUUUGAUCGUUCUACUACUGCUUAGCGAGACAAUAUAUGAAAUCUUCAAUCUAUUCCACUGCUGCCCAGGGAAGUAGAAUUAUUGGCUUCAAUGUACACCACUGUAACCACAGGGAGGUAAAAUCUGCCGUCUUCGAUCUACUUCGCUAUCUAUGCAGGAAGGCAAGAUCUAAAAUCUUCAGUCUAUUCCACUGCUGCCCAGGGAGAUAGAAUUACUGGCUUCAAUAUACUCCACUGCAACCUCAAGGAGGUAAAAUCUGCCAUCUUUGAUCUGCUCCACUACUGUUUAGGGAGGCAAGAUCUGAAAUCUUCAAUCUAUUCCGCUGCUGCCCAGGGAAGUAGAAUUACUGGCUUCAAUGUACUCCACUGUAACUUCAGGGAGGUAAAAUCCGCCAUCUUCGAUCUGCUCCACUACUGCUUAGGGAGGCAAGAUUUGAAAUCUUCAAUCUAUUCCGCUGCUGCCCAGGGAAGUAGAAUUACUUGCUUCAAUGUACUUCACUGCAACUUCAGGGAGGUAAAAUCCGCCAUCUUCGAUCUGCUCCACUACUGCUUAGGGAGGCAAGAUCUGAAAUCUUCAAUCUAUUCCGCUGCUGCCCAGGGAAGUAGAAUUACUGGCUUCAAUGUACUCCACUGUAACCACAAGGAGGUAAAAUUCACCAUCUUUGAUCUGCUCUACUACUGCUUGGGGAGACAAGAUCUGAAAUCUUCAAGCUGCUCCACUGCAACCGAGGGAGGCGAGGUUGGUGUCCUCAAUCUGCUUCACUGUCGAUGCAGGAAGGCAAGAUUUGCUAGCAUCACUGAUCUGCUCUCUGGGGAACAUGACCUGUAUAGUUCACUUUAUGAACCUAAUUAUGCCUAGUGAUUAGGAUUUCAUGAUCAGAAUGAAUCAAAUGCUCCUAACUAGACAUGUAUGAAUGACAUUUGAAUGAAUGCAUAAUGUCAUGAAAAUGAUAUUUUAACGUUUGAGUUAUCAUUACUCCAAGUUUAUUAAGGUCUUAUCGCUUAAUGUACUAUAGCGCCUUUAUGCUCGGCUGACGAACCCAAUAAGCACUUGACCAGAUUGCCCCCCACUGUAAACCUCCAAGUUUGAUCCACUGGGACGCAAAAUUUGUACCAUCUUUUCCCGUUGUAACCCAAGAGUAAAAGAUUUGGCCUUUUCUCAAUCCUCUGUUAUCACAAUUCAAGGAUGCAGGAUGUGAAACUUUUUGGUCUCUUACACCAUUCCCAGGGUGUUGUACCAAAUGCUCAUGCACAAAUGAAGAAAAUUCUUCUCCAAGAACAACUUCUUCUUAUUAUUCAGUGAUCAUUGCUUGCUUAUUCAUUUAAGUUUUGUCACCAACACAACAUCUUGCCAUUUUGUUCAAUUAAUACUUUAGACAAGAAAAUUCAAAGGGAUAGUCUUUAAUUUAGACUCUUCUUUAUCAGAUUUCCAACCUGGUGCGUUCUAAACAAUAGUCUUGUUUGAGGUUCCUAUAUUAUUCAGAAACUUCUAGAGUAAUAUGCAAAACUUCCCUUGUGAAAGUUUUAUUAGCCCAUUAAUCAUUAUUCUAAUGCAACAUGCUUGCAAAAAAAGAUCAUGGAUAAGAAUAAAGUUGGUUCUGAGCAUAGCUUGAAAUGAAUAAGCUAUCAAAGAUAAUAAAGAUGGGUAACGAAGAAAUUAAUUUAGGAAUGCAUAACUUGGAAAUGAAUGAAGUGUUCCAAGAAUAACAAAAAUAGUAUAAGGAUUAGGUGCCCCAGAUAUCGCAGCUUGAACUUUGCUGUAUAGACUUUCUGAAGACUAUUCUGAGUUUAACAUGUGUUUAGGAGAUCUACAGUACUUUAUCGAUGCCCCAAAAUGUCACCUACUCUUUUUUGUUGAUUCAGGUAUAGCAAGACCACUGCAUGCCCCAUGCUGAUCAGUAUUUGAGCUACUUCGAUAAUCUCAUACCCCAUUCUGAUCAAUAUUUGAGCCGCCAUUUUCGGGUUUUCAACUCAAAUCCCCUUUGCUCUAAGGCGCCCUUUGCGGGUUUUCACCUUAGCCUCUCUAUUUUUUUCAUUUUCAUCUUUUCAUUUUUUUUACAUCACUUUUUUUUUGGACUCAAAAUUCCCUUUGCGGGUUUUUAUAUUGGUCCUCUCCUUCUUUAAGAGGAGUAUUUCCUGGCUGAAUCUGAGUUUACAGGACUUUACCGGUUUAUCGUUCAUCUCGCUCAAAAUCAAAGCUCAUUUGGAAAAGACCAUCUCUAUAUCAUAAGGUUCUUCCCAAUUUGACAUCCGUUAUAUUUUUUGUAGAGUGAGGAUCUUUUUCAGCAUUACGUCACCACCGUGGAAUUCUCUGGGACAAAUCUUUUGCUAUUGGCUCGCAUCAUUCAUUUCUUGGUACAUCUGACCAUGAUGAAUAGUUUCUAGCCUUUUUCUUCAAGUAGAUUCAACUAAUCGUAUCGGGAUUGGAUCUUCAUCCUACUUCAGCUCAGUCAAAACCCGAAGAGAAAGAAUUUCAACUUCAAUGAAAAAAAUUGUGAUAAACUGAAAAGAGUGGCAUUGCCCCAGUAGAGUUUUCACUGCACCAUUCAUGAUAUUCACCUUGAACAUACUGCAAAUUUCUGAUAUCGUGCUGUUGUUCAGAUUGCCAUAACAGCGCUUAAACCGGGCACAUCCUGGUAUAACCAUGCGAAGGCAUCUUUGAAUGCUUGAAGUAACUCAGCAACGUCUUGCUUUGUUUUUUCGAUCGUGCAUGUUCCCUCAAGGUCACAGUUUUUAUUGUCUCCUCAUGAGGUAAAAUUUCCUUCCUGUUCUACCAUCCUUAAUAAGUCCAGAAAUAAGCUACAAUCCAUGUCAUCUUCAAAGUUGUGAGAUCCCUCUAAACACAUGUCUCACUCAAAAGGAGAUUUUGGGUCUGUUGCAGCAUCACUCAUGUCAUUGAUAUUUGGGGACCCAUAGUGGGUACCGAAGAAUAUACAAAAGAAUGUAUGAGUAAUAUGAAUAAAUGAAUGAAUAAUUUGGCAGAAAAAAUUUGAAAGAAUGGAAAAAAACGUAAAGAAUGAAAGAACAUUUGCUCAAAGAUGAUUGCAAUAAUGUAUUUCAUUAAAAUAAUAAUGUUUAGACGUGAGCCUAUCUCACAAAGAAAUUCUUAUUGCUUCUAGGCUGAAAGCAACAAGUGCGUUCUGAACAUUACUCUAACAGACUCUGAAUACUACAAGGUUUCCUCUGCAGUCCAACUAUUUAGAACAUUCCCAGGUUUAUAAAGGGCGAACAUCUAACAAGAUCUCUUCUCCAGUUGUUUCUUCGUGUUCGGCACUGAUGUGAACAUUUCCCAACAUUUCUUCAUUCAUCGCAGUCCCUUCAUUAUCCGUAUGAUUGAGUAGCGGGUUUUCUGUACUGAAUGAAUCCUCAAAUUUGACAAUGCCCAUAUUGAUAAACCUUUCGACUAGCUUUCUAAAGGCAGUGCAAUUUUCUAUAGAAUGCCCCGUAAUUCCCGCAUGAUAGUCACAUUGUGCAUUUGUGUCGUACCAUUUGGGGUACAGAGGUUGUAAAGGCUUCAAGUAGAAAGGGGAGACAACAUGUGCGUCAAAUAAACUUUGAUACAGCUCCUGGUACGACAUUGGGAUUGGUGUAAAUUGAGACUUCCUAAUAUUUUGCUUUGUGCCAGAUUCUUGUCUUGGGGGGAUCUGAUGGCCAAUAGUAACCGUCUUUGGCUGGUUUGCGGUAAUCGGCUUUGAAUAACUCUCGUUAUACCUACCCACAUUAUUCACCUCAUUUUUCCUCUUCCUCGAGACUUUUGAAGUAUUGUCUUGGGAGUUCCACUCUUGCCCAUUCCAUUUGCAACGAUAUUCAAAUUGUUUUGAAAACUCUACUUUCGCAUGUUUUGUUUCUGCUAGAUCAUCGAGGACAACAGGAUUAGUUAGAUUGCCCUUAAGAUUGGAACCUGAGCCUGUCGCGAAAUUCACGGGUGUCGAGGUAUUGGUCUAGUACUGUGGUCGAAUGUUAACAAUUACCCUUUGUGGAUAUGUGUUUGGUUGUGCUUGGAUGUUUGUUGAGGUAAAGUCUAGAAGAUAUGCAGGGCCUUCAUUAUCAUUCCCAAAGUGGACCACUGGGUUUUUUCCUUUUCCUAACCUCAUAUCCAAUAACUGGGUUAGCUGGCUCAUCAAAUUUCUUUAGAUAUCUAGCAUCUAAUCCUUUAUAUCUUGUUGAAAUUUGGCCAAUUGCUCUAGCAUCUGUAUUUGCAUCAGCUCUAAUCUCUCCAACCUUUGGUCCAUUCUUUUAGUUUCUGUUCGGGUACCGCAGGAAUGUUGGUUUUUAGCUGAAAUAAAUUUACUCAAUUAGGGUCUUUUAAUGGUCCUUAAUGCACGUAAUGUUGUGUAAUGCAAAUGCAUGAAGUGAAUGCGAAAAGAGACGUUGAUUUUUGGUUCAAUUCUAUUAGAACAACUUUACUAAAAAACAAAUCUCUUUACAUAAAGCAGAUAUAUGUACGAUUUUGCCCUUAUAGGCGGAGUCAUUCGAUCCUCUUCUUCAUUCAAGCAUUAAGAUAAAUCUCACGAACUCUUCAAAAGGGAUGUCUCUUCUAUCUCCUUUUUACUUGAUCCGGGCCGUGACUCGUUGCUCCUUUAUCAUCGUGAUGCUCGUUGCCUUCCCUUUAAAAAAAAUUUCAGCGGCUCUCGAAUAAUCUUCGUCAGCUUGAGUCUUCGGGUAACGGAGCAAUGGUUGUGUAGUCCUCCAUUAAACUAUUAUCUUUCUCUUGUUGUGUUUUUUCGGAACAUAUUCGGGCAACCGUAUUAUUUUCCACUUUAUCAAGAAACCCAUUUCCUUAUGACAAGUUCUCUAUUUAACAACCGAACGUGAAUCAACACCUCUUUUUAUGAUGAAAAUGCAAUGCAAUCAUGAUGUCAUGCAAUCAAAACAAAAUAAACCCAAGUCAGCAUCACACCAAAAAGAUAUAAUCCAAUACAAACAUGAAAUAACAAGAGCAUUUAUUCAGGAAUCCCUUAGGGUUUGGUAUAGCUCUACCUAGGGCAAGUUCCUAAAGUUCACUAUAUGAGACUUAGUUUCUAGAGUAAAGGUACCCGAACCAGUAGAUUCCUCGAUCCUCACCCAUUAUAGGCUCAUGUGGAUCGAGUUCAGUUCAGGGGGACACAUUUCCCUAUGGCUGUACGGAGAUGAAAAUCUCACGAAGACAUAGGUACGGAUGUAUCCCGGAAGUGGUCCACUACCCUGCACGGAAGUGAAAACCUCACGAAGGACUAGUUUCUUGCUCCCACUUAAAGGGUAAAAUGCAAAAUGCAAAUGCAAAGUUGCCAACAAACCAAAAACUCAAUGAAUACGACGGGAACUCAUGAAUUUUUUUAAAAAACUUUUGAUUUUCGACACAAAGACAAAUAUAAUCAGUCUAUGGCUCGACUCUCGAAGUCCCCAGUGGAGUCGCCAAGCUGUCGAAACCGUUUUUUUGAAAACAAAAAUUUAAGUUGUCGACUUUAAAAACAAAACUGGAGUCGCCACCGAUCAUUUAUUAAGGUGUGAUCAGCUCACCUUAAAAAUUAUGUUGGUCUACGAAUUUUGAGAAAAUGAGUUCGGAAGUCAGUUACGCACGAGGAAGGGUUAGCACCCUCGUAACGCCCAAAAUCGGUACCAAAUUGAUCAUUUAAUGUCUUAGUGUUGAAGGUUAAAAAGAUUUUAAAAUCAGCUCAAAUGAUGGAAUUUGAAAAAGAAUAAUCAACUGUUCAAGUCAUGUAAAGAAAUCGAGUCCUAAUACGUUAGGGUACAAUUCCUUAUAAUCCCCGAACUUUGAAUAUCACUUUUGUUUUAUGCGAAAAUUUUCAUUUCGAGAAAGUAACAGGCCACACCCAAUACGUUAGGGCACGACAAGUUAAGUUCCCAAAAAUGAUUUUUAUGCUCAUGCACUUUGAAUAAAGAAUAUUCUCGGUCAUUUAAGAUUGACAAAGAAAAUCAGAACCCAAUACAUUAGGGCUCAAUUUCCCUCGAAAAUCCCAAACUUCGAAUAUUGCUUUUAUUAAAAAAAACCGUUGAAUCAAGAAAAUAACAUUGAUGUAUAGUUAAAACCAAAAUGUAUUUUCUAAAAGGGUAUGUUAAAGUUAAUGUACAAUAUGAAACAAAAAUUUUAAUGUAAAACAUAUAUGAGUAUGUAUUUACAAAAUAUAUAUACAUGUACAAUAUACAAGCAAAUUCGAAAACACGAGUGGGCACAUACUUAGCACACAAAUAUAAGUGUACAUAUGAAAAGAGUAAGUGAAGAAAUAUAUACAACAAACUUAUAUAUAUUUACAAAGGCAAGAAAAAUGAAAUGUGUACAUAUUUACAAAGGCAAGAAAAAUGAAAUGUAUAAGUAUAUAUACAUAGGCCAAUCGUGAAAAUUCGCAUAUGUAUAUAUUCAAAUACAUAUAUAUAUGUACAAUAUGUAUAUAAAAUAAUGGGAUACAUGAACUAAAAAAUAUUUAUAAUAAUUUAAAAAUGAAAAGUGUAUGUAAAAAAUUUUUUUUAAAAAAUGUAUGUAUGUAUAUUUAUAUGUAUAAAAAACUAUGAAAACAAAGUAAUAAUACAAUGUGCAUACAAUAGAUAUAUAUAUAUAAUAUUAAAGUAUAUACGUAUUAACAUGCACAUGCGCAUAUAAGCAUAAUAAUAUAUAAUAUUAUAGUAAAAUAAUUUUAAAAAAUACUAAUAAUAUAAAUAACAUAAACAAAAAAAAUCUAAAUACAAGAUUAAAGGUUAAAUUGCGAAUAAGCAAAAUUUAAAUGCUGAUUUCAAAAAAAAUAAAAAGCAAGGGGGGAGCAAAUUCAAAAGCACGCAAUAGGAGGAGGACCGAUCGAGCAAUUUUACCCAGUUCCCAAGACGCUGCGUAGCGAGGGACUAAAUUGAAACGAAAAUCAAAUACGCAGCCCAAUUUAAAAAAUGUAAAAUGGGUCUAAUUGGGGUGCGCUGUAAAAGGGAGGGACCGUCUGCGCAAUUUCCCCUUUAAAGCCCAACGCGCGGAUCCUCCGGGUCGGGUCAGGUCAACACGCGGAUCUUUCCCCCCAAAACGACGCCGUUUUGAAAUAUUAUUUAAAAUGAAUUUUCCCCUUUCAAAAUUAGUUUCCACCGAAAGGGGAAAGAAAAAAACAAAGGCCCCCUGCUUUGCUCUGCUAGGGUUUGGGACUCUAGCGUCAUCGCGCAGCCUUUCGCCGGUGACCGUGCUCCGAUCAAGACGGAGAGGGCCCCCAGUCGGCGUCUUCGACGAAAGAGGUGAGAUUUUCGCAUUUUUGUAUUAUUUAUUUUAAAAAAGAAAAAAAAUGAAUAACGAAAGGAAAAAAAAAUAGGAAUCUGAUUUCACCUUUGAAAAAAAAUCUUUGUAUUUCUCAGUAUUUUUCUCUAUUUUCCCUAUUUCUCCGUUAUCCCCUUUUACAGUGCUUGAAAUCGGCCUUUUAUAGCCGAAAUGGAAAAGAAAAGAAGAAAAAAAAUCAAAAGGAAUCUAUUCUGUUAUUUGUUGGCAUAUUGCUACCCGAUUUUUGCUAUUCUGUUCUGCUUUCUCUUCUUUGCUGUGUUGUUUAUUGUUUGUUGUUGCAGGUACAACGUGGCAUGAAACAGCGCACGCUGGGAGGGUCAUGGUGCGAGAUUCGCGGCGGCGUGCGAGGACGAGUGGCGGCGGCGUUGAAGCAAAUAGGCUCCAAGGGUUUCUAUUUUGCUUUGGGCUAUGCUGGAAUUGGGCUGAAUUUUUGGGUUUAGUCUGUAGAUGGGUAAUUGGGCCUGCUGUGUUUUUAUUUUGUAUAGGCCAGGGCAGAAAAAUUGGGUAUUACACCUCUGUAAAAUAUUCUCCUUCCUUUUGCUUGUAUCCUUUUGCAACCAGUCUUGCCUUGUACUUGUUGAUAGAGCCAUUCGGAUUCAUCUUUGUCUUUUACACCCAUUUGACUCCAAUUGAAUUCUUGUGCGGCGGCAAAUCUGUAAGCUCCCAUGUAUCAUUCAAUUGAGCAAAUCUCUUCUUUCAUGCUUUCCUCCAUAUUUCUUCUUGAUAUGCAUCAUCAAAAGAAAUCGGAUCUUCUCCUACAAAGAAGGCAAAGAAUACAACAUCAUUUUACACAACUUCAUCAGUUACAUCAUAUAACUCUUGGAUGCUUCUCAUUUUUCGGAUCGGGCUGGAUGAAGAAGAAUUUGAUGAAGAACUUGGAGAAGUAGGAAGAUUUCCUACUUGAGCAUCAUCUUCAACAUUCUCAAUUACUGCCUCUUCUUCUUCUUCUUCAAGUUCAAAAGGAAAAAUUGGCAAAUUUUUCUUUUAAACUUCCAUAUAUUCAAACAUAGAAUUUUCAUCAAACCGAACAUCUCGGUUUAUCACAAUCUUUUUUGUCACCGGAUUUUACAACUUGUAUGCCUUACUUCUUUCACUAUAGCCAAUGAAAAUGCAUUUCUCUGACUUUUCAUCCAACUUGCUUCUCAUUGCAUCUGGAAUAUGAAAGUAAGCAACACUCCCAAAUACUCUAAGAUGUCGAACACUAGGCUUUGUACCAUACCAAGCCUCAUGUGGUGUGCAAUUCUCUAAGCUUCUUGUCGGCGAUCUAUUGAUAAGAUAAAUUGCACAGAAAACAGCUUCAGCCCAAAAUCUUCUUGAUAACCUCUUCUUCUUAAGAAGACAUCUAGCCAUUUCCAUAAUUGUUCUAUUCUUUCUUUCACACACACCAUUUUGCUGAGGUGUAUGGCGGAAUGCCAUUUCAUGCCGGAUGCCACUAUCUCGGCAAUAUUUCUCAAAUUCUUUUAAAAAAUAUUCACUUCCACGAUCUGUCCGUAAGGUGUUAAUUUUCAGCCCAGUAAAGUUCUCCACUUCUGCCUUGAAAUCUUUGAAUCUCUGAAAAGCCUCUGAUUUUUCUUUUACACAAUACACCCAUAACUUUCUUGAGUAAUCAUCAAUGAAAGAGAUAAAGUAAUGAUUACCUCCCAAAGAUGAAACUGUCAUUGGACCACAGAGAUCCGAGUGAAUAAGUUGCAAUGGUCUUCUUGCUUUCCACGAGGGUUGAGAAGGAAAAGUAAUUUUGUGUUGCUUUCCAAGUUGACAUGCUUCACAAAUAUCAUCAAGCCGAUUGAUUUUUGGUAAACCUCUGACCAUCAUCUUCCUUGAAAGCAUCUCUAAAUUUCCAUAGUUCAAAUGUCCAUAUCUAUCAUGCCAUAACUUUGAAACUCCUUUAUGAGCACCAAUAAAACAAGACAUAUUCUGAUUUUGAAUGGUGAGAGAGAAAAGAUUAUUUGAUGCCACUCCAACUCUAGCAACAACCUGAUUUUUCCUUGAUAAAUAGCAAGCCAUGUCACGAAAAUGAAUAUCAUACCCCUUCUUCAAAAGAUGCCCAACGCUAAGUAGAUUAUUUUUAAGACCAGGAACAAAAUAAACUUCAGACAUUUUCUCUACCCUUCAUUGCUUUGUUUUGAACUCCAACUCACCAACACCGCUAACUUUGUAAGCCUUGCCAUCUCCUACUUUUACUUCUCCAUAAUCAGAUUCAAAGAACUUUGAAAAUAAAUUUUUGUUACCUGUCAUAUGCUUGCUAGCACCACUGUCUAUGUACCAGACAUCAUCAAUCUCUCCACCAUGAGACACGAGCAACAAAGUUUCUUACUUUUUCUCUUGAUUAUUUUGUACUAUAUUAGCUUCAUUUUUCUCUUCUUUCUUGUACCAGCAUUCACUUGCCAAAUGACCAGGUUUGCGAUAAUGAUAACAUUCAAAAUAGCCACGAUCUCUUCCUCUUUGAUUGCCACGUCCACGUCCUCUUUGUGAUCCUCUAAAAUUCUGACUUUGGUUGGCUUCUUUCCAUCCAUUCUCCUUGCAUCUUCACCUCUUCCACGAGUAUUUGAGCCUCUUCCUCUAAAAUUUCUUCCUCUUCCACGACCACGAUCUCUCCCUCUUUGAUUUUUAAAAUCUCCCUUCUUCUCAUUUAGAGACAACUUUGACUGGAGUGCUUGAUCUAGAUCUACUUCCUUCUUCUUCUUGUUUAAUCUUUCUUCAUGGGCUUGCAACGAACAUGUGAGUUCAUCAAUAGUCAUGGUACUCAAGUCCUUUGAUUCUUCAAUGGCUACCACAAUGUAGUCAAAUCUGGAAUCCAAAGAACGGAGGAUUUUCUCAACACCACGAAUAUCAUCCAUAAUUUCACCAUUUCUUUUUAAUUGGUUGACUAUAGAAAAAACCCGUGAACAGUAAUCAGAAACUAAUUCUGACUCUAUUUUUUGCAAUCUUUCAAACUCCCCUCGAAGAGUUUGCAACCGAACUCUUUUCACCUUUUCAUCUCAUUUGAAAGAAUUUUGUAAAAUCUCUCAUGCUUGUUUUGUCGUGGUGGCACAAGCUAUUUUUUCCCAUGCCGCUUCAUAUGAUUGAACUCCUUGAUAUAUCCAAAAUAAGGCUUGUUGAUUUUUCUUCCUUGAUUUUCUUAAACUAUCUUUUUGAACUUGUGAUAAUCCUUCCUCCUCUUCAGCCUCAACUUCAUUAUAACAUUUUUCAACAAUCUCUCAAACUUCUAGAGAUCCAAGAAGAGCCUUCAUUUUGAUACUUCAUUUGCCAUAAUUUUUUUUGGUUAAUUGGGGAAUGGAAGAGAGAGGAAUAGAAUUAUUUAUUUCGAUCGAACAAGGCUCUGAUACCAAUUUGUAGAAGAUUGAUUAAAAUUUGGAGAAAUAAAACAAAGAAAAUGAUAAAGAAUAUAAUGGAGAAGAGAAAUAAAUUUUGUAUGGAAGAAAUAAAAUUCUUUCUAAUAAACUUGUUUUAUUUCAAUCACACAAAAAAUCUUCAUCACAUACAACUCUUUAUAUAGGAGUUGUAAGUGACUAUUCAUCUAUAUCACUAAAUGCUAGGAGUUGUGGCUAUUCAUGCAUGUGUGUAACUUUUCAUAUUCAAGUCUCUUCACUCUUCAUAUUCAAGUCUCUUCACUCUUCUAACUUUUCAUAAUUUAUUUGUGCAAGAUUACUUUAAUUAUGUGCCACCAAAGAGUUGCAUGAAGGUAGAAAUGGGCACACAGUAAAAUGAAAAGCUUUUAGCGAGGUGACAAGACAGUAGCUUUAGUUGCGGGGAUGGCAAUUUCAGCCUUUAAUUUUAUUUUAUUUUGUUUUAUUUAUAAUAGUACAUAUUUAAAGCUUUUGCCGAUGGAGUCGUUUAAGUCUUAAUUACAUUGGUAUGAACAUUAUUAUCAAUGUAAGAAGAUAUAAGUUUGAAUACUCUGAAGUGCAUUAUCCUCCUAUAUAUAAUAGUACAUGGAAGUAUUUUGCAUAUUAAAAUUUCAAUUUAAAUACUCAUUUAACUCCUAAAUUUAUCAUUUUUUCUCGAUUUGGUAUUUAUGGUUUUUUUUUGUCCUGAAUUGAUUAUUUAAAUUUUUAUUCCGCCUACUAUAUUAGUACCUUUUUGUAACGGUGUUAGUUUUUAAUGACAUGACAAUUAAUUAUUAAGGUUUUUUAAAUUUUGUCUACUAUAUUAUAUUUAUUUAUUGGGUCGAGUCACCACAUCAUCAAAAACUUACGCUGUUACAGAAAAGUAACAAAAUGAUGGACGGAAAAUUAAUUUCAAUAUUAGGUUGGGACAAAAAAAAAACAUAAGUACUAACUUGAGAUAAAGUGACAAAUUCAAAGGCUAAAUGAAUAUUUAAACCUAUUUUUUAAAUAUAUUUUAUAUUUAAAAAUUAAAUCUUUUUAAUAUAAAUAUAACUAAUUAUUUUAUUAAUAAUAAUUUAAUAAAUGUAACCUAUUAUUGUAACUAAUCUAACCCAUUGAAAUUAAAUAAUACAAAAUAUUAUUAUAUUCAUUUUAUUAUUUUAUUUUAUAAAUACAUAUUUUAAUAUAAUUAUAAUUAUAAUUAUAUAUUAAUACAAAUAUUGAGAUGGUAAAAAGUUUUCAAUGGUAGAGGUACACAAUGGAUGCAUCUCCACUGACUAAGUUAUGGAGAUGUGUGAGUUUUUGCAUCGCCAACCCUAAUAAGAUAUACUUAUAUUAACUCUAUAAUGACACCAUUUCCCGUCUCUUUAGAGUUCUCGGCAUGUCAUUGUUGACCUGUUUUGUUGUAGUAUGAGGUUAAUUACUAUAGUGAGAUUAAAUAGUGUAACAGUGAGAUUAAAAUUUAUGUUAGGAUAUGUGUUUAGAUGCAAACAACGUGAGACAAAUCAUAAUGAGAAAGCAAAAUGACUAUUAAAUAUAUUAAAUUAAAUUUAUAAAAAUAUAAUUUUACUAUAUUUAAUUAAUAAAAGUAAAAGUAUUGCAUAUUGUUUGAAAAUCAUGAAAUACAAUAAAUACUAUAAAUAAUAAUAUUAAAAUUAUUAAAAUAUUGUUUGAAAAUCAUCUAAUUUUGUACAAGCAAAAGGAUAAUUUAAGUGUUAAAAAAUAAAAUAAAAAUUUAAUUAUUAAAAUAAGAAAACAAGUAUAAUUUAAAGAUAAAUAAUGUAUAAUAUUUUUUUGGUAUAAUAUAAAUUUAACUUUUAACGUUUAUAUCUUUUAUCAAUUUGAUCUUUAUUCUUUUUUUUUUAGCUAAAGUUGGCUCUCGGCCUUUUACAAAGAGUUGAAUUGUUUUUUUAACAAAAACACUACUGAAACACUCCUCAAGUAUGGUAACUCCCGUGAUAAUUCACGUGUACUUCAUUUUUUUUAAUUUAUAAAAAAAUUAAAUUUUUUUAUAAUUUUUAAAUUUUCCGUUGACAUGACAUAUAAAAUAAAUGGUAUAAUGUCAAAUUUAGCCCUCAACCUUUUUAAAAGAAUGAAAUUUGACCAUCGAUCAACCUUUCAAAAAACAAUCAAAUUGUAACGAAAAUACUGUAAGAAAGAAAUCAACCAAACCGAGAAAUUUAGACGAUUUAUGGAAUGCAAGUUCAAAAAGCGCAGUUGCCCAAAAUCGAAUCCAAUUUUUUUAUUUAAUAUAUAAUUAAUUUAAUUUUUAUGAUAUAAAAAUAUUUUAUAUUUAAAAUACUGAAAAUAAAUUUAAAAUUUUUGAAUUUUUUUUGUUUUUCAGAAAUAUCUAUAAAAAAAACUUUGAAAAUUUGUCGAAUAAUAUUCUAAAGUCAUAAAACAAAGCUCAUUUUAUCAAAAUAAGUCUAAAAAAUAAAACAAAAAUAAUAUGGAAAAACCAAUAACUGAACCAAGCCAACCGAAUUAUGAUGGAUAGUUAAAAAAAUCUAAAAAACCCUUAUUGAAUUGAAUCGUUAUCACCGCUACUUACUAAAAUGUUAAAAUGUUAAACAUAACAGCCCGCAUGGUAAUCCACAUGUAUUCCUGCUAAUUUUUUUUGAAUUUUUAUGAACUUUUUUAAAAUUUAUUUUAAAAAUAAUUUUAGAAUUUUAAAUUAUUUAUUGUCGUGUCAUAUAAGAUAAACAAUAUGAUUUCCACAUGAGAUAUACAUGGACUGUCACACAGAUUGCCAUAUUAACAUUGUCAAAGAAAAUGUUUUAAUCAGCAUUUCCAUUCAAAAUGACAAUCAAAUUUUUUUUUUGGAUCUUUUCUAUUCUUCGAAUAGGACAGAUAAUGAAUGUUUUUUUUUAUUGUUUGAGUUAAUUUUUUUGGGAGUAAUGACGAUGAUUUACGGCGCUAAGAUUUUGAUUGAAUUUGUGUUAUGUUUGCAAGGGUUUGGAUGGAGAUUCAACAUUGCUUAUUUGUUCAUGUAAAUUGUGGUAAGUUUUUGAAUUGGCUUGGGAUGUACAAUCUUGCCUGGGGUGUUUUUAAUAUAGUUGUUCUUUUUGACACAAUGUCUAGAAUUACUCAUAGUCCUUCCCCAAUUUAUAUAAAUAGGAGGAUAAUGUGCUUUAGCGCACUCGAAUCACAUCUACCUGCAUUGGCAACAAUGUCCCAAUCGAGCUAAGACUCAAUCGACACUUAAUUUCUUUGUUUUUAGGUGAUGGUUGAUUUCAUAUUUUUGUUUCAAUUGUUGCAUCCUUUUUCUGGUUCUAAUGAAAUUUUAUUAUCUUUCAUGAGAAAAAAAGAAAAAGAAAAUAGUGCUAUGUCAAUAUAAAGUACACAUGGACUGUCACACGGGUUAUCAUGUCAAUAUCCUUAAAAAUUUAAUAGUUCAGCCAUCAUUUUUGUUAAAAAAACGACUUGACUAUUUUUGAAAUAUUAUGACCAAAUUUAACUCAAAAAUAAUAAUAAUAAUCAAAUUGACAAAAAAUACAAAUGUUAAUGACUAAAUUUAUCACUAUACUCUUUUUUUUUCUCAAAAAAAUCAAAAAAUUUAUUGAAUAAAAACAAGAAGAAGAAGAUAGUUUGAUAAGCUAGACAACUAAAAUCUAUAGAUUAUAUUAAACAUGUUCAUUGGUCAGGUUAUUUGUCCAAAUCCAUCAAAUCACCCGAUUUUACAUAGUAGAGGAUGUCAACCAUUCAUCAAUGUUAAUAAAUUAUUCUUUCAACUGAGAUCACUCAGUUCGUUCAUUUUAAUUCUAGUCUCAUCCUUCUAAAAAAAUAAUAAGAAAUUGAUUGCCUAAAGUUUUCUUAAACACCAUCGAUCCUAAAAUUUUCAUGAAUUCUAUUAAUCUCGUAGAACCACUAGUAGUGCACACUAUUCAUUUGUCAACUUUUUAACAAUUUCUACUAAUUAACUAACUCAACCGUAACUACUUAAUUAGAAUAAAUUUGAAAAAAAACCCACACAUUUAUAUAGAGCGUGACUCAAACUUAGAUCUUAAAGUUUUGAGUACCUCAACCUUACCAUCGGGCAAAAGACUCAUUGGAAAUUUUGUUAUUUUUAUUUUUAGAAAUUUAGUUCUUUUAUUUUUUUUUCAAAUUUUUAAAUAUUUAGAACUAUUAAAUUAUUCUAUUGAAUUCAAGUGUAUUAUAACAAAAUUUUAAUACUUUUGUAAUUGGGUUGGUGUGGAGAUUAACUCAUUUAGAGGUUUUAUAAUAACUAAAAUUAAUAGAACUCACUUUAUGAUGCGAAAAUAACAAUUUUUAAUAGUAAUAUUCUUAAAAUAAUAUUUAUUAUUUUAUAAAAUAAAAUACUCUUAAAAUAAUAUUUAUUGUCUUAUAAAAUAAUAAAAUUUUGGUAUUUUUACAAUUGAGCUGGGAAUAGACCUGAUCAUGGAUCAGGCUAGGUCGAGCCGAUGUAAAAAUUUAGGCCCAUUUUCUAGGCUCAAGUCUAACCUAGAAAAUAGGCCUAAAAUUCUGCCCAAGCCAAUUUAAAAAUUGUAACACCCCCUAACCUCAAACCGUCACCGAAACAGGAUUAUGAAGCAUUUCCAAACAUAUCUAAUAACUUAUAACUAUUCACAAAUAAAUAACAGACAUAGCAUACUUUAAUCAUUUUCAUUUCAUAUUUGUAUAAAUUAUGUCAUUUUAGUUCCAUUUCAUACUUAUAACUAAUUUAAACAUCAUUCUACAACCGUAAUCACAAAACUCUUAUACUUAACCUAUACAUCACCUAGGUACAUGCCACAUUAUCAAAACAAAGGUACGUCACUAAAAUUUCUCUGAGGUCGGGAUUGCUCUGGAUGCUGGACCAGACACUGGCUUUCUACUAACCUGCGCACGGAAACAACCGUACGCUGAGUAUAGGUAUACUCAAUGGUACUACCAUAAUUCAAAUUAAUAACAUUAAUCGAUAAAUUAUAUACAUAUAAUUUAUGUCUACAAUUAUUCAUUAAUUAUCUCAUACUUUAAAUCAACUUGAUAAUUAAUAACAAUAAAUAAUAUUUCAAAUCUUGUAUUUAAUUGUAUUCAUACCUUAUUUCAAUAUCUCAAUUCCAUUAAAUUUUUCACAUCUCAUUCCAAUAGUUCAUUUCAAUUCAUAUACAAUUCAUUCUACUUAUCACUAUAUUCAAUAUCAAUUCUAUUGCAAUUUGUACUCACUAAUACCAUAUAACAAAAAAUUGUUCUUAAUCACAUCAUGAACUUUGGGUUUAUAUCUUCAAAUCUCAUAUCUCGAUUUCCAAUUCACAUAUCAAUUCACAAUUUCACUUUCUCAUUUCUUUUCAUAGCUCAAUCAAUCACACUUAUUCAAAAUUUUCUCAUUUUAAUUAUUUACCCCUAUUAACAAGACUCGGACAUUGACGGAUACACAGAUCCAACCAAACACACCAGAAAAUCCAACCUAACAUACCCGGAAUAAUAUAAAUCCUCCUUAACACACUAGUAUAUCAUAUCCUCCCAAACACACCAAUAAGGCAUUAGAUGCCUCUACGGAUAAACCGAAACAUAUAAUAACAGAAUCAUCUUCUCGGCCAAACUACAAAUCUCCUUAUCACAUCACAAAUCCUAUGGCAUGCCAUUUGUAUCCAAUCUAGUCCGAUAAGUUAAUAGGGUAUUAUUUUACUUUUCCAAUUUCGAAUUCAUUUCCACAACAAUUUCAAAUAUUCAAUCAAUUCAAAACAUCUAUUAUUUCAAUUCACAAACAAUUCAAUAUCAUUUAAUUCAAUAUCAAUAUUCACCUUAUUUUUAUUUAUUAAACAUAUUAUUCAAGAUUCAACAAUUGCUAUUAAUAAAUUCAAUACCAAUACGUAUUUAUCAUUCAAUUCAAUCGUGAUACUUACCUCAAUUUGCUUAUCAUAUAUAUAAAUUUAAAUUUUUAACAAUUAAUAAUUAAAUUCGAAUUAUAGUAAUAGUAACCGAAAUUUUUCUCGAAUCACUCCUUCUCCACCUUCUCAUUUCCUUUCUCGGACAAUGACUCUUGCACGACAUUAGCUACGUAAUUAAACAAUUAAAAAUCAUUAAUACACAAUUUCAUCAAAAUAUUUCCAUUUAUACCUAAACUUUACCUAAAUUCUAAUUUAAUCCCUUAUCAAUACUAAUUUUAUUGUCCCAAUCUAACUCCAUAUUCUCUCUUAAUUCUUACUAUAAACUCAUUUUAACUAUUCAUUUUCACCAUAAAUCCCUAAAUUUGAAAUUCUCUCAAUUUAGUCCCUGUUAAUUCAAAGCAUAUAAUUUAUUUUGCAAAUCAACCUUUUACUAACUUCUAACUUGAAAUUCAAUCAAUUUAACCCCUAAUUCAUCAAUUAAUUCAACAUGAACAACAUCUAAAAAUUUACUAACUUUCAAAAUUUCAACUUAAAUCAAGUAGUAUUUUGUUUUAGGAUUCCAAAAACAUCAAAAUUAUAGGAAAAUGGACUAAAUUGGCUUACCAAUCAAACCUUAAACCUUAAAAUCCCAAAUUUUCUUUCUUUCCUUCCCUUUUUCUUUUUCUUUCCUUUCUCCCCUGUUUUCGUUUUGCUAUUAUGUUUCUAUUCUCUUUUUCUAUCUUUUAUUUCAUUGUUUCUUUUUAUUAUAUAAUAUAAUAUAAUAUAAUAUAAUAUAAUAUAAUAUAAUAUAAUAUAAUAUAAUAUAAUAUAAUAUAAUAUAUAUACUUAACUUUUAAGUAAUAUUAUUAUAAUAUUAUAAUAUAUUUUAACUUUAGAUUUUUAAAUAAAAUAUUAAUUAUGCCGCCUCAACUUUAGAAAAAGGCAUAAUUUCCUAUUUGGUCCUUUUAACUUUUCUUUAAUCUAUAAUUAAACUUUUAUCUCUAUUGCAAUUUAAUCCUUUUUCAUAAUUAACCUCAAUUUAGACAAAUUCACUUAAUUAAAACCUAAUUAACUACACAACUAACUUCGUAAAUAUUUAUGAUAAAUAUUUACGAUUCCAAUUUACCGAAAUGGAGUCUCGGGAAUAUUUUUUUUUCAAUUUUAUCCUUUUUAAUCAAUUAACCAUCGAAAUGUUAAAAUUUCUUAACGAAACUUUAAUACUACCCUAAUGAUACUCCGUAAAUAUUUAUAAAAAUAUUUACGACUCAGUUUAUAAUAUCGAGGUCUCGAUACCUCGUUUUCGACCCAAUUUACCUAAUAAUUUCUUUUAAAUCACAAAAUUCACUAAUUCAAAAAUAUUUCUAAAAUCACACUUAACUUAUAAUUAUUAAUUAAUAAUUUUUUCUAAAUUUUUCAUCGAAUUUAGUGAUCUCAAAUUAUUGUUCUGACACUACUGAAAAUUGGACUGUUACAAAAAUGCUAAACUCGAACCUGACUCAGCCUGCUUGUAUUAAAAUUUUUUGAGAUUAUUAUUUUUAUAUAAAAAUAAAUUUAAAAAAUAUAAUAUAUCAAAUACACUAAAAACAUUAAAAUAAAUGUUCCCAACAAAUUGAAAAUACAUUAAAAAAAUGUUUUAUACUUAAAUAACACUAAAAUCGUUGCAAUUUAGUAAGCAAAAUACCUUUAAAAUAGUAGCAAACUUAACAAUAUUAUACAAUAUCCGAACAAAAUAAUAAUAAAAUAGUAGCAAUAUAACAACGAAAUGACAACAAAAUGGCAGCAAAACAACAGUAAAAAAGAAAAUUUAGGUUGAUUCGGGCCUAUUUUUUGUAUAAGCUCAUUUUUUGGGCCUAUAAUUUUCUCCAAGCCCUUCCACUUUUCGAGCUAGCCUUUGGGUCUGGACAGGUGAUCUAACUCAUGAUUAGGUCAUUAUAGGUUCUGAUAAACUCUUUUGGAGACAAUGCAUAUAACUACAUAUAGCCUCCCAAUCUAUAAAUAGGAAGAUAAUGCGCUUCAAUGCACUCGAACCUACAUCCUACUGUAUUGGUAACAAUGUUCAUGCCAAUCGAGGUAAGACUCAAACAAUAACAUUUGUAUUCUUAUUUUUAUGUUUUUCAAUUUUUUUGGGGUAUAGAUUAAAUUAUUGUGAUUAAAUUUAUUAAAUCAAACUCAAUUAAUCAUAUUAUAUAUAUAAUAUAGAUGUAUCAAUUUAUUGUUGCAUUUGCCAUAAAUAACAACACUAUAUUAACAAAAUUAGAUCAUUUAACUUCCAAUUUCCAAAAUUCGAAAAAUAAAUUAUUAAUAACAAUAUUCUCAUGUAUAAUAGUUUAAAAAAAUAAUAAUUGGAUGCUAUCGUCUCCUAUUUAUAUCAAAGAUCCAUUAAGCAACUAAAAAACAUUUAUCUCAAAGCACUGUUAAUUAUGAUAAUAGGAUGGGAGGAGCUUCAUGCUUCAUGGGAUUAGCCCGUUCUACAUGUACGGUCUAGUUGAGCUCCGUUUCGUUUGGUGAAACAAUGGCAACAGAAAGAAACCCUUAACUAAACCACCAUUCUUAGUUUUUCUUUUUAAAUUAUUCUAUUACUAAUCCAUCGAUUUUUGCACAAAUUGAUCAACUCUUCUUCGAUCUACUCCUCAAAUUCCUCCAAAAACUCCCAGGUUUAUUGAAUUUUUUAAUAUUUUCUUAUAUGGGUUUUUUUUUUCUUUCUUUCAAUCGUGAUUCAUUGAUUGAUUUGGCAAUUCUGGGAUUUACCCAUUUCAUAUUAUUGUGAAAUAUUGGUGGGGUUUUGAUUUUCUCCUUGUGAUCUUCUUGUUUGCAUUUAUUUGCUUUGAUGAUGAACGAAUGUUCAAAUUUAUCAUCUUUUUUUUUAUAGCCUUUUUUUCCUUUGCUGGAUUAUACUUUUCUUGUGUUGUCUGUAAUGAAUUUGGCAUUUUUCUUAUUGAUUAUGAUUAUUAUUUUUAAUAAUAAGUAUUAUUUUAUGGUAUAUGCUCAUAAUCUUUUUUCAGAAACCAAAGCUCUCGUAUUAUGCUGUAGAUAUCAUUUUUAAUAGCUUCAGCCUGCUAGCAAGGUCUGUUGAUUCGAUACUUUCAUCGUUUUAGAUUGUCUCCUUUGUGAUAAAUAGAGUUUCCCUUUCAAAGUUAACUUACGUUUUUCUUGGUUAAUUGUGGUUGUAAGCUUCAUCAUUGAUUUCUUUUGACUGUUUUCAGAUUGUUCCUUCUCAAAGGUUAGAAGAGAGUUAGCUGGUUUGCCUCUUGGCAUGCUUGAAUUAGUGAAAUGGACAGGAGUAGAGGAAUCAACGACUAUGAACCCGGACCGGUUCCUUCAGAAAGCCGUGUGGACAGAUAUGGGUUUAUAAAGCAGAAUGUUAGUAAUAGUAGUGCUGCAGAAGGCUUAGGAAAGAGUAGGUUAGUUUUCAAAUGCGAGAGGUUAUCUUUUUCUUUAAUUAUCGUCUAUCAAGCUCUGUAAGGUGAUAUGAGUGUAGCUGUCUUUAUGAUUUUAUACUUAGUGCUAACAAACAUUGAUUUUGAUUGUGUUUUAUGAUGAUUAUAAAUUUCCAGGGAAGCUAGAAGAGUUAGGAAAUGGAGGAAAAUGAUUGGGGUUGGUGGGAGUGAUUGGAAACAUUAUGUAAGGAGAAAGCCUCAUGUUGUUAAAAGGCGUAUAAGGAAAGGAAUUCCCGAUUGUUUAAGGGGUCUUGUUUGGCAGUUGAUCUCUGGAAGUCGAGACCUUUUGCUGAUGAACCCGGGGGUCUAUGAGGUACUUCUUUUUAUUUCUUGUAGGGUUUAGCAUUGUUUCGUUAACAAACUGUAUAUUAUUCUGAAUGCUAUAGCCUUCGCUUGACUUUCCUUUCCGUCUUAACAUGCAAUAUUACUUAUUUCUGCUAAGUUCUCUAACAGGAAUUGAAAAAAAAAAUGGUCUUCUUCCUGCCUCGUUAUUAAUUUUUGUUUAUCCUAUAUUUUACACUCUGUUUUCUAUCCCAAAUGCAACCUUUAGGUGCUUAAUUCUAACCUCAUGGAUACUAUUUUCUUUUGACUUGAUUCCCAACUGGAAACUUGUGUUAUUUUAUUUGCUAAAAUGCACCCAAUAACCUGAGCACUAAUGAAUUUUAGCAUUGCUUCCAAUUUGUAACAGAACUGGUUUUAAUGCCUGUGUUUGAGUUUAUUGGAACUGAUGGCAGCGGAACUUAUAAUAUAAAUUAGAAGGAAAACUUCUACCAAGUUUUUAAUAUGAUCGUAUUGGGUAUAUUUGGAAGUUCCUAUAGAAGGAUGGGUCCGAUGGGAUAAUAUAUCACAGUAUUCUGAAAUCACUGUGUGUGCCAGUAUUAUUCAUGAUUGCCUAAACCAGUUGAUCAGUUUCAUCUUAGUCUUUUAAGCAGGUUUCUCUCAAUCAUUUCAUGAGGAUGAGAUUUAAAUAUUUAAGUAGCGAUUCUAUCUAGUCCACCAAAAUAUUCUUGAUUUGAACAAUACCAUGAAUGAAAUCAUUAUGGUUGGAGCUCUAUCCCUUGUUUAACAUGCCAUUUUGUUUGAGAAAUACUCUGGUUGAAUCCAAUUUGGAUUUCAGUGGUAGAGUCGAAGUUCAACUGUCUGGACCAAACCCAUCCAGACAUCUUUCAGCACCUAGGUGGUGAACCAAAAACAGUUUCCAAGUGCUCAUUUUGGGGUUAUAAAAUUGUUGUGGUUUAAAACAAAAGGCUUGUUAAGAAGGUUUGGGAACAAGGGUAUUAUUUUUCUGCAGGGUGACUGUGAGAGCAUGGACUUCUGAAGAUCUGAGAAUAGUUUUCAGUUUCCCUGUUGUUUUUAGUAUUUUUAGUAAUGUUCUUGUUUAUUUUGAAUCAUUAUGGACACCAGCCUUGACAUUAAUAUCGUAUAACUUUAUUGAGUGAAUGUAAAAAUCAAUAUUGACAAUUCUAACUUCAUUGUGAAAUGCUUAUGAAUUGACUGUUGGCAUUAUGUUUGGUGUCAUUUAUAUAACUUUUGGGUUAAUAAAAUCAGAUUUUUGUCCUCAUAUUUAUCCUUGCUCAUUGGUCAAGGGAGCAUGAUUAAUGUAGUGUUGUUUUGAUGAUCAGGAUUUGAAUUGCUGGAAAAGUUCUUCUCUCAUUUGAUUUCUUUAGGGAGAAUGUUUUUCUUAUUUGGACUCAAACUGUUCCUUAGCUUAACGGGUUCUUUUCUUUCGUUUUUUUUUUCAGAUUUUUUUCUUUUAUAAUGAAAAUGUUCUCGUUGCACAUGUUUAUGUUGUUGCAGCAACUUGUAAUAUAUGAGACAUCUGCUUCAGAACUAGAUAUAAUCCGAGAUAUAUCCCGCACCUUUCCGACGCAUGUUUUCUUUCAGCAGAGACAUGGACCUGGUCAGAGGUCCCUUUACAAUGUUUUGAAGGCAUACUCUGUCUUCGACAGAGCUGUUGGCUAUGUCCAGGUUUGUCUCAUGUCAUUGGGGAGCCUCAUAUUAAUAUAUGUCUAGGUUAAUUCUGCUCUCGGUUUUUGUUGAAAAUGCAGGGAAUGGGAUUUUUAGCAGGUCUUUUACUUCUUUAUAUGAGUGAAGAGGAUGCAUUUUGGUUAUUGGUUGCAUUACUAAAAGGAGCUGUUCAUGCUCCUAUGGAAGGAUUAUAUCAGGUAUUAUUGUAUUUAAAACCUAUUUUUACUAUCUACAAUGCUGAAUUGACUAUUUUAUGUUGUUAAUGGUUCAUUAAGGACUUAGAAAAGAUUGUGAUACCACUAUCUCUUACUCAGGCAUUGACAUAUGGCUUUAUAGCAGCUUAUAUUAGCUUCUGGGGUUAGGCUUUAAAUUCAUAUGUUGAUUUUAUUAUGGGUUCUCUGACUGAAUCAUGAACUUUUCCUAGAUUAAUUUGCAAGGGAACUUUUAUAUUUAGAUUAUAAAUUGAAUCUAUAGAUUUACAUCUUUAUUUGAUCCCAUAGCAUGCUUAUAGUGCAUAUAUCUAGGCAUUCUUGGUGAACAGAUCAUUUUGUUGAAAUGAUACAAGUUGUAGCGGUCUAAAAUUUAAGAACUACGCUCCACGCUUCAGCUUCUUCCAGUGUAAUCUCCUCUCAUGUUGGUAUAGGCAUAUUGCUGUUUGGUUGGUAAUUUAGCACAUUUGGCAUUCUACUCUAGGAUAGUAAUCUCAACAGCGUCUUGAUGGAAUAAAUGCUACCAAAGAGCAAAAAACCGAACCAGAGGUAAGCAGGUAAGCAAUAAGAGACCUGCGGUUUUCGGUUCAACUAUUUGAACCAACCAGUUCAAUAAAAUCUAAAGAUGAAUAUUAACUAGAUCUAAAAAUUAAAAAGUAGAAAAAGAAAAAACCUGAAAACUUGGAAAGCUUCAUAAAAUAAUAAAAUAUACAAAAAAAAAUUAUGCAACUAGCAUAGAAAUCCAAUACAAGGUACAAAUACAAAGAUAAGAAUACUGCCGAGUAGCCAAUUACGAACAUAUAACUUGCCCAUAGUAGAGAUAGAAUGCUAACUUACACAACCGGCUUUGAACAUUAAGUGAUGAGAACUUAGAUCUUUGAAUCAGACCAGAUUGGCUGGUUCAAUCAGGAAUCGGCUGGUCCUUGGUUCAAUCAUAUUAAUAUAACUGGAAAUUUUGCCAUCCAGUUUAAACUAGCAAGAGGGAAACAUUUAACUUGGAAAUAACCCAUUAAAAUUGGAGUGUUGGCUUUUUUAUUCCUUUUUUUGGUACAGUGGGACAAGAUCCAACUGAUUGCUCAAAAGAAAGCAGGACAGCAAUACUAAAUGCAUCUCUUUAGAAUGGCACUGGGAUGCCAGUGAUCGAAAGAGGACGAGGCACUACUGUGAACCAUUUCUUUCUUGGUUUGGCUAUCAUUGUCCAGCAAAGAAAGAAGAUGAAAAGAAUAAAAAAAAAAAGAUAGAGAGGCAUCAAUGUAUUCCUUAGGUUAAAUCGUCUUAUAUUUCAAUGACAAUCCAAGCUUCUGUGCAAAUGUGGUUUUUAGCCCAAAUUAUUGAAACAUCUAGCGAAGACUAAAACCCAUUGAAACUGUUACACAUCAAAAGUUUCAACUGUUGUUGUCAUUUCCUUCCGCUUCCAGAGACUCAACUGUUCCUGGUUGAACUGGCCGGUCCCGUCCUUUGUUUUUCAUAAUUGAUUGUAACACAACUUCCUUGGAAUAUAUUAUCCCUGGCGUUUGAUGCAUUUUUCUUGAGGCAUUCAAUCAAAUAUAUAUUGUUUCAUUUCUCUGAAAAUUUGUAUGCACUUGAUAGGUGGGGCUGCCUCUUGUACAGCAAUACCUGUUUCAGUUUGAGCACUUAGUGAGGGAGCACUUGCCAAAGCUGGGUGAGCAUUUUAGCCGGGAGAUGAUAAAUCCAAGCAUGUAUGCUAGCCAGUGGUUCAUAACUGUAUUCUCAUACUCUUUCCCAUUUCCUUUGGCUCUUCGAAUUUGGGAUGUAUUUCUCUUUGAGGUUAGUGGUUGGAAAUAUGAUAUAGGUUCAAGCUGUUGAAUUAAUUACAUGGCCUGGAAAUUGGUUUGCAGUAAAAGAAAAAGACAAACAAAAUAAUUUAUUUUAUUUUUCAGGGUGUUAAGAUUGUCUUUAAAGUUGGUUUGGCCCUUUUGAAGUACUGCCAUGAUGAUUUGGUAAUUAGUUCAAGACUUCUUUAUUUUCUCGAGAUCCAACAAACCAUUUUAUCUUGCAUUGAUACAUUGUUACAUUGUUCAUCAGAUAAAUUUAUCCUUUGAGAAACUCAUUCAUGCUUUGCGUAACUUCCCGGAGGAUGCAAUGAAUCCUGAUAUAUUGCUGCCCAUGGUGUAUUCAAUCAAGGUUCUGUCUCUCUCAACCCAAGUUUUUAUGGCAUUAAGUACUUUAAAAUUUCUCAUGUCCAUUCAUUUUUAAGAUCCGCAUGCACCUUUUCUUAUGGCAUGAUGGUCUUUAGCCAUGAACACUUAUUUGAGCUAUGUACUUGAUCUAUAUUGGUUUUACGAAUAGCAGGUGCCUGAGCUGCUCUGGAAUGUAUGUAAUGUGCUUGAACUUUCUGAUCUUGAAUCACCUGUUGAUUAGUUAAUAUAAUUUUUGCUCAAAAGGCUAUUGGUUAAUUUGCUCAAGUGUAUGUUGUAAACAAUGAGAAGUGAGAACCUUGCUAACGGUUUCUUGUGGUAAAAACAAAUUAGCGUUGUGACUUAAAUGUUUUAGGUCAAAGUAUCAUUGAGGUCUCUGUAUUAGGAUUCAGAUUAUAUUUUGCCCCCUCUACUAAAAAAAUGGGCAAAUUAGUCCCUGUAUGUUAGACCAAAGAGAAAAUUGAUCAUUUCUGUUAAAAAUUUCAUCCAUAUGUACUAUUAAAAACUAGUGUGGCUUAUGGAAUAACCGGAUAAUGACACAUGGCAUGUCACCUGUACCUCAUGUUGACGUACAAAGAUCAGUUUUUAAUGGUAAAAAUAGAUGAAAUUUUUAAUAAAAAGAUCAAUUUGCUCCUUGAUCUAACUUAGAAGGAUUAAUUUGCCCAUAUUUAGUAGAAGGGCAAAAUGCAAUCCAACUCCUAGUAGAGAGACCUUCAUGAUACUUUUAUCAAUGUUUUCUAGUAAUGAGUUUGAAUUAUUAAGUACUCUUAUAUUUAUGUUUGAAUGGUGAUUAGGUAUCCCGGAGCUUAGCAGAAUCGAAAAUCGAGUACGAGAAGCAAAAUAGAAAGCCAAAGAUUGAAGCAUAAACAAGUGCAUUGAAGGUUGUCCAUCUAAGCAACCAUUCUGCCUGUACAUUCUUAUUCUCAGUUGUUCUUUUGCUUUUAUAUUGUGUUAUAAGAAGAAGCAUAUACUGACUUCUUUAUAGACCUAUUUAGUUACUUAAACAUGGUGUUCUUUUCUUUUUUUUUCUUUUUAAUGAGAUGAUAUGCAUAAAAUUGUAAAAAGAAAAAAGUUAAAUUCUGCUCUCAGUUCUUGUAUUUUACCAAAAUUGUGGAUUUAAUCCAUGUAUUAUAAUUUGAUCCUUUUUAUUCUGCUUGCUUAAUUUUUAAAAUUUCAGUCAUUCACCAAACUGUAUAACCUUUAAAUCCAUUUUGUUAAUUUCAAAACCUGAUGUGAUAAUUAUAUGUGUAAUGCCAUGUUAAUUCGUUAUUUUCAUAUUACUCAAUUUUAUUUAAUGAAAUUAACGACUAUCAAUUGCAUCAAAUUUGAAAUUUCAAAAUUCGAAAAAAUAUAAAGAUUUAGAAUGAUCUAAUUAGAGAAUAUAAUUGUACUCAUAGUACAAUUAGACCUGAUCAUGAGUCGGGUUGAGUUGAUGCAAAAUUUUAGGCUUGUUUUUUAAGUCCAAGCUUGAUUUGGCCCGAAAAUGGGUUUACAUUUUUGCUCAAGCUCGGUCCAGAUUAAAAAUGUUAAACUCCGGCUUCACUUGGCCCGUCCGUAUUAACUUUUUAGAUUAUUUUUUUAUUAAAAAUAAAUUUGAAAAAUAUAAAACGCUAAAUACACUAAAAUAAUAGAAAAAUGAACAAUAAAACAAGAGUCAUAAUAACAAUAAAAUAAUAGUAAUAUAAUAGUAAAAUGGCAGCAAAAUAACAACAAAAAAGAAAGUUUAGGCUGAUUUGGAAUGUACUACUAAAAAUUCUUUUUGUUUCCUUGAAUCUUUUAUUUAAAUUUUAUUGACUACAUUUAUAUUUAUGUUUUUACAUAAUAUAAAUUAUAAUGUAUUUUUAGGUUAAAUUUCAAAUUCAUUAUACUAAUUGUUUUAAAUAUCAAUAUACUAACUUAUAAUAUGCCACGUUUUAUAAUAAAUUAGUUUAAUAUCUUUUUGGUGAUUUUAAUAUAUAAAAUAUAUUUAAAAAUAUCAUAUUAUUAAAAGCUUUUUAAAAAAUUAAUAUUUUUAGAUUUAGGUACUUAUAUAGUUAUAUUAUGUAAAGAUGAAAAGAUUUAACAUAAAUAGGAAAUCAAGAAAAAAAAAUUAAACCAACUUAACUUCAACUAAAUCAAAAUUUAAAAAAAUAAUUUAUUUUCCGGUAUUUGACAUUAACCGUUAGAUCCACUUGAAUCUAAGUUAUAUUUUUUACUUGUAGAUGGGUAUUGAUCUACUAUAAUAAUCAUCGAAUUGUCACUUAUAACUCGCUAGUUGAACCUUUUUUUUAAAAAUAAACUUAACAAUUGAAUGAAUUAAAUAAAAAUUUUCUAAUAGUUUAAUAACUUAAAUGAAAAUUUUCGGAUAAUUUAAUAAUCAUUUUGUAAUUUUUAAAAAGUUAAGUGAUCGAAAUGUAAAGUUAGUAAGAAUAGUUUACCCUCCUUAAUAAGUAAAAUUUAUUCUAAUGGUCCUUCCCUUUCAUGUUUUAGAAAAGAAAAUCUACUUAGCGUCUUUACAAUAACGAGAAAGGUAAGAGCUGCUGCAAUCUCAAUCUUCAUAAAGUAAUUCAAUUAGGGUUCCAAGGAAUUCCGAAUCUCAUUUCUCAGUAAGUUUUAAUCCAUUUUAUUUUCAGUUUUUGAGCUUAAAUCCUCUAUUGUUGAUGAAAUUAGAUAAUAAAGCUGAUAUCCCAUGUUUAAAGCUUUGUCGUUUAUCCUAAAUUUCCUUAGGCUAAACCCUAGAACGGGCCACAACCCUAAUACCCAAAUCAGAAAUCUCACUAUGGAAUAGAAAAAACUAACUAGUUUUAUGGUUAAGGAACUUGUAGAGAAUCAAAAGCAAUGUGAAGAACAGUUAAAUGAUUCCGUAAGCCAAUCAAAUUUAGACAUUGUUAAACAAGUUUGCAAGAUUACUAGACAGUGCCUAGAACUGCUAUCCCAUGGCUAAAGCUUCAUCAUUUAUGUUAGGCUAAACCCUAGAACUGGCCAAAACCCUAAUACCCAAAUCAGAAAUCUCACUAUAGAAUAAAAAAAAAAAAAACUAACUAGUUUUAUGGUUAUGGAAUUUGUAGAAAGGGAAAAAGAAGAGAGAAAAAUGAGCACAUCGGAGCUGCCAAGGAAAGAAGCCAAUGUCCUAAAAGGCCACGAAGGUGCAGUUUUAGCAGCCAGAUUCAACAGCGAUGGCAAUUAUUGCCUCAGCUGCGGCAAAGACCGCACCAUCCGUCUUUGGAACCCCCACCGUGGCAUCCACAUCAAAACCUACAAAUCUCACGGCCGCGAAGUACGCGACGUCCAUGUCACCCUGGAUAACUCUAAGCUGUGUUCUUGUGGUGGAGACCGACAGAUUUUCUAUUGGGAUGUUUCCACCGGUCGUGUUAUUCGCAAGUUUCGUGGCCAUGACGGCGAGGUAAACGCGGUGAAGUUUAACGAGUAUGCAUCUGUGGUAGUAUCUGCUGGUUAUGAUAGAUCGUUGCGUGCUUGGGACUGUAGGUCUCACAGCACUGAACCCGUACAGAUAAUUGACUCGUUUUUGGACACUGUUAUGUCUGUAUGUUUAACCAAGACCGAAAUUAUUGGUGGGAGUGUUGAUGGAACUGUUCGAACAUUUGAUAUUCGUAUCGGUCGAGAAAUAUCAGAUGACUUAGGGCAACCUGUCAACUGUAUCUCAUUGUCAAAUGACAAUAACUGCAUAUUAGCUAAUUGCUUGGAUUCAACUUUACGACUUUUAGAUAGGUCCACAGGUGAACUAUUGCAAGAAUAUAAAGGACAUGCUUGCAAGUCCUACAAAAUGGAUUGCUGCCUAACCAACAGUGAUGCGCAUGUAACUGGUGGAUCUGAGGAUGGCUCGAUUUUCUUCUGGGAUUUAGUAGAUGCAUCUGUGGUUUCAAAAUUUCGAGCUCAUUCAUCAGUGGUAACAAGUGUGAGUUACCACCCGAAAGACAACUGUAUGAUAACCUCCUCCGUGGAUGGCACUGUUCGAGUUUGGAAAACAUGAGGUUAUGAACAAUCAAGCUUGUCACUUCUUAUUGCAUCCGAAUUGCAAGAACUAUGGAGGUUUGGUACCUGACAUUUAGCUUAGUUUGCUCUGUAAAUUGUUGUUAAAUGAUGGAACCAUAUAUUUUUCCAUAUUAAUACCCCAAUGCACUUCUUUGGUUUGUGAGAAUUCUCAUGUCAUCACAUCUUUGUUUAGAACUCUUGGUUUCACAUUUCCCCUCUUUUAAUUUUUCGGGACCUGGUUUUUUUGAGAGAUUUUGAGGCAGCAAGAGAAUGUGGUUUUCGCUCUGCGUUUCUUUCAUUGGCUGUGGUCGGAAUACGAGUUUUCUCCGGACUUUGACUCGCAUAUCAGAAAGAAAUUUUUUUCAUCAGACCAAUUUUGAACCCAAGCCAGGUUCUUUAGAACGCUACUUAAGAUGUCUUUGUGAAAACAAAUCAGUUGAAGAAGGUGUAGAUGUGUUCUCCAUCUUGACUGAGAUUGGUUAUUGUCCAUCAAUAGAGACGUGGAAUUUAGCAUUAUUGGCUUAAGGUUGGUAGGAAUGAUCUUAUGUGGAAAUUGUAUCAGGAUAUGGUAGAACCCGGUGUUGGGGUCGAUAUUGAUGUUGGGGCUGUUGGGUGUUUGAUUCAAGCCUUUUGCAUUUAUGGGAAAGUUUCGAAAGGCUAGGAGCAUCUUCUGCCGAUAGGUUGAUGCCGGAUAUGUUGCAGAGGGAAUGGAACGGUUCAGAGAGACGCUGAAGAAUCAACUCAAACCGCGACACGAUACUUUCGAGAAACUGAUUCGAUCUCUCAGAAAGUGAUAGGUUCCAUGAUUCUUUACUUUUAAAUUUCAUGCUUAGAUUAGGAUAUGCACUUAAAACAAACAUAUGCCAUUCUAUUGUUAACAAGUUUUGUCAAAUGAAUGCUCAUCUUGUUGGAAUCAUGUUAAAGUGCAUUAAAUUUGAUUUUAAUUAUAUUAAGUAUUUAUUAUUAAAAUAUUUUAUGUAAAUGAAUUUAUAGUGGCAUUCCAAUAAUGAUAAUAAUGAAUGUAAAUUAUGAGAUAAAUUGAGAUAAAAAAAAAAAAAGAAGAAGCUUAAGGCAUAAUGUGAAAUUUAGCACUUAAUAUUUAAAUUUUUUAUCAAUUUGAUUUUUUUUAUCUCAAAAAAAAUAAAGAAAAAAGAAAGAAAUAAAUAAAUAAAUAACUAGAAGUAUAGUUUAAUGCUAAAAAGAGAGAUGGGAAAUAAUUUUUAUAUUUAACGUGCCACGUUAGAUAAACGUUAUCCCAUUAAAGGCGCUUAACACUUAAGUGAUAUAACUAUUUAAUAAUAUUAAUGACAGUUUUGUACGAUUUAAAAAGUGAGUGAUCGAAAUGAAAUUUUAAUAAAAAUUUAGGGACAAAUAAUAUAGUUUACCCAAAAAGUAUUGAUGCAAAUCUAAAAAUUAAAUAUGCAAUUUAACCCAAUUGGACCAUCCUAGAAGUAUCAUAUCUUUGGAAAACUGCAGAGUGGAAAGUACAUUCAUGUCUUGUCAUUAUUCUUAUCGAAAUAGUUGUUUAAAGGUCAUUUUCAGGUUAUAUGGAAAGUAUCUCAUACUAAUCAUUAGUAUUUUUUUAAUUAUUAUUUCGAUACCUUCUUAAUUUUUUUUAUUUUAAGAUAAUUUUGUAUUUAUUUAAGUAGGAAAAUAGCGGCUAAUUUAUCAAAAAAAAACCUUUUUUUUUAAUUUAUCGAAAUGGGCCAAUUUUUUGAUUAUUUACCGGAAUAGUCCAUUUUUCGGGAAAUCGCGUCCACGUCAGCGCGAUGUCAGGGUACGUGCCAGGACAUCGCGUCCACGUCCCGCGCGUGAACAGUACCCCAACGGUCAAAAAUUUAACCGUUGCCCCCCACCCCAACGGUAAAAAAAAACUAUAAAAACCACCCCACCCCUUUUUUUUCCACAAACAAAUCCUAUCUCAAUUUCCUUCCAAAAUCCUCUCAAUUUCCUUCCAAAAAUCUCUCAAAUCCAUAUUAAAUUUCAAUUUCCCCUCAAUUUCAUUUUUUAAAAUAAUUUUAAUUUUUUUUUAUAUUUUCAUCAAUGGCCGAAUCAUUGAUUCGUCUUGAUAGUAAUCACAUAUCGGUGGAGCAAAUGAAAAUGGUAAGUAUUAAAUUUAAAUUUUAAAUAUUAUUUAAGAUAUUUUUAUUUAUGUAUUUUUAGAUAAUUAUUAAUUUAUUAUUUGUUAUAAAAGUCUGAAGAUCGGGUAUUGGAAUGCAAUAUCUGGAAUAUGCAUGCUCAUCCAUCACCGUUAGUAGAGAACUACCUGCGGGAAGCGGGUUUUUGGCACGUGUCGACGGUAGGCCGGGGAUGCAAGUUGGAGCCGAAACUGAUCAGUGCGUUGAUCGAGAGGUGGAGACCCGAGACGCACACAUUUCAUCUUCCAUGUGGAGAGUGCACUAUCACUCUAGAAGAUGUCCAUCUGCAAUUGGGAUUGCCGGUGGACGGGCACCCAGUCACCGAGUCUGCCCAAUCUAGCAAUUGGGAGGCGGUGUGCUACAAGCUUUUGGGCGUUGUUCCGGAUAAAAUGGAUGGAGGUAAGGUGGAGAUGGGCUGGUUACGUGCCACAUUCCCCGAUCCGAAUGCAAAUUCAACCAAAAUUGAAAGAAUCUGAUAUGCUCGAUCAUACAUUCUUCAAAUAAUUAGAGGUUAUCUGAUGCCCGACACGUCACGGAGCCGUGUACAUCUAAGGUGGCUGCUAAAACUCGUUGAUUUCAGAAGAGCCGGUGAAUUUAGUUGGGGGUCUGCCGUUUUGGCAACAUUAUAUCGGGAGAUGUGCGGGGCGACGCGACCGAGGAGAGAAAACAUCGGAGGUUGCCUGUACUACUGCAAUCAUGGGCACGGUUUCGCUUUCCAUUUCUACGUCCUCGAGUGAACCACCCAUAUACAUUCCCCCUCGUAACGAGGUAAAUUUUAUAUUACAUUUUGGAAUUGUUAUGUGGAUUUUGUAAGAAUAAAAGUAUGCUAAAAAUUUAUUUAAUUAGGUGGAACCAUCCGACAAGUUAUCGUGGAUUACCGUCUGAACUUGAAGAUAUACGGUUUCUAUUGGAGCAACGGUCGGAAGCAGAAGUAAGUAUUAUUGCAAAUAGAUAUUUCCAUACAUUCGCUAGUGGGUUGAUAUUUAGUAUUUAGUAUUUUGUAUUAUGUAUAUAACUAAUAUUUCUAUCAUGUUCAUGUAGUUUCAAUGGACACCAUACGAGGAUCCGGCAAUCCGGGCAGUAAUCCCGGAAGAGUUUUUACAAAAUCUGAAUGCUUGGCACGCGAAAGUGGUGUUGAUCAACUAUGCAACUGUGGAGCCCCAUUAGACAGACAGAGUCCUACGACAGUUUGGAUGUGACAACCGAUUCCUGAGGAGCCUGAGGUGUUUGACGAUCACCACAAAAUCGACCUUCGGCUAUUAGGUACGGAUUGGCCUAGAUACUGGUCAAAGUACACGGAAAUGUGGGAAAAUCGGCAUGAAUAUCUACCUACUCGGGAAGAAAUCAUCGUUCCGGAGUUAGCGUGCGUUCCAGAAUACAUGCCAUGGUUUAGGAUCCAUGGCAAGCAGUAUUUACUUACGCCAGAGGAGAGGCAGCGGCAAAUACGUGGAGGAAGGGAAAGGCGCGGGCCUCUAAAUCCAAGGCGACAAGACUACGAAGGCAGCCCCUCAACGAGGCCCAGACAUUCACCCGGCUCAUCAUCAGCAGCCAUGCAAUCACCGUCCCCAACGAGAGCACCGACGCAGUCACCUGACGCAGCAAUUCAACAGAUGAUACCACGCAAUCGCCUUUCCCUAUGAUGCCAGGUGUGUUUCCUAGCCCUUAUAUGUACCCUAACCCGUACAUGUAUCCUUUUCCGAAUCCUAUGGCAGGUUGGAGCCAAAUGCCCGGAUCAGCUCCAUUUCUUAUUAUGCCGAGCGGACCACCGAUAACUAAGCCAGCGGUGCAGGAGGGGUCGCAAGGGGGGGGCGUCGUGGAGCUAUCCUUUUUACCAAUUGCCAGCAACGCAUGGCUUUUUCAAACACCGUCGCCGUUCAGGAUGCAAACACCUCCACAUACACUAUUCUUUGAAGGUGGGAUCAUCGUCCCAAGUCCGACACUAGAUGCCGAACCGGAAAGAACAACAAUCAGCACGCGGAGGAAAGAAACAACCUCCGCCUGAAGCUAAGAGGAAAGAAGGAAUCCAGCGAGUAAACGUCGACGGCAGCCAUGAGGAAUCGAUCCCCCGGGCAUAGACAGAACCGGAGGACAAUGGCCGAGGGGAGUGAAGGAAAGAGAAAGGGAGGGAUGUAAUACGCAAAAAAAGGGGCCGAGUGGAUGAGAUGAGGGGAGAUAAAAAUAGAAGGCGAUUUGAGAAGAAUAGGGAAAAGUAAAAACCCAAAACAACCGAAUUUAAAAAAAACAACCCAAAAUGAAAAACCCGAACCUAAGGAAAAACCCGAACCCGAACGGAAGGGAAGGAAAAACCCGAAACCCUAACCCGGACCGAAGGGAAGGAAAAACCCCAAACCCUAACCGAAGGGAAAAAAACCCUAACCCUGACCGAAGGGAAGGAAAAACCGGAAACCCUAACCGAAGGAAUAAAAAACCCUAAACCCGACCGAAUUUAAGGAAAAACCCGAACCCGAACCGAAGGGAAGGAAAAACCCGAACCCGAACCGAAGGGAAGGAAAAACCCUAAACCCGAACCUAAAAAAAAACCCUAACCCUAACCGAAAAAAAAACCCGAACCGAAUUUAAUUAAAAACCCUAAACCCUAACCGAAGGGAAAAAAACCCUAACCCGAACCGAAUUAAUUAAAAACCCUAACCCUAACUAAUUAAUUAAAAACCCGAACCCGAACCCCAACCUAAUUUAAAAAAACCCGAAACCCUAACCUAAUUUAAUUAAAAACCCCAAACCCUAACCUAAUUUAAAAAAACCCUAACUCGAACCUAAUUUAAUUAAAAACCCUAACCCUAACCCUAACCCUAACCUAAUUUAAUUAAAAACCCUAACCCUAACCUAAUUUAAUUAAAAACCCUAAACCCUAACCCUAACCUAAUUUAAUUAAAAAUCGUAAACCCUAACUUAAUUUAAUUAAAAACCCUAACAACCUAAUUUAAUUAAAAACCCUAAACCCUAACUUAAUUUAAUUAAAAACCCUAACCAUUAACAAAAGUUUUUGGGCUUAAUAAUUUUACAUAGUUUUACAUAAUGUUAGAUUUGGUAAAAUGUUUUGACUGGUACUAACAAUUAAGAAAUUAAAUUAAUUUGAUAUUUUUUUUCUAAAAUUACAUUCAACUAUUGCGAUUAGGGCAUGAUCGACUUGUAUGGCCUGGGUUCCUACACCAUCCGCACAACUUCUGUUGACUGGCUGUUUCUCGGAUAUCCAUAUUGUUCUGUAUUCUAGUGGAACAAGGUCAACCCUUUGGUUUGCGACGCAAUUAUCUAUUCGAUAAUAGCUUAAAAGGAGCAAGAGAUACGGGCGGCCACUUACGUUCAUCUGGGACCGGUGGGAAAACGUGUCUCCAUACGUUGUACAUGUUUUCUAAUUUGUACACUUCGUCCACAUAACUCAGCGGAUCCAGACGGAGUUUCUAACAAGCUGCAAUAACAUGAGCGCAUGGAUAACGAAGUGCAUCAAACUUCCCACAGUCACAAGUCCUGUUUCGCAAGUGUACACGAUAUUGCCCGCCAACAACACCUUGGUGCGGUCUGUCAAACUCCCUCACGCGAAACCAUAAAUUGUCUCGAUCGUGACACACUGUGUGCAUGAUGUUUGCCCUCGCCUUCGCCUUGUUAAUUUCUUGAACUACCUUACUGCACCAUACAUGGCCACCCUGCAUCUGGCCUGCAUAAGUUGCUGCUCGCUUUGGAAAUAGCGCCACCAAACGAAAAUAUGUCUCUCGCACAACCGAUGUUAUCGGUAGAUGGCACGUUCCUUUAAGAACAGAAUUUAUGCAUUCUGCCAAGUUCGACGUCAUAUGGCCAUAUCUUAGGCCUCCGUCGUAUGCUUGUGCCCACUGUUCGAAACGCAUAUUACAAAGGUAGUCCGCCCCUUCUUCGUUUUGGGAUUGUAAAAUUGCCAACAUCUCGUGAAAACGAUCUUUAUUUAUUUCAUACCCUGCCAAUUUAAGUUCAUAGAGAAUAUUUUAUACCACUUCUACCAAUAAAACUAAUUCAAAUUGGCAAACGAAAUAAUACAGUUAUAGAGUAAAUACCCAUGUUGGUCAAUUGUCGUCGUUCGCUCUUAGAUGGAUAUUGCUUGUAGUAGUUCGAAGCAACGUGUCUUAGGCAAUAUCUAUGGUGUGUGCACUGGAACAAGCUUCCCUCUCGAUCAAAUGCAGCUAGUAUACCGGCGCCCCGAUCUGAAAUAACACAGAUAUCAGGUUGGUGGCACACAUGCCUCCUUAACCUAGAGAGAAAGAAAUCUCAGUCAUCAGACGACUCCCCGGUGUUAUUGCAAAUGCAAUAGGAAGAAUUCUCGCACCGCCGUCUUGUGCCACUACAACCAAUAGCCGAUGAGUAUACCUACCGAACAUGAAUGUACCGUCAAUUUGUACCAAUAGCUUGAGUAUGGCAAUGCGUCUCGGCAUUGCUUAAAGGUCCAAAAUAGGCGUUUGAACACUUGGCAUCCACGUAGCAAUCGGCCGUUGUAGUACGCAUGUUCCGUUUCAAAGUCUGUGAUGGCACCUGGGACGUAUCUCUCUAGCACUUGACACCACUGCCAUAUUUCAUUAUAUGAGGCAUCCCACCCACUAUGCAGCUUCUCUAACGCCUUUUGUUUAGCUAUCCGUGUACCCCAUUUGGCUACGGAUAUUGUCAAUUAUCACCGGUACUGAAGUCCUAGGAUCUGCUUUUAUCGUGGGCAGUAUCAAGCUAGCCAACAUAGCUGAAUCCAUUUUGGGAUGAUCUUGUGAAACACCUACAGAAGGAGUACAUUAAAUAAUGCAACAUUGCAAAAUAAAAUUAUUAUUCAGAUACAUUCAAUACUGUACCUGCAGCACAUGUAUGUGGACCUUUGUACUUUUUUAUCUCCCACAACCCUGUCCCUUUCCUUAACGAGGCGACGAUUUUCCAUGAACAUGUGUCGUCUUGCACCGUACACUUCGCCUCAGACUUAUCAGAUUUUGAUUUAACGACGUGGUAAUUAACGUCUUUUUUGAUGCUAUGCUAUUUCAAAGCACCAAUAAAACUAUCCUUAUUGGUAAACUGAUUACCAACUUCAAGUUCACCGAAAUCUACCCCCGAACUUGUACGAUCGCACAUCCGGUGUGGUAGAUCUGGAAACUCUAACGCAUCAUCCGCUGACAGAUUGACAUUAUGCAUGUGGGCUGGAGGUGAGUAUGCUCUGAAUCGUGGAUUUUCUUCAUCAUCUGAACUCCUUUCACCAUCUUCACUUUCUGUUGGAAUAGGCUCCGGUUCAGAAAAUAAUCCCACCUCUGCACCAUCCGGCCCGGGCUCUCGAGGUGGAUCCACAUCGGAGUCAUCUUCUAACCAGCGUAUGACGUCCCCUCACCGGUUGAUGUCAUAGGUAGUACGUCAUCCCUUCUUUUGGGCAUUUGAUAACGUCUCCAAUUGGAUGUAGAUUGCCAUCCACUAGAACUUGAUGCAGUUCCCCAGUACGUAUUUCCAGCUUCAAACGUCGAGCCACCGACGUACAUGUCCCAUCUACCGACAGAGUGUCUUGCGGGGGAUGUGCAUUCGACACUGCCACCGAACAUGGGUUGUUCCGUAUUUUAUAACCCGCUAACCGAGUGUCAGCCAGGGUUCGUGUAUACAUCUCGAACACCGGACGGAAGUACAUCAGUUGGCGACGUAAAUUGUACAUAUAACUCAAUAUAAGUUGCUCCGCUAGCAAGAUGAGUCUGCACCAUUGCCUCCAAGCUACGAGCACCUUUUAUGUCGAACGAGUCAUAUGUCACCGGAUCAACAGAAGAACAAAAUCGAUACGUGAUUGACAGAACUUUCAUUGGCGUCGUUUCGAAUAUUUUAUGCCUAAUUCUUUUACGAAGUUCUGUCAAAUCUAUGUUCUGGUUAAAUGACAGUCGCACCGUAUUCUCCGACAAAAAAAUAACACCAUUCUCGGUGUGACAAACCUCACCAUCGUAGUAAAUAACAGCACUAAUACGUUUACUCAUUUUGAAACUCUAACUUUCUUAGCCUCUCUAAAAUGUUUCUGCUAUGACUUAUGCAUUCUAAGAACAUUUUCUGCCUAAUUUAUAGCCUCAGCCCAAACUUGCUACUGUAGCAAAAUCGCGUCCACGAGGGCUCGAUUUUAUACUAUUUGCUCAGAAACGUCAAAAAAAAUUAUUUCUUACAUGACCAACUGUAGCGAAAUCGCGCCCACGAGGGCACGAUUUCACGAUUUCACAAUUUCUUCUCAAAUAGCAUCCUGGUAGAAGCGAUUUUAUACUAUUUGCUUAGAAACGUCAAAAAAAUUAUUUCUUACAUGACCAAUUGUAGCGAAAUCGCAUCCACGAGGGCACAAUUUCACAAUUUCUUCUCAAAUAGCAUCCUGGUAGAAGUGAUUUUAUACUAUUUGCUCAGAAAUGUCAAAAAAAAUUAUUUCUUACAUGACCAAUUGUAGCGAAAUCGCGUCCACGAGGGCACGAUUUCACAAUUUCUUCUCAAAUAGCAUCCUGGUAGAAGCGAUUUUAUACUAUUUGACCAGAAACGUCAACUCAAAAUAAUUUAUUCUGGGACCCCUAAACCCUAAAAAGCCGCACCCUAAACCCUAAAAGCCAGAAAACCCAAAUGUGAAAUUAUCGUCAAAAUUGCGUCCCCGGGAACGCGCUACGUGGCAGGACAUUGCGUCCACGUCAGUAGGUCGCACUGAUGUGGACGCGAUGUCCUGACAAGUACCCUGACAUCGCGCUGACGUGGACGCGAUUUCCCAGAAAAUGGACCAUUCCGGUAAAUAAUCAAAAAAUCGGCCCAUUUUGGUAAAUUUUAAAAAAAGAGAGCUUUUUUUGGCAAAUUGCCCGAAAAUAGCAAAUUUGACUUUAUGUAUUUUGUCAAAUCUUCUAAUACAAUAUCUCUACUUUGAAAAUGUUUAUUUUGGUACUUGAAGUUUGAUUCCAUCUAAAAAAGAAAUUAGCACUGAUAGAUGUAGGUACCGUAUUGAUAGAUGGAGUAAAAAUUCAAAUACUAAAAUAGAUAUUUUCAAAGUAAAAGUACCAUAUUAAAAGAUUUAAUAAAGUAUAAGGGCCAAAUAUGCAAUUAUCCUUAUUUAGUGUAAUUAUGAGUUUUAUAUUUUCACUAGGGUUUUUUACGUUGUUGAUUAGAAUUUAAAAAAUCAUAAAUUUUUUUAUGGUGCUGGCAAUUCGUUGUUGUUCAUAUAUUAUGAUAUGAAUAUACCACACCAAAUCAUUAUCUAUAGAUGAUGAGAUUCCAUUGAUACAAAGUCAAUUCCAAUAGACUUAUUGGAGGGUCCCAUUGGCGUGCAUCCAAUAGGAAUUGAACCUACGAAUUCUCCAAUUAUGAGUUGGGCAUUUUAACUAUUCAGCCAUAGAUGCUUAGCGGGGAUCCUCAUACAUGGUGAAAAACUAAAUUCCAAUUGAAAUGAAAUCUUUAGAAUAAAUCAAUGCAAUUUAGGAGGAAUCAAUGAAAGGACAUCAGUUCAAAUCCUGGAUUUUCGAAUUGAGAGAGAUCAAGAGUCCUCACUAUUUCUUAGAUUCAUGGACCCAAUUCAAUUCAGUGGAAUCUUUCAUUCACAUUUUUUUUCCACCAAGAACAUUUUAUAAAACUCUUGGACCCUUGAAUUUGGAGUAUCCAAUUUUCACGCAAUUCAUAGGGUUCAACAAGCAAUAGAUAUUUUACAAUCAUGGGUGUAGUACUAUUUGUAGUAGCGGUCCUUAUAUAUCAUAUUAACAAUCAUAAUAUGGUCGAAAGAAAAAAAUCUCCUGAGCAAUCGGCGGCACUAGUAUGUAUUUAUCACAAAAUAUAUACUUGUAUUUUUUAUUGUUAGACUGAAAAAAUAUUUUUUUAAUGGUAUCGCCGAUGGGUCAGGUGGCACCGAAAUUAAUUAAUAUUUUUUUAAAAAAAUUUAAAAAAAGAAGCUAAAACUUGGUUUGGGAGCUGAACCCAUGAUUGAUCAGUCACGUCGGUGGUAGGUUGUCAGGCCGGUGCCAUCUAGUUGUCGGCGGCACUGGCCUGACGGCUUGCCAACGACGUGAUCGGUCAAUCACGGGUUCGACUCCCAAAUCGAGUUUUUCAACUUUUUUUUUAAGUUUAAUAAUAAAAGAAUUUAUAUAUAUUAAAUUAUUCCGAUACCUCCUGACACGUCAACGACACCAUUAAAAAAUAUAUAUUUUUACCUGAUACAACACAAAUAUACGGGACCAAUACAAUACCAAUAUUGCCAAUUGCUCAAGCUACACCAAAGAAAAUUUAUUAUUCUUUACACUACAAAUCACCAACACAAUCAUUGGUGACAGACUAACUUAGUGCAGCCAAUUGGUUAGGUAGCACCAUGAGUUCACUAUGCAAUCUACCUAUAUUCAUAAAUAAUGGACCUGUUAUCCUAUUUCAGUAUUUAAUUUUUUAUUAUUAUUUAGGUAAAAAAAAAAAACCACCUUUCUAGUUUCUACUUUGAUUCAUCAAAAUUUAGUUCACAAGCAUUAUUAAGAAAAAUUAAAAAGUGAAUACAGUUGUUGGUUAACACAUAAAUUUGAUCUGUCGAUUUUUUUUUAAAAUUAUUACAUAAAUCAUUAACUUAUUGAUUCUUAUUAAUUUAUUACAUACAAAUUGUUGAACCGUCGAUUUUUAUAUUAAUAAUUUAAUAAUAUUACUAAUUAGAUUUAACUUUUCGAUUAUCUGUAAAAUAUGAGGAUCAAAUUGUAACAAAUUAAAGUCGAAUGGAUGAUAGGGGCGGGUGAGUGGAGAUUGUGAUCCUUUCUUAAUUCUUAUCCACCAAAGCUUCCAACUUGCCCACAUAUCAUUAUUGGACCCUCACCAUUUACCAACUUUUAUUAUUAUUUUUAUACCCAAAAAAGAAUUUUUAUUGUUUUUUUUCCCUCUUUAAAGGACCCAAUUUGUCAUUUAUUUAUAAUUCAAAGUUGCUUUUUAUUUUUAUUUUUCCUUUUAAUAUUAAUAUUGUUUUCCAAUUGACUCAACUGCCCUCAAAGGCAUCACAUGUCAUUCUCAAUAAUUUAUAUGAUAAGAUGAAAACAAAAUCCAAACUUUAUAAUUAUAUAAUCAAGUGAUAAACUAUAACCUCACGUUAUUUAAUUCAUCUAUCAAUUAAUUUUAACAAUUGGUCAAUGAUGAAAAUUAUUAAUGAGAUGAUUUAAUUGAUUUUUUUAUUAAAAAUCGGAGCUUAAUUGAUGAGAAUUUAGUGUAUGAGCUCAAUUGGCUUUUUUUUUUCAUUUUUUCUUAAAAGCUUUUUGUAUCCAAGGGCAUUUAGGGGUGUUAGAUACAUGAUAUCAAUAGAGGUCAAGAUGGAAGGGAUGGUGUUCUGGUCCAAAAAAUAAAGAAGAAACUUCCUCAAAUGAAUUGCAUGGGGCUACUUAAACUAUGAGUAUUUUGAGUCAGAUCUCGAGUCGGGUUCUUAUAUAUAUUUUUUAGUUGUAUAGUAAUUUAUCUUCCCUCUUGUCAAAGAAGAGUUAUAAAGUGACUCUUCUGAGACAAGCUUAUACUUAUGAUGUGUGUAAUUUGGGGCUUAUUAUAUAUGUUUUAACCUAAAACUUUAUUAAACAAAUUUUGUUGUUUGAUAGUGUGGUACAAGAAUUAAGCCCCAAAUUACACAUAUCAUAAGUGUAAGCUUGUUUCAGAAAAGUCACUUUAUAACUCUUUUUCGACCAGAGAGGGGACAAAUUGUUAUACAAUUAUAAAAAUAUAAAAGAAUCCGACCCAAUUAUCUAACCCAAAACACCUAUAGUUUAAGUAACCUCAUGCAAUUGAUUUGAGGGUUCUAAACCAGAACACCAUUCCUCUCUAUCUUGACCUCUGUUGGUAUCUUGUAUCAAUAGGGACAAGGACCUUGCCUCUCAAAAAAUAAAAAAAUUACUCUUUUUAUCCCUUCGAAAAUGAAGAAAUUAUAUAUUAAUAUAUAGUGAAAUUAUAAAUUAAUUUUUUGUCCUCAAUAAAAAAAAGUUAUUAUCAAACUUAUCUUUCGAAGAAAUCCAUGAACCGAAGCAAAGGGUAUGACCGUAAUUUAAAGCAAGACUAAGGGGAACUAUGUAAAAACAAUCCGUCUUGGUUUGUUCUUCAUGCCCUUGACGUUUUCUUCGCAAAACCUCAAAAUAGAAAACAAAAAGGAAAGAACAAGAAAAUUUCUGAGCUUCCUUUUGGGUAUUUUGUUGAUCUUUUUUCUGAUUCUUUUUAGGUUUUCUACACUUCCGUAGAUUUGAAUUUAAACUGGUAAGUUAAAGAGAAUUCUUGUCUAAUUUUUUUGUUUAAAUUUUGCUGCAUUUUUUGGUAGAUUAAUUGAUUUUCCUUUUUGAUUUUCAGGUUUUAUCUAAAAGGUUCAAAAGGAGGGGUAUUUACAUUGUGAGUGUUACCUUUCGCUCAUUAUUAUUUAUAUUUAUUUGUCAAAUUGAGAUUCCUAUGUUCUUUUAAGCCUUUAAACUUUUUUUUUCUUUAUGUUACGAUUUCUUUUUGAUGGAUUAAUCGUUGUUGAUUGGAUAUGUUUAUGUAUUGUGUUAUUGAACUGAAGAGCCUGGAAAAUUUUUUGCAAUGAAGUUAAUAAAAGUUAAUUAGAAGAUUAUAUCUAUAUAUAUUUCAUAUUAAUAUUGGAAAAGUCCUUUCUGAAGCUUCUUAAUACUGAGUAUAUAUUCAUAUAGUUGACUAAUUAUCAGGAACAGAAAAGGAAUUUAUGAGUAAAAAGGAAAGAGAAAUUGAAGCUUGAAUUGAAUUUUUGAUUUGAAAUUUUGAAAUCAUAUAUAUAUAUCUGUGUGUAAAUUCUAGUACAAAUUAAUGAAGUCCAAAAAAUCAUAAAGAAAAUAAUGAUACUUCCAAACAGACCUGGAAUCGUGAUGAUGAUGAAUAAGUUUUUUUUUUUAAUGUAAACCAUGGAUUAAACCGUUACAAGGAAACGGAAUGUUUAUCCUGUUAAUUAUCUUGUUCAAUGACGGGUUUUGGAAAUUGAGCUGAUGUCCGAGGCUCUUCUUUGUUUGUUUCAUUGUAUUGUUGAAUGUUGGUUGGUGGAUCUUCAAUUGUUUGAAUUUCUCUUUGAGUAUCAUAUUUGAUUGGUUCAUUGUUUGCAUAUUAUGUAUUUGGGUGUAUAUUUGAUUAUUUAAAGUUGUUUUAGUGCUUAAUUUUGUGUUUGGGUGGCUUUAUCAGGAAAGACUGAAUGAUCUAAUGGAGACCAAGGGUGGGAAAAAGACAAAGUCCAAUAGUAGUAGUAAAUCCUUUUUCUAUGAAGCUCCUUUAGGUUACAGCAUUGAAGACGUCCGACCUCACGGUGGAAUCAAGAAGUUCCGAUCUGCUGCUUAUUCCAACGUGAGUUUUUUACUUGGAUUUUGUGGUCAUCGUAAAUAUACUGAUAGAAUCUUUUGACUGACAUCUUCUGAUGCUUUUUAUUGUUUUUGCAGUGCGUCCGAAAGCCAUCAUGAGAUUUGCGAAAUUCAUAGAUAGUCCCAAAGCCUCAAUCUCACUGCAAUUAUAUCUAGUUUGUUUGUUUACUUGCUUGCUUCCUUAUUCUCUAGUUCUUCCUUCUUUGUACGCUUGUUUAUUUUAAUCCAAGAUGGCCUUCCCUGUCUCUGCAAUCGGAUAUGAAGGCUAUGAAAAAAGACUUGAGAUUUCGUUUUUUGACCCUGGUUUUUCUGUUGAUCCUCGAGGGAUGGGUCUCCGUUCCUUAUCCAAAGCACAAUUGGAUGAAAUCCUAAAACCGGCUGAAUGCACGAUUGUUUCUUCACUAUCAAACAAUCAUGUCGAUUCAUAUGUUCUUUCUGAAUCAAGCCUCUUUGUCUACCCAUACAAAAUCAUCAUAAAGACUUGUGGCACUACGAAAUUGCUCUUUUCGAUCCCUGCUAUUCUGAAACUGGCCAACAGCCUUUCACUUUCUGUACAGUCUGUGAGGUACACUCGUGGGAGCUUCAUAUUUCCUGGGGCUCAACCAUUUCCACACCGUAACUUCUGCGAGGAAGUAGCGAUCCUUGAUCGCUAUUUUCUUAAGCUUGGUUCUCAUAGAAAGGCUUAUAUUAUGGGUGGUUCUGAUAAAACAAAGACAUGGCAUGUUUAUUCAGCUUCUGCACGAAUGAGUAGUCAUUCAAAUCCGGUGUAUACUUUAGAAAUGUGCAUGACCGGUUUGGACAGGAAGAAAGCCUCUAUCUUUUACAAAACUCAUGCAAGUUCAGCAGCUUCAAUGACCGAGCAUUCAGGAAUCCGAAAGAUUCUUCCACACUCGCAAAUAUGCGAUUUCGAGUUCGACCCUUGCGGUUACUCCAUGAAUUCGAUUGAAAAGGGUGCAAUCUCAACAAUCCAUGUCACUCCAGAAGAUGGUUUCAGUUAUGCUAGUUUCGAGGCAUCUGGUUAUGAUUUUGAAACUCUGAAUUCGAAUCAACUGAUCAAGAGGGUUUUGGCUUGUUUCAAACCAACUGAGUUCUCUGUAUCUCUGCAUGUUAACAUGACCCGAGAUGACCUCAGGUGUAGGAUGCCAUCUUACGUGAAUGGAUACUGUUGCGAAAAAAGGAGCUUUGAACAGCUCGGGAAUGGGGGUUCGGUCAUGUACUACAGCUUUGUUGGGGGUGACAUGUGUGUGUCCCCUAGGUCAAUUCUGAAAUCAUGCAGCUGGAAUGAGGAUGAGCAAAGUGUUGGGGUUAGGCCUGCUCCAUACCAUUUGAGUGCUCUAUAGCUUUGGAUUGAAUCUGUUUCUGGAAAAAGAGAAUUGCACUGGCUUUAAAGCUUUAAAGGUGAGGGACCAGAAGGAUAAGGAUGUUGAACUGAAAUUAUGUUUUGUUUUGUUUUGUUUUGUUGUCUUGUUUUUGUUUUUAAUAAUAUUUGUCUGUGUUGUUUUAUCUUUGAAUAAAUGUAAUUAUCAGUGAUAUUGGGUGGCAAAUGGGACUAGAAUAAAUUGUGGGAUUGUUGUUACUGUAGCAUUUCCUGGGAAAGUACCAAGAAAGCCCCUGUAAUUAGGGGUGGAUUGCAUUUUGGCUCUUCAGUUAGUCUUUAUAUUUUGAAAUGUGCAAAUUAGUUCAUCUGUUAAAUUUUUUCUAAUGAUCAGUGGAAUGUUAAUUUAAAUGAUUAAUAACUAAUUUGAUAUCUAGAUUAUAGAUAAGAUAUCAUUUUGGUUUUUUUAAAUUAACAAUAAUUCUAAAAAAUUAAAAAAAUCUGAAAAAUAACUCUAAAUUAUUAAAAUCAUAUUAAAAGUAUUAAAAAUUAUGUUAAAAAUUCCACAAAUUUAGUCUUCAAUGUUUAUAAAAUUUGUCAUUUUAGUUCUUUUUUUAAACAAAUUGUCCCUUUAAAAAUCAAAGUUAGGUUUCCAUUAAAACAAAAUCAAACCAAGUUUUAUAAAAGCCAAAAUUCACAUUCAAAGAAGCUCUUUGUUGGUGAAUCAUUGUGUUUUUUUUUUCUUUUUGAAAAAUUGAACUCUCAUUCAAUAAUGGGAGUCAUUUUCAUUUUUCAAUAAAAUUCUCGAUUUGAUAAGAACUAUCUAAUGCAAUAAGGAACUAACCUUACUUGUUGAAAACGCUCUCCAAUGUAAUUUUAGAAUCACCCAUUUCAAUAAAAUCAUGGUUUUAUAACUGUUGAAAUACAAUCAAACAAAAGAAGCAACACAUUUAUAGUAAACAAAGUCUUUUGAUUUUGCAUCUCUCUUUGGCAACGAAGAAAAAGAUGAAGACAAUGAGCUCCUUUUGCUGCUUCCUCACCCUUUGGAGAUGUGUUGAUGGCUUUGGAGUUUUAUUUUGUUGAGUAGAACUCCUAUUUCAGUCAAAUUUGAGAAAUAAUCUUCCAGUUAAACUGUGUGUAUUUGUUUCAAUCAAACUUUAAUUAGUUUAGAUUAUUUUAUUAUUAUUUGACCUAUGAAUUUAACCUAUAAAUAGGCUCUUUUACAACCUUAUAAAAGACACCCAUUAGAGAUUAGAACUCAUAACACUUUUGGAAAAUUUUGUGUUUACGUUUUGAAGAUUCUUUGUUUUUUCGGGUUUUGGGAUUUAGUUUUUAUUUCCAUAUUUAUACUAUUCGUUCAUUUGCCAUUAUAGUAAACUUAUAUUUACCUGUGGUUUUUAUCCCCUUUGGAGAUGUUUUUCAAUUUUAAUUUUGUGUGUUCAAUUUCUCAAUUUAUUUCGUUAUUUUUACUUAUUCGUUGCUUAAUCAGGUCGGUCCUCAACAAGUGGUAUCAGAGCUAAUUUAAUUUUCGUAGAUCAGCUCGUUCAGAGAUGGUAACAAUAAGGUUUGACAUUAAAAAGUUCGAUGGUGUCACAAAUUUCAAUAUAUGACAAGUUUGAAUGAUGGCAAUUUUAAUUCAGACUAGCUUGAAAAAGGUCAUUACCGGGAAAAAAACCUACAAAACUAAAUCAAUCAGAAUGGGAAAAGAUUGAUGAAAAGACAUUGUUUGUAAUCCAGUUGUACCUCGCGAAUAGGGUAUUAUAGGAUAUAUUGAUGAAGAAGACCUCAUCCGCCUUGUGAAAAAGGUUAGAAACUCUUUAUGUGACUAAGUCUCUAGCUAACCAUUUAGUGUUGAAACAACGUCUUUUUAUGUUUCGCAUGAACAAAAAUGAGCUUUUUAGAGAUCACAUCAGUCAAUUCAUUACCCUUUUAAAUGAUUUAAUUAACAUUAAGGUUCAUAUUGAAGAUGAAGAUCAGACUAUGCUAUUAUUUUGUUAUUUACCCCUUUCAUACAGGUCUUUCAGGGAAACCUUGAUUUAUGACAGAGGCAAACUCUCGUUCGAGGAUGUGAAGGGUCAUUUAUUGAGUAAAGACAAACUCGACAAUGAGUUUGGUUCGGAUAGCAAGGCAGAUAGGCAAACUUCCGUUUUGGUAGCAUCAAGGAAGCGAGACAAAAGGUGUCGCUAUUGUAAGAAGUUAGGUCACGUCAAAGUAGAUUGUUAUAAACUACGAAAUAAAAUGGCUACUGAGAGUAACGAGAAAGAUGCAGUUAGUGCUAAUUUGGUCGAUGAAAGCAGUGAUGAUUUUUGUUAGUGUCAACGAACGAAAGCUCCAAGCUUACGUCCGAGUGGAUCCUAGAUUCAGGAUGUUCUUUCCACAUGUGUCCCAAUAAAGAAUGGUUCUCCACAUACAAUUUGAUUGAAGGUAGAUUUGUACUCAUGAGAAACGAUUCAUCCAGUAAAGUAAUUGGUACUGGUACUAUUAAAUUAGGAUGCACGAUGGGAUGAUUAGGACACUCUCAAAUGUCAGGUAUGUACCUGAUUUACGAAAGAAUCUCAUCACCUUGAGUAUUUUAGACUCGAUGCAGAAUCAACAUCGAGUCGAGCGACAUUAAGGUGUCUCAUGGGGUUCUCAUUUUGUUAAAAAGUAAAAGAACCGACAAUCUUUAUAUUCUAGAAGGUUCUACAGUGACCGAUGAAAUCGGAUGUCCCUCAUCUGUUACAGAGUCGAAGUCAACUAGUUUGGAGCGGAGGCAACUUGGUCAUAGGAGGGAAAAAUGUAUGAUCGCGUCGUUAAAGAGAUUUCUCUUUUGGAUGUUUUGAAAAGUUAGGACACUAUGUUUGUGAAAAUUAGACCCGAGUUAGUUUUGAUUUGACAAUGUACAAGUCGAAGGUUAGAAGUUUUCCUGUUUCUAAACACAAAUUCGACUCAGUUAAUUUCCUAUAUAGUUCAAUAUAAGCUUGUGGUUGGUUUUGACAAAGAUGACAUGAAAAUAUGAGUCAAGGUGGAGAUUUGUUGAGUAUGACUUCUAUUUUAGUCAAAUUUGAGAAAUAACCUUCCAGUUAAACUGUGUUUAUUUGUUUCAAUCAAAUUUUAAUUAGUUUAUAUUAUUUUAUUAUUGUUUGACCUAUGAAUUUAGCCUAUAAAUAAACUCUUUUACAGCCUUAGAAAAGACAUUAAUUAGAUAUUAGAACUCAUAACACUUGUAGAAAAUUUUGUAUUUACGUUUUGAGGGUUUUUUUUCGGGUUUCGAGGUUUAGUUUUUAUCUCCAUCUUUGUAGUAUUCGUUCUUUUGUCAUUAUAGUAAAAUUAUCUUUACUCUUGGUUUUUUAUCCUCUUUGGACGUAUUUUUCCACGUUAAAUUUGUGUGUUUAAUUUCUCAAUUUAUUUCGCAAUUUUUCCUUGUUCGUUGCUUAAUCGGGUUGAUCCCCAACAUAUUUUAAAUUAAAAUUUUACUUUUUAUAUUUUAUCACUUUCCAUAAAUUUAAAACAUUAUUUUCUAAAAUUUCAAAACUCAUGAAGUUCUUGUUCAGAACCUAAAAAUUUAUAUUAAAAAUUCAAAACCUAAAAAUUAUUAAACCCAAUAAUUUAAAAAUUUAUAUUAAAAAUUUAAAACCUAAAAAUUAUUAAACCCAAGAAUUUAAAGAUUUAGGCUUCUUAGGGUCUUAAAUAAUAGGAUCUUCAAAUUGGAAAGUUUGUAAUAGUUAAAGGGAUGCGGAAAUGAGUAAUCGAAAAUUUAUAAUGAUGAUUACACACCAUUAGGAGAUAUAAAAGCAUAAGAGAUGUGGAAAUGAGUAUUCACUCAAGUAGAUGUAACACCCACCGCCCAACCCGAUCACCGGGUCCGAGUUACGGGAUGCUACAGUCAAUACUAGAACAAUUACAACAUUUAAUAAUCAAUUUACACCAUAAUACAAGCAUUCAUAAUAAUAAUAAAUUUCAUAAGUAAGUUAUACAAUCUUUUCCGAGACUUAAUCUAGCUUACGAAAGCUCAAUUAAAUUGUAUAUUUUUACGAUAGUAAAAAUGUAAUUUUAUUAUUUUAAUAGCUUAUAUCUUUAUAAAUUUUAAAGGAUUAAAUAAAAUUUUUAUCAUUUUGAGGGACCAAAGUGUAAUUUUAACAUUACCAAUUUAAAAUUUUAUAAACUAUAAAUGAGCCUAAAUAAAAAAAAAAUCAUUUUAAAAGUGCUAGGCCCUGCGAGUUCUUUGGAUUCGCCAGUGCCACCAAGCUGAUCAAACAACCUGCCAAGCCAAAGUCUCAUUUCAUUUUCUCCUUCAAUUAUUUAGUUAAUUCCCAAUAUAAUUAUAGGAUUAAACUACAGUAAUAGUUACUUAACUAUGCUUUGUUUCUUCUUCUUUUUUUUUCAUCUAAUUAUGCAAAGCUACAAAUUGGUUUCUUAAUUAUUCAAUUUUGUCUUUCUUGAUCACCCAACUAUCUUGAAUUUUACAAUGAUUCUAUUUUUAUGUUAGCCGACAGAUGACUAAAAAAGACAAUUGAAUAAUAGUUAAAUGACUAAUUUGUAACUUUUCAUAGUUGUGUGAUAAAAAACAUAAUUAAGUGACUAAUGUAGUUAUUAUUAUUAAUUGUUUAAGGAAAAAGCUAGUGGCGUAAUGGAUAGGGCAGCCAGUGCCACUUAAGGCCAGUUAUUCAUUACUUUUGAGAGUGUUGUGGAAAAGUGCUUUUGAGAAGUGCUUUUGAAAAGUUUGGUUUAAAAUUUGAGUGUUUAGCAUUGCUGUUAAAAAGCACUUUUGAGAAAUAAAAUAUCCAUUUUAGACAUGUUAUUAUCAAGUAACAAAUAUGCAUUUAAAUAAUAUUUAAAUUAGUUAAUAUUAUUAUAUUUUAGUAAAAAUAUAAAAAAAUUAUUAUAACUUGUUGUUAAUAUUUUAAUAUAUGAAAUAUAAAUUUUAAAUAUUUUUAAGCAAUAAAUAUUAAUUAUUUAUAAAAUUUAAUUAGAAUAUAUAAACUAUAUUUUAAAUAUUUAAAUAUAACCAUUAAAUAUUUAUAAUUAGUAUUUUAAAAUUUUUUAUUUUUAAUUAAUGAUUUUAACAUAUUUGUAAGUAAGCACCAAGAAAAACAAAAGGAAAGCAAUAUGUUAUUGGAGGGGUGAAAAAGUAAUUAAGCACCAAAAGUACUUUUGGGAGAGGAAAAACUAAAAUUUUUAAUUUCUCAUUUUCAGAAGUACUUUUCAAAAGCACUUCUGAAAAGCUAAAAAUUUCAUCCAAAAACAGCUUGUUCUGCAUAGCUUUUCUUCCAAAAGUGUUUUUGGAGUCAAAAGUGUUUUUUUUAAGCAAUGAAGACCUGGCCUUAAUCUGCUAAAAAAACCAUGCAAAAGGUGUUUUAAUUUUAAAAUUUUAAUUCUAAAAUCAGUAAAAAUAUUAUAAAGUCCUUUAUAUUAAGAUUCAAAUUGUAUUUUAUAUCUUUUUACUUAAAAAUGGAAAAAUUAGUCUCUAUACGAUAGAUCAAAUAGUAAAUUGGUCAUUUCUGUUAAAAUUUUUAUCCAUUCUUACUACUAAAAACCGUUAUGACUACCGAAAUAACUGGACAAUUACGUGUACUUGAUUCUGAUAUAUAGGGACCAGUUUUUCAAAAGUAAAAAUGGAUAGAAUUUUUAAAGGAAUAACCUGUUUGCUUUAUGAUCUAAUGUAUAAUGAUUAAAUUAUCCAUUUAAAAUUGAAUGGACAAAAUGUAAUUUAAAUAUUAGUACAAGGGUCUCUAUGAUACUUUACUCUCAAAAAUCUUAAUUAAUUAAUUUAAUUUUUAAAAAAAUUUCUAAUUAUUAUUUUGUUUAUAAAGUGAAGUUAUCUUUUCAUUUACAAUAUCUUCUUUUAUUAAUGAAUUGGUUGAUUAAUGUUUUGAGUCUUUUUCCCUUUUAACAAAUAGUUGUAAAAGGGGUCGAUUGAGUUAUAACUUGAUUGGUAUGAGUAUUGUUGUCAAUGUAGGAGCACAUGAGUUUGAGUGUGUUGAAGCGCAUUAUCCUCCUAUUUAUGGGUUAAGAAGGGGCUAUAGGUAAUUAUAUGCAUUGUGUCAAAAAGAACAAAUAUAAUCAGAACCUAUAAUGAAAGUAAUAGGUCAAUUUAGCCCGGGCUCAUAAAAAAUAAUAAACCCAUAAUAAUAAAACAAAGUCCAAAAUUAUAUCAUUUGGCCCGAUCGGGAUGGCUCAUUACUUGAAAAGGUUGAAGGUCUAUCUACAAGCUUGAUGCAUAUGGAAACAUAAUCUUUAAGGAUAUGCAAUCUUAGAUAUGAUAUGUAAUCUUAGAUAUGAUAUGCAAUCUUAGAAGAUAUGAUUUUGUAAUCUUAGAGAUUUAAUUUGUAGAUGCCUUUUAAUCUUAGCCGUUGAUGUAAUUAAUCUGUACCGUUGGAUUUGGAGAGGCUCAACUAUAAAUAGAUGCCUCUCCCUUCAUUGUAAAGGGGAGAGUUGGGAGUAAUAAUAAUUUUUAAGAGUAUUUAUUCAAAUUUCUCUCUCUCUUGCGUUCUUAUUUUGUUGAUUUAUGUAUAAUUUAUUUAUUGAUUUGUAGAUUGUUGAUUUCAAAUCUCUUUUUCCCUUAUUAUUCAUUUUCAAAUUCAUUAUUUUCAAAUUUGUUUACAUUUUAUUUUGCCUUAUAUUUUAUUAUUAUUUUUUAUUCAUGCGCAUGCAUCGUUUUUAUGUAAUAUAUAUUGUUUUAUAUAUAGUAUACGUAUGCUUAUAUAUAUUUUAUACAUAUGUUUUUAUUUUUAUUUUACUUCCUAACUUUUAUAUACAUAUAUAUACUUUUAUAUUUAGUUUCAAUUUUUUUUUACUUUUGUAUAUAUGUACAUGUAUGUAUUUAUAUUUUUUUCUAAUGAAUAUUUUUAUAUAUAUACGCACAUGUCUAUGUUUUUUAUUUGCUUAAAUACAAACUUAUAUUUUCAAGACAUAUGUUAUAAUAUAUAUGUAUAUUUAUAUAUUUUUCUUUAUUUUCAUAAAUGCAUUAUAUAUAUUUUGUUAUAAAUUCUAUAGUCCAAAAUUUUAUAUGUAAACCCAUGUGUAUGUCUUUUAUUCUUUAUAAUUUCAUGUAUAUAUUUUGUACAUUUUUUUCUCUUUAUAUUUUUUUGUUUAUUUCCUUCAUUUGCUUAUUGAUUUAUGUUUUUAUUUAUAUUUUGUUCAUUUGAUACUUUACAUGUCGUUUUUUAUGUACAUUAAUUUCGUUUAUUUCUAUGCCAUUGUUUUAUUUAUUAUUGUAUUUUACACUUAAUGUAGCAUUACAUCAUUUUUUUACUCGAUUUUAAAAUUUUCAAAAUUGAGAUAAUACUCGUAUUUAGGAUUUUCAAGAAAAUUGAGCCCUAACGUAUUGGGUUACAAUUUUCUUCGUUAAAUCUAACAAUCGAGAAUUGCUCAUUAAUCAAAAAUAAAAUGAAAAGCUUGUUGUCGGGAAUUUAAUAUGUUGUAUCCUAACGUAUUGGAUGUGACGUAUUGAUUUCUCGAGACAAAGAUUUUUUUUAAAAAAAUAAUAACAAAGGAAAUAUUCCAAGUUUAGGAUUUUGAGAAAUUGUGCCCUAACGUAUUGGGCCGCGAUUUCUUUAUAAAUCUUAAACAAAUAAAUAUUCUUUUAAAUUUUAUUACACGAGUAUUUUGGACUAAUUCAUUUUUGAGGAAUUAGAAUGUCGUGCCCUAACGCAUUGGGUGUGACAUUUUCUUUCUCCGAAAUGAUAAGAGUCUUAAUAAGUAACGUUUUUUAAGUUUUUAUUAAGGAUCAUAUUUUUAAAUUUUCGACAUUAAGACACUAAUUAAUUAACUAGGUACCAAUUUUGGGCGUUACGAGGGUGCUAAUCCUUCCUCGUACGUAACCGACUCUCGGAUCCAUUUUUCUAAAACUCGUAGACCAAAGCUAUUUUUUAGGUGAUCCAAUCACACCUCAAUAAAAUAUUGGUGGUGAUUCCCAAUUUUUAUUUUUUAAAGUCGACAACUAAUUUUUUUUCAAAAUAAAAAAUGGUUUCGACAAUGAGAUUAUUAAAAAAAAUAAUUGCUCUUCAAUAUGUUUUCUUUAGUGUAAUUAUUCCAUUUUAAAUAUUAAUAAAGAAAUUUCAACUGGUUUUCUAGGUUUGGAUAUUAAUGAUUUAAAUGUUUUUAAGGUUAAAAUAUGAAAUUGGUCUAUCUACUCUUCAUAAACUUAAAAUUCAGUCGUAUUUUUAUUUUCAUGAAUUUAAUCUAUCCAUUUUUGGGUUUCAAAAUUCAAGUUCAAUUGUUAAUAUUGUUUUUUUUUGUUCAAUUUGUUGGUAUGAUAUUUUGAAAUUAAAAAAAAAUCACUUUGUAGCAAUGUAACUAACAAAAUGAUGUUCUAACGAAUAAUUUUAACACUGUUAUCAAUUGGACGUAAAUUUUAGAAUCUAAAAAAAUAAAAAAACUAAAUUCUAAAUUUAGAUAAGGACUUAUGACAUAUUUUAACCUUAUCAUUAAUCAACUUAUUCAUAAUUAAUUUCUAUUUCUAUAAAAUAAAGCAUGUAAAAUAAACAAAAACAAAUUAUUAAACUAUAAUAAAGCAUGAGUUUGAAGAAACAAUUAAUUAUUAUUUGAAACAAUCUCAUUAUAUAUUUUGAUCAAAUCUACUCUUUUUGAUACAAUGUGGAGAACUACUCAUAGCUCCUCUCCAACUCAUAAAUAGGAAGAAAAUACGCUUCAACCUACGUCCUCCUGCAUCAGCAACAAUACUCAUACCAAUCGAACUAAAACUCAAUCAACAAAUAUUGAUUAAUUUUACCUGUUAUUCCUCGCAAAUGACCCCCAAACAAAUUCUCGCACAAAUUUCGCGAUCUCACUAGAAAAGUAGUUUGUGUAAAUCCCAUCAAUUUAAUCUACUUAAAAUUUUAUCAAUAAUGAAUUGGAAUGUAUCAAAAGGGACCUGCUUAUGAAGCAAUGAGACUCCCAAAUACUUCCUUAAAUCAUCAGCUCUCGAAAAAACUAAGGCUCACAUUACACUCACUUUAUGUCUCGAAAACAUAUAGAAAGUAUUCAGUAACAUGAUCUAUAUUUGCUCGACAAGAAAGAAUGAGGUCGUGGAUUUGAGCUUUACAAUAAACUCGUCAUUCCAAAGCAACUGCAUAAUUAAUGACGAGAUGCAAUUCAUGACCAAAAUGAUCAACUUAACAAGAAGCAAUGUCUCUUUCAUUGAAUCAUUGAAGAAGUCUCUUCGAAUUCUAUCAUAUGCUUAAUCUAGAUCCACAUCGAUAGUCAUUCAUGCUUCGUAACCUUUAUUGGUUCGCAUAAUGUGUACAACUUCUUGAAUAGCUAUGAUGUUAUUUGUUUAUUCCAUCUGAUAAUAAAAUUAACUUGAUUUGGAUCAAUAAGUCUUGACAUAAAAAUCCGCACGGACGACGUCAGGGUAGGACUUCUUAAAAUGAAAAAUUUCAGUUUUAACUUUUAAAAUUCAUACUUUUUUUAAAAUUAGCAUAUUGUAAAAUUAUACUUUAGUCCAAAUAAUAAAAUUUAAAUUUUAUUCAAAUUAUAGAUUAAAAAAAAUCACAUCAACUAAAUUUAAAUGCUAAUUAAUUGAAUACCGACAAGGUUAUGUAUGCUAUACUUCAUCAAAUAAUCUUGUUGUGUAGCUUAGUUCAUCAUCAUCAUCAUAUAUAUAUAGCGAUAACCACGUAAGGUGUUGUUUACAAAGACAAAACUAGGGAAAAUCGACACGUUCUAAAGAAAAGACAGAGACGUUUCUGGUCGGCGAAGUUUCCUUCCUUACCUUUCUUGUUCCCUACUCCUUCCUCUUCUUCUUCUUCUUCUUCUCUAUUUCCCCUUCUUUCUAUCUCUCUCACUCUGUCUCUGCAAUUUUCUGAAAAUGGGUUUGUUGGAUUCACUUCUCAAUUGGCUCCGCAGGUAAUUUAUAGUGCUGCCACUUGUUUGAUUGCUUAGAAAAUGCUACUUAACUGCUUCUCUCAUAUUGCUUCCCUUAAAGAAAACUGUGAUUUAGUAUCUGAUAUGGGCUUCAAUUCUGUUAAUUGCUAAUAGUUUGUGCAAAUAAAUCCAAGUACAAUAUGAGAUUGGGGGAUUAGGGGAAUUGUUUUCUUUAAUGAAAAUUUAUGGUUUGAAUUUAUAAACUUUCAAUUUAGUUUAGUAAGUAUAUUUUUUUUUCGAAUUUAGGCUUGAUUACGUCACUAGGAAUAACCGGGAGAAAUCCCGAUAUUAGUUCUGUAUGACAAUGUGAGACUGGGCUAUAAUUUUCUUUUGCCGUGUUUGGCUGCUGGGAAAAUCGCAGGAUUUUAAUAAACUUUACAUCUCUUACUUUGGACUAAACAUUUGAUUAUAGAUUUGUAAAAUAGACACUCCCCAUCAAUGAACACCAUAAUUUUUUUUUUUAGAAAUACCAACUACUCUAAUGGUUUUGACUAGCUUAAUCUUCAAACUGCUCGAAAACAUUUGAUGUUCGUAUAAAAUAUCCAUUCUUCGCCAUAGUGUGAUUGCAAAUACUGGUGUGGUAGUUGGAAAUAUAGUUGAUGUUUAAUGUCGAUUUUCUAAUACUGUUGAAGGUACCAUUUGCAUGAGACAAUUUGUUCUUUGAGAUUCUAUAGUCGAAGCGAGUCAAGGCAGUAAACUUCUUAGUUAAAUCAAAUUCUUUUGUUAUGUUUUAGCUUUACAUUAGUAACUUUUUACUAAUGUUUUAAGUGUACAAUAAGAAAUAACUGUUAAUCUGCAAGUGUUCUAUUGAAACUCGGUACAACUAGACGCUGCAGACAUUUGUGACCAGGAUAUUGCAUGGUUUGACAUUUUCCGGAGCAGCUCAUUCCGAAUUAUGAAUUAUACAAUAGUGAUGUUAAUAAUUUAAACUGUUAACCAAUAUAGGACCAAACAGUUUUCUUUGUUUCUUUGGUUUUCGGUAGUCAUUAGUUCUCGUAUGUUCUUCAAUUUUUCGUCACCCGAUUGUCCUUAUGCCUGGAAUAUAGGCCAUGCCAUCUAGCUUCUUUCUCUUUUGGGUAAAUUACAGUAGAGGUCACCCAACUACUGUUUUUUUUUUUCUUUUUUGGUCACCCUGCUAUGAAAAGUUACAAAAUGCUCAUCUACCUAUUCAAUUGUCUUUUUUGGUCACCAACUGAUUAAUGCAAAAAUUAAAACCCCAAAAAUUCAAGAUAGUUGGGUGACCAAAAAAGACAAAAUUGCAUAUGAGUGACCAUUUUGUAACUUUUCAUAGUUGGGUAACUACUAAGUAGUUUACUCUUCUUUUAUUGAGAUAGCCGUUUUGUAAAAUCAUCAGACCACCACAUUUCAUUGUAUAAUUUGUUCCGAAAUAAUAGUAAGUCUAUGCUUCUUUCUGAGUAUCUGUAUUGCAGCUUAUUCUUUAAGCAGGAAAUGGAACUAUCUCUCGUCGGUCUUCAGAAUGCAGGAAAAACAUCUCUUGUUAAUUCCAUUGCUGUGAGUAACAUGUUUUUUUUUCCUCUUUCUUCCUAAGCAUUGUUAAUGGCUUUAUCUGAUCUUUACUUUCGUAUGUUUUCCAGACAGGGGGCUAUAGUGAAGACAUGAUUCCCACCGUAGGUACCUUUUUAUUUAGACUAAUCAGAUAUAAUGAUUCUCCUUGAGGAUAUCUUAAAAGAAAAUUCAUCAAAUGUGGAAUCUAGGUUGGAUUUAAUAUGAAAAAAGUUACAAAGGGAAAUGUGACGAUAAAGCUUUGGGACCUUGGAGGGCAACGGAGGUUUCGUACCAUGUGGGAGCGUUACUGCCGUGGGGUCUCUGCUAUCGUGUAAUGCUUUCAUUCUCGUAAUCUAUUAUGUUUAUGGUAUAUCAAUUAACUUCUUUCAGUUUAGAAUGAACACGCGCAAACGUAUUAUUAGCAUCCUUUUUUAUAUACUUAAAUCGCUCAUUUAAUAUAAUGGCAGAUAUGUAGUUGAUGCUGCUGAUAGAGACGGUGUUCCGAUAUCCCGAACUGAGUUACACGACCUCUUGACAAAACCUUCCUUGAGUGGAAUUCCUUUGCUUGUUCUUGGUAACAAAAUUGACAAGUCAGAAGCUCUUUCGAAGCAAGCUUUGGUGGAUCAGCUGUAAGUUUUACAAGCUUUACAAUAAGACAAAACUUGUUUAUCUAAAAAAUGUGUUUUUAUUUCAUUUGAUAGAGGUCUGGAAUCAAUCAGUGAUAGAGAGGUGUGCUGCUACAUGAUUUCAUGCAAAGAUUCCGUAAAUAUAGAUGUCGUCAUCGAUUGGCUAAUCAAGCACUCGAGAUCCGCCAAAUAAGCAGGGGUGGAAUGUUUUCUCCUAUUUUGUCUCCUUGCAGGUGAAGGAAAGGACCCGUGUCUACAAGUUGAAAUUCCGGUUAAAAAUUAUUCAUUGAAAUUCCCUUCGAUUUAUGUUGUGUGUGAUCCGAAUAAGUUUUUCGUGAACUGCUCGAACGAAUUUAGGCCUAGCUUGGAUGUAUGAUUAAUGCCCCCUUUGCAGAAUAUUAAGGGAGGCAUUAGUCUCCUUUAAUGGAGUCCAAAGAGUGAAUUAGUUUUUAAUGUAAGUUAUGAUCUACUUCAGUGUGAUUGGUGUCCAAAUGUGUGUCUUGUCAUGAAAUGGUUAUGGGAGACUUCCCCCAUGAGCUAAAUUCCAGAUAUCAAAGUGGAUUUGGGAAAGGGUCACUGGAAACAGAUUUAUAUACCACACCUGGGAAAAGUACAAUUUAAAUUUAUUUGAUUCAUUUUAAUAAUAUAGCGAUGAAAUUGAUCUAUUUAAUAAUAGAGGAAUUAAUUUGAUUUAGUCCCUAUAAUACUAGAUGCUUUAGUGUUCAACGGUGAAAUAUUUAAAAAUAUAAUAUUCUCAAAUUCAUAAGUUUAUAUAUAUAUUUAUUAUUAUUUAAUAGUAAAUUUGACUAUAAAAUAUAAAUACGAAAAAUAUUUUUUAUAUUUUUUUACGUUUGAUUUGUGAAAAACAAUUUAAUUAACGGAAAAUAAUUUACGAGUGAAUAAUAACUAAGUCCUGUUUUUGAAAAUUGAUUUUCCUUUUGAAAGUGUAAAUAAUUUUUCAGAGAAGAGCUGCUUAUGACUAUAUUGAUAUUUAUAUAAAAAUUAACUUGAAUCAAGUCAAAUAUUAUUAAAUUAAUAAUAAAAUUUUAAUUUUAAUAUUUAAAGUUAUUAAAAUAUUGAUCUGAAAUAUUAUAAUUUUCAAUAUUAUUAAACAUAAAAUUUUAUAUUUAAUAAUAUAAUAAUUUGUUAAUAUAAUUUAUUAUUUUAAUAAAAUUAGUUAAUAUUAAAAUUUUAUUUUAGUAACAAAUUUCAGUUUUAAUAAUAAUAAUUUUAUUAAUAUUUUAAUAAUAAAUAUAUAUACAAUUUAUAAAUAUCUAGUCAGAACUGUUCUAUAGAUAAAAUAUAAAUAUUUUAAUAAUAUAAAUAAGAGUAAAUGUUUAAAAAUAGUUUAGUUUCAUUUAUCUCUUGUACCUUCAUUGAUUAUUAUUAAGCCUAUAUAAGAUAUUAGUUAUUGGUCAUGUUUGACAAUUGGCUGAUAGUUGAUAGUUGAUUGCUGAUUGCAGUUGUUUUCAAUGAAACAAAUAUAACCUAAUUUAUAUUGUUGUCGACAUUAUUAAUUUUUAAUUAACACUAGUUUCUUAUUGAGCCAUUAUUAAAUCUUUAUACCCAAUUGGACUUAUCGAUAUAAUCCUAACGCUUAAGAUAAAAGUUUUAUCAUCAUGUUUGGUUUCUUUUACGUGAUUUUGAAAUCUAAAUAUAUGAUUUUUAUAUUUAAAUUAAAUUUGUCAAAUAAUUUAUGAUAAUCAUUUAAAAAUUAUAUUUAAUGCAUUGUAAUAUAACUAAUUCCACUAUCAUUAAAUUAACUUAUUUUUUGCACUCCAACAUCAUAUGUAAAAUAAAUAUUUUAACUUUUUACUGUAUUUUUUUGACAUUAAUGCUAACUUGAAAUUUAAAAAACUAACAUUUUCAAAGACUUUUUCAAAACACUUUCUUCAAACCAAAUAUAUUUUAGGAGCACUUUAUCGACUACAAUACUAAUGUUAAACUAGCCUUAAGUAGAAAGGUGUUCCUAGGUCAGAUCAAGCUCAAAUCGUAUUUAUUCAUGGUAUUAUCAUAAUUCAUGCUUUGCCUAAGUCUUGUUGCCCAACCCAAAAUAUGAACAUCAAAUUUUUGUCCAAAUUUGUUCAUAUUUAUAAAUGGUUAACCUAAUUGCAGUUUAGGCUCACUCGCAUUUUUUAAUCUUUUACGAAAAAAAUUAUGCUAUUUUUAAUUUAAUAUGUUUUUUUCUUGUAUUAAAUUUUUUUGAUAUUUUUCAUGUCUGUUUUAUGAUCCAUGUUCAAGAUUUGUAAUUACUCAUUUCAAUAAUGUUGUCUCUAAGAUUCCGAACUUGUAUUCUCCCCUUAAAAGUACAAUGUGUUGCACCCAAACAGUUGUUGGUUCUUUUAUUAAAAUUUUAAAUGUAGACAACUUCAUGUUUUUUAAAGUUAUAGCUUUAAAUUUUAUGUGAUCGAAAUAUAAAAAUAAAUUAAAUCAAAACUUAACAAUACACUACCUAAUUGAAAAGGAGUUCAACUAGGUCAUGUUUAAUCAUUAAACAUCAAAGUUUAACUUUUUGUCUAAAUUCAUUUUUUAGAUUUAAUAUUUCUAUCCAAACCUUUUCAUAAAUUAGACAAAAUUUUAAAUUAUAGUUAAACUUCAAAGUGUAGAUUUAAAUAAUGGUUAAAAUAAUAUAAAAAGUAACCCUGUGUUUAGCCUAUUGACUAUGCACACACCAUAAAUAGAUAAUCCCUACAAUUCGAAUCAACGACAUGAAUUUUAUGAAAUCACUCCCUAUAUAUAUAAACAAUUAUUACAAUUCGAAUCUAUGGAUUGUUAUGAAACCACUUUGUAUAUAUAUUGCUAUAAAAGAGGUUGAUAAUGACAAUAGAAUGAUCGCAAAAAUAAGAAAAGCAAGAACACAAGUUUUACGUAGAAACCCUUUUGGGAAAAAGUUACUGGCGGAGAAAAAGAUAUUCACUAAUAUUGAAAAACUAAUGAUACAAAAAGAGUUUCGCCUACAUCUAUUUAAAGGUUGAAAAACCUUAUUCUAAUCAAUGUCAAAUAGAAGAAGUGUAGUUCUAUACGGAUUCUACUUGUGCGGCAUGGUCCAUACCGUGAGAGCCGGAGAUCUCCUUAUUUUAUCAUCGUAUUUUAUUUAUUUAACAAGUGAUGAGAUUCGGGUCACACAACUCUAACAUAUAUAUAUAAUUUUUACCAUUCAAAUCAAUGAUAUGAAUUGUUAUGAAAUCACCUGUGAAGUAAGCCUAGUAGGAAUGAUUAAGGAAGAAAACUUAAGAGUAUAAGGAAAAGAUGAAUGGCAUUCACAUAAAAAAAAAAAAAAGAAAGAAAAAAGAAACACCAUUUGAAAGAAGAAACACCAUUUAUGCACCACCACCUUUACAAAAAAGAAUAAUAUCCCAUUGUUUUCUCACAUUAAGACAAGACAGCUUUGUUAAGUGGAAGGGAAGAGUGCCCCUUUAUCCUCCUUUAUUUCUUCAUAAUGGACACUUUUUGAAGACAGCAACCUUUCAUGAAAUAAAGUAAAAUCAACUCUGCCUUUCUUCUUCUGGAAUUUCUUGAAUAUUGUUUACCUCCUGCAUUGCAUUGGAACAAUCAUUUAUUUAUUUAAAUCCGAAUUUUAGGAGGGCAAAAGCCACAAACCAAAUCAAUUUAAUUUUACUAGAACAUUUUUUUGGGUUAAUAUAUUAUUUAAUACUUAAAUUUAAUUUCAAUGUUCAAUUUGGUACUUGAAUAUUUUCAGAGACCCUAUUAUUGGUAUUUUUUGGGCCCUAGGUAAAAUAAUAAAAUGGGAUUUUAAGUUCCUUAAAAGUUGGAAAAUUUUUAUUUAGGUACCUUAGAAGUUAGUAAAAACAUUUUUGGGCCCUUAAAACUUAAAAAAGUUUUUUUGGGGCCCUUUAAAAGUUAGUAAGUUUUUUACUUUUAAAAGUUAAAAAAAAAAUUUGGGCCUCUUAAAAAUUGAAAAACAAUAUUUUAGACCCUUUCAGCCUUAGACCUUAGGCGGCCCGUACAUCCAGUCGACCCCCAAGGCCGGGCCUGACUAUUUCUUUGUUCCAUUUUGAUAGAUGAGUUUGGCUUUAAUGUUGCUAGAUCAAACGGCAUAAUGUAACCUAAUAAAUGUUUAACAAAUGUGCUUUAAUAAUAAAAUAUAGGUACUUAAUUGGGACAAAAAAAAAAGGCAUAAGUAUCAAACACAAAGACUUAAUUGGGAUAAAAGAAAACUCAAGUACCAAAGUGAAUCAUGUAUAGAAUUGAGAAAAAAAAUUCAAAUACCAAAUUUAACAUUAAAAUUAAAAUAAGGACUUAUCUAAAUAAAGUAAAAAAGCUUAGUGUUUUACCAUUUCAGUCCACCACCUUUGUUAAGAAAGCAAGGAAAAUGAGGAAGACAACAAUGGCAUUAGCAGCCAAAAAACCAAUGAAAAUGGCGAAUUAUGUCUUUUAGCUAAAUUAUCCCAAGCCCCAAAAGUGGAGAACCUGGCAUAACACUUGCCCAAGUACAAAUCGCCGUACGCCGCUGCUCUACAUUCGGUUUUCAACCGUCCGAUUGCUUCCGACAAACAAUCCCGACAAUCGUCGGCGUUAAGGUCCCCCACGCAUUGAGCCAAACCCUGGAUAUCCCCUGACCCGCCCUCUCUGAAUGAUCCACCGCCGUUCAUCAACCCGUUCAUCACCGCAUCUCGACGGCCCACGAUCUCCGAUUCCUUGUCGUACUCCACCGACGGCCCGCACUUCUUGAACACCACGUUCUUAUCCUGGACUCCUAGGAAGGUAGCGUUGUCGUACUUGACGAAGCAGCCUUGCAGCUGAACCGCGCCACCGCAUGCGGAUGGGCAAUAGGAGCCAGCUUUGGUGAUUGCACGGGCGACGCAGGUGGCGCAAUCCAGCAUAGAAAGGUCGCCGCGGCAUUGGUAAAGGCCGUAAACAACGUCUUGGGGACUUGAGCCUAUGAUGGUGUAGGUGUUGUAGGUGGAGUAAGUGGCUGAGUUAACUAGGGAAGUGAAUAGUGAGUUGAGAUUGGACUCGAAGGGUGAGUUGGGUGUGUAUUUUUGUUGAGAACAGCCUCCAAAGACGAAUGAAUCUGUAGAUGAAGAAACCACUGUUUGGAUGGAGAGAAACGUGAAAGAGACGAAGCAUAUGGAGAGGGACAGUAGAGCAUUAGCUGCCAUUAUCGCCAUGCUUGGUGGUAAGAGAAGGAAGAGACUAUAUAUAUAUAUAGUUAUCAUGCAGGUAAAAUGUGCUAUUAGUCCCUGUAUUUGUAUAGAAUUUAAGAUUUGGUCCCUGUACUUCAAAAGUCCUACUUUUUUAAUUUAAAACCUUAGUCCAAUCAUUAUCAUAUUUGCCUCGUUGGUAGUUUUUGUCAAUUUAACAUGUUUAUUCUCUAUCAAUUGUAUGUCAUGCCAUAUGGUGAUAGCCAAAUCAAAAUUUCUAGUUUUGACAAAAUUUGACCCAAAAAAAAACACUUAUGGUUUUAAUGAUUGGAUUGAGAUUUUUAAAUAAAAAAAAUUAGGACGACUUAAAUUUUUAAUUUUUUAAGUACAAAGAUUAAAUCUCAAAUUUUAUUAUAGUAUAAGGGCUAACGACAUAUUUUAACUUUAUCAUGCGCUUGAAGUUUAAAAUUAGUAUGAUAUAUUAUAUCAAUUGAAACUAAUUGACAUACAUUAUUUACGUAAAUAGAACAUGAAAGAUUAUCAUAUUGUUAAAAUAUUAAUUGUACAAAAAGUUACGAACACAUGUAAAACAAUUUUAAAUUUGCAUUAGUGUAGGUGGAUCUCACCUUAUAAAUAUAUAUUAUUGAGGAGUGAUUCACUUAUAUUUGUGUAAAAUCUUUUUCAUGAAUAAUAUUUUAAUAAUCUUGUCGUUAAAUUUAUUAAUAUAAUUGUACUCGUUAUAUAAGUAAAAUUUCAAAUCCAUCUAACAUCUCUAUGAUAUCAUUCAAAAAUGUCACAUUUACCCAUAUAUAUAGGUUAAUUUAACAAAAUAUGCUGAAAAAAAAAACAAUUGAGAAACUAUGUUGAUUUUCUAAAAAUUUAUCGAUCUACGAUGUUUUUAUUCUCUUUCCUGAAAACACAUCCUAUAGGGCGCAUUUUCACGGAUGUGGCAGUGAAAACGCGCCUUUGUAGGACAUGUUUUUAGGAGAGAGAAUAAAAACGCGUCCUAUAGGGUGCGUUUUUACUUUGGUAAAUUUUUUUUUCUUGCUAUUGGAAAUUAAAAUUUUGUAGAUUUAUUUUUGUUCGUGUUUGAGAUAGACAAGUUAUAGUUUUAAGGAAUGUUUGAAUUUACGGUGGUGCCGUGGAAUUGGGUGACCUACAAAUUUCGUUUGCCAUAUGAGUAUGGAGCCAUCACUCGGGAAGCCGGAUCACAUUGCAACUCAAGGUCACAGUUGACGGUAAUUAUACAGUUUAAGGUUGAAGUGUAACUAGGGCCUCAAAUUUACAAAGGUAACGCUAUCAAUGGAUGGAGCAUAAAUGGGGCUGUAGUUGAUAGUGAUUAUGUAGGAACGACAACGAGUUCUUCUCAUCAGAAGAGGAUGCUUUAUAAAACUCAAACAUAAGUACGAGGAAGAAAAACGUAGUGGCGUUUCAGUAUAAUCAAGUAAUGCAUUUUAUCCAUCACCACCGAAUGAGGUGACCCUAUUAUUAUAACCUGUGACAACAUUAGGGGUGUAACAGAUUAUACUAACAAGGUCACUGCCUUCGGUGGAGAUGGACAACACGAAUUACUUGAUUAUAUUGGAAGGCCCCUUGUGUUUUCCUCCCUCAUGCUUAUGUUUGAGUUUUAUGAAGUAUGCUCCUCUGAUGAGGAGAAACUCGUUGUGAUGCUCGCAUUAGCACCGUCAACUACGACCCUGAUUAUACUUCAUCCGUUGAUAGUAUAAACUUUGUAAACUUGAAAUCUUAGUUACAUUUCAACCUGAGAUGGUAUAAUUACUGUCAAUUUGGACCUUGAGUUGUAAAGUGAUCUCGACUUCUCAAGUGAUGACUCCAUACUCACACGGCAGAUGAAAUUUGUAGGUUACUGAGCUUUAUGACAUCACCAUGAACCCAAACACAACUUAAAACUAUGACUAUGUCUCCCUCAAAGCGAGAGAGAAAUAAAUCUUUAAAUAUGAAAAUUUUAACACAUAAGAAAAAGAAAAAAAAAACAAUUUAGAGGAGAUUGAGAUGUAGGUGAGUAGGGGAUGAAGAAUGAGCAUUUAUAUAGGGGAUGGGGCGGGGUAUAAAGGGAAUUUUUUUUAUCCGAGUUGCAGGGCUCAGAAGAAAUCAAGUUGGGUUGGUUGAAAUGUCCAAAGAGACAACGCUCCCUAUAGGGGGAGUUUUGAUCUGACAUUGCAGUGAAAAUGCUUCUUGUAGGACUCAUUUUCAACCCAUAUGUCUAACAUGUUAGUUGAAAACGAGUUCUACAGGAAGCAUUUUCACUGCCAUGUCAGAUGAAAAUGCCCUCCGUAGGGAGCAUUUUCUCUCUAGGCGUUUCAACCACCAAACUUGAUUGCUUCUGAGCCCUUGCAGCUCGGAAUUCAGGGGAUAAGCUUGAUUGGGGAAAAUGUAGAAAUCGCAUGUGUGGAACUCGCAUGCUCCUUUCGAGUUGGUACUGGAUAAAAACUCGCUGCACAAGCUGAAAGGUCAUCCGAAGUAAACUCGGAUACGAGGAAAUAUGGAUAUUAAGGAGCAUAGAGACACACCGAAAUUAUGCGAUUACUGUAGAAACUCAGGGCAUACGAAGCCAACAUGUCCACACAAUUCGGGAGCAUUAAGGAGAAGAGCUAAUUAAAACACUAACUUAUUCGUUUAUUCAUUAAUUUUUUUCUAUAAAUUGUAAGUUAAUAUUAAUUAUUGAAGUAAGAUAUAUUACAAUAUGCAAGCCAAAGUUUUAAUCUUUUUCCGAACCUUCUAAGCAAUUCUUUGCUUUUUGAAAAUAUUUGUAACACCCAUUAACCCCACACCGUCGUCGGAACAGAGUUACGAGGCAUUACCGAACAUAUCGGAUACUUUACGAUUAAAUUCAAAAAUAAAUAACAUACAUAUUAUAAUUUACUGAUUUAGUCCCUUUCAUGGACCUUCGAGGCCCAGAAUACGUAUUAGAAAUUAAUUGGGACUUGUUCGAGUGCUCCGAAUUUUUUUUUUAAAAACUCAAUAUAACCCCUUUAUAAUUAACUAACCUUCCCUGCAAAUUCAAACCACAACCAAUUUGCAACCAAUAUAACAAUCUAUUCAUCUCCAUACUCAAACAUGCCUAAUUAUGCCUACAACAUUAAUUUAACAAUUUAUCUACUUAAUCAUUCAUAAAUAAUUUUUAAUUGAACUAAUAAUUUCAUUUAUUUCCAUUUUAGUUUCAUGCCACAUUUACCAAAUAUGCCAUAUUAUUUCAUUUCAUACUUAUAAUCCAUAUUAGACAUCAUUUUACAACCAAAGUUACAAGACUUAAGUACAUAACUUAUAUGAUACCUAAGUACAUGCCACUUUUAUAAAAAAAAAGAUUACAUCUCCAAAUUGUCUCUAAAGUCGGGAUUGAUCUAGAUGCUGAACUAGGACCUUUGAUUUCUACUGACCUGCGCACUGAAACAACCGUACGCUGAGUAUUUCAUACUCAGUGGUAUUACCAUAAUUCAAACUAUAUAACUUUAAUGAAUUAUAAAUAUUAAUCAUAUAACAUUAAACAUGUAAAAUUUAUAACUCAUAAGAACUAAUUUACAUUUAGUUUCAUAUUUCAUAUAUAAUAAUUCAUCAACCAUAUCAUAUAUUAAUAACUUGAAUUUAAUCAAUUCAUGAACCUGAGGUUCAUGCUUUCAAAUCUCACAAUUCGACUAACAAUUUCUUUCUUAUACUUCCAGUCAUAUGAUCAAUCAAAUUUAUUCAAUACUCACAUUUCAAUUAUUCACCCUAUUAACAAACUUGGACCUUGGCGGAUACACGGAUUCCAACCAAACACACCAGUACGGUACAUUGUGCCUAAAACGGUACUCAGUACCUGAUCAAUAUAUCAGAAGCAGUAUACGACACAUAAAAUGCCUAAAACGGCACACGUGGUGCCUAAUACGACACAUAUAGUGUCUGAUCGGUAAAGCUGAUAAAUUCCCGUACUCUUCCAAUCCUAUGGCAUGCCAACUAUAUCCGACUAGGCCCAAUUAAUUAAUAGUAGAGGUGAUCAUGGGCCAGGCUGGGUCGAGUUCGGGCCGAGCCCAAACAAAAUUUUAGGCCCGUUUCCUACGCCCGGGCCCAGCCCAGCCAGAAAUAUGGGCCUAAAAAUUUUGUCCAAACCCGACCCGAAAGAAAAUUGCUAAGCCCGAGCCUGGCCCGACCCGGCCCAUAUUUGAUUAAAAAUAAAAAUAUAUAUUUAAUAUAUAAUUCAGAUUAAAAGUCUAAAAAAUAUAUUUAAUAGAAAGUAUAUUUGAUUAAAAAAUAUAUAUUUAAUAUAUAAUUCGGGCCGGGUCGGGCCUGGGCCAAAAGGUUUUACACGAGGCCUGACCCAUUUUCUAAACGGGCCUCGUUUUUUUGCCCAAACCUAUAUUUCAGGCCUAUAUUUUUAGCCGAACACUCUCAUUUUUCGAGCGGGCCUUCGGGCCGAGCCGGGUAGCUCAACCCAUGAUCACCUCUAGUUAAUAGGGUAUUCAAAUCACUUUCUCAAUUUCAAUUUUCACUUUCAAUGUACAAUUCAAUUCGAUACAAUUUUCCACUUUCCAACAAUAUACUAUCAAAUAUUCAUACAUAAUCAUACUUCAUCUCAAUUUCAUUCAUUUCAAUAUUGAUACCUACCUUAAAAUUUUACUUACCAUACACAUAAAUCUAAAUAUAACAUUUAAUAAAUAGUAGUUUGAAUUAUAGUAACACAAACCGUGAAUUUCUCGUUUUAGUCCUCGAUAGCCUUCUCCUUUCCUUUGUGUGCCGAUGCCUCGGGGUUCUUUUCUAGCUACGGAAAUUAAAAUAAUUAUACUAUUAAUUAUAGCACUAAUUAAUAAUAAUAAUUGAAUUUUUAUCCAAUUUAUACCCUAAUUCCAAUUUAAUCCUAAUUAACUCAUUUACUUUUCUAACUCAAUUCACACUUCAUUUCUACUUAAUAUCUUGCCAUAUUCAACUUAACUAUUCAAUGUUCAUAUUAAAACCCUAAUUUUAAAAUUCUUUCAAUUUAAUCCCUACCAUGUAAAACUUAUAACUUACUUUACAAUUCAAUCCUCUUUUUCAAUUCUAUCUUGAAAUUCAUCCAAUUAAACCUCUAAUUCAUUAUUUUGUUCAACAUGAACUAUGUUCAAAAACCUAAAAACUUCCAAAACCUCAACUUAACUUCAACAAAACUUUGUUCUAAAGCUUCUAAAACAUCAAAUUUAAGUAAAAAGAACUUAAUUGACUUACCAAUUAAAGUUUAAAGCUUCCAAACUAGACCUGUCCAUGGGCCGGGCGGCCCGGCCCGAUGGCCCACCCGAAAUAUGGGAGGGUUCGGGUAAAAAUAUAGGCCCGAAAUAUGGGCUUGGGCAAAAAAAUGAGCCGGGCCUCGGGCACCACUUUUUUGGCCCGGGCCCGGCCCGGCCCGAAUUUAAUAAAUAUAUAUUUUUAUAUUUUUAUUUUUUAAAUACUUUUAAAAUAAAUUUUUUUAUUUUUAAAAUAAUUUUUUAAUGUUUAUUUUAAAAAUGGGCCGGGCAGGGCCGGGCUCGGGCUUAUGAUAUUUUUCUCGGGCCGGGCCUGGGCAAAAUUUCAGGCCCAUAUUUCGGGCCGGGCUAGGCCCGGGCCUAGGAGGCGGGUCGAAAUUUUUUUCUAGGCCCGGCCCGGCCCAUGGACAGGUCUAUUCUAAACCCUAGUUUUUCCUUUUUCUUUCUUUUCUUCUUUUUUCCCCUGCUACUUUCGAAUAGCCUAUUCUGUUUUGGUUUCCUUCUUUGUUUUAUUUCCUUUUGUUUUUAUGCUUUAUUUGUUUAAUAAUAAUAUAAUAACUUAGUAAAUACCAAUUUAAUAAUCAAUAUAUUUAUUACAAGUGUAAUAUUACUUAUAUUUACACAUGUAUUAUAUCAUCAUCAUACAUUUGUCAUGUUUUACUUAAUAAUAAAUAAUAAAUAAUAAAUAUCUAUUUACUUAAAUAAUAAGUAAUUUAAAUCCAUGAAUUACAAUUGUAUGCUUAUUUUUAUUACACAUGUAUAUUUUAUUACCAUACAUUUGGCAUUAAUUUAUAUAUAUAUUUCAUUAAUUUAAUAAGAUAACAUCAAUUAAAUAAUAAUUUAUACUAUUAUAUUCUAAUAUUAAUUAAUAAUAACUUAAAUCAUUAAAAAUCUUUAGAUUUUUCUCAUUGUUUUGCCGCCUCAACUAUUACUUAAUGGCAUAUUUGCCAUUUUGGUCUUUAAUAUUUUCUUUUGAUCUAUAAUUCAACUUUUACCCCUUAUUCAAUCUAGUCCUUCUUCCUAUUUUCUCUUAAUUAAGCUAAAUUCACUUAAUUAAAACCUAAUUAAACACACUACUAGACUCAAAAAUAUUUCUAAUAAUUAUUUACAAACCCAUUUCGUUAAUACGGAGGUCCGAUAAUGUACUUUUCUGAUGCCCGUGACUUUUGAGUCAUUACAAUAUUGUACUUAACAAAUGGACGGAUAAAAACUUCAAUGAAAAAGCAACAAAUAAUUAUAAAUUUUAAACUCACAAUAUGAUUGUGUACAAAUCAAACCAAUUUAAUAAAUUCGUCUUGUAUAUUAUAAAUAAGUGUACAUUUGUGAUGUAAAACAAAGUAUACAAAAAAUUACAAAAUAACAUAAUCAUAGGCGUCUCAAAUAUGUGCCACAACCGGGUGGGCGUCAGACAUGCCUAGGGUUCUGUCGCACUAUUGGUUUGGUGACUCUUUGUUGACUUCAACUUCAUCUUCAUGUGCAUGUCAAGGUUGAUCGCUGACUUCAUCUUGUUCCUCCAUGGUUAAUUGCGACUAUGUUCUAGCUGCCCAUCGUAGAUUCCCACUAUUUAAGUCGGCAGUUGUGAGGAUGACCUAUCGGGGUAGAACAACGAUGCUAGGGGUGUUUGCGACACUAUUAGCAGGCUACUAUAUGGUGUCGCAUGGCCCAAUUGCUGAUAGAAGGUGGGAAUUAUCGGCAAUACCAGAUGCAUCGAUGUUGUUAACGAGAUUGACAUGUAAUAUGAUACAGUGGGUGACAGUUGUGCAAAAUAUAUCCUUGGAGAAUGUGUUAAUGUAGUGAAUGAUUGCGCGUGCUAUGGUGCUUGUGUAAAAUAAAGUAGUGCUAAAUGAUAUGAUGCAGUGAACGAUUGUGCGUGCUGUGGUGGUUGUGUAAAAUAAAUUGGAGCUGAAGGGGAUGAUGCAGGGAAUGAGUGUGCGUGUUGUGAUGUUUGUGACAAAAAAACUGGGUUAAAAGAAAAAAUAAAUGAACCAUACUGAUUGGGAAGUUGCACGACAAUCUGGUCCUCCGGUACAGAUGGAGCAAAUGUUGAUCCCGCCAGCAGUAGAUACAACUUGUCAUUAUACCUGAAUCAAUCCAUGUAAUUCGAAGAUGUUGCCAACUCCAGUGUGAGAAAUGAUAUUAUCAAAUGAAUUUUACCAAAUGAUAUUAUCAAUCCAUCUAACCUAUUCAAAUAAUUUGUUAUUUCAAAAUUAUAACAAUGAAAAAUAAAAAUAGUAAUGAUAUUAUCAAAUGAAUUUUACCAUAUGACGAGUGGGAAUUCGUAAGGGAGUUCCACUUAGGGGCGUAAAAAUGGUAGUCGAUACCAUGCCCACGAUUGAAGAAGGAGCAUGCAAUCGUCGAUUUUAACUUUAUCCAAUAUCGUCGCUUGACAUAUUUCUCGGAACAAUGUCGUCAGCACCAUUGAUCCCCAACUACGCCAUCCCGGUUCUUUCAAGUCAACUAGUCGUAGUAGCCACCUUAAAUGUACUAGAUUGCGAUAUUUAUCUGGCAUUAGCAGACCCUUGAUCAACCUCAAGAUGAAUGCGCGCGCGAAUUGUUCCUUUUCAACGUCACUCACAGAAGCCUUGAUAGUUUGGAAGUUUCCUCCAACCAUCUCAUCUUGAUCCGGCUAGCCCUAAACUUGUUCGACACCUUCCCUAGCAGUUGCUCGCAUGUUGCACUCCAAACGACACUAAUAACUGGCCCCGGAGUUUGCCAGAUUUGGAGUUAACUGCAUGGUGAAUCCCAUAGAGUGUACUACUCCGCCAAAACGAAUACUUUACUUAAUUCUACCAUUAACUUAACCGAGUUAAAUGCCAAACAAUAACUUGAUAUUGAGUCUUUGUUGGGCAGACUGUUACAUAUGUAAUUUACUUUUUGAUUUAUUUAUACAUUUUAAUUUUAUUAAGAACAUUGUAUUAUCUGAAAACCCUUGCCACUCCACUAAUAAUCAUUUGUUAAUAUAUUUUUAUAACUAUAGUUUUUAAUAUAAAAUAUUUUCAUUCACUCGACGUGAUAAAAUCUAGUAUUAAUAAUAUUACUGAUUAAGAUUGUGUCACAAAUGACCUUAACACCAACUUAGGGUUGAUGGCAACACUGAUAAAUAAUUGUAUUCAUUUAGUAUUCUUAAUAUGAUGUACUCAUAUGUGUAAAUUUCGUUUUACUUACAAUUUAAUCUAUUUUUUUAUUUUAAUACCGUACAUAUUUUAUAUGUUAUUAUUAGUAAUUAAUUUCAAAUCAUAUAUUUUAUUAUUUAUUAUAUGUUAUUUUUAAACACACAUUUGUAUUCUAAAUACAUGGUUUCCAUAUGCAUACACAUGUAAUAGAGUUUCUAGUAUAUCUAAUGAUCGCAAUUUUUUUAUAUAAAAAUAUAAUUAAACAUUUUUAAUUUACUCAAAAUUUGAUACGUAUGAUCUACAUAAUAUAAUGUAACACCCCUAACCCGAAUCCGUCGCCGAAAUAGGGUUACGGAGCAUUACCAGAGUUUACAAAUUAAAUACGGUCAUUUCUCAACUUUUCAAAAUUUUUCUUAGAAGUAGGGAACACAUGCCCGUGUCUCUGCUCGUGUGAAUGUAAAUAGGUCAUUAUUAAACAAAAUACCUAUACAUGCCACUAUAUUCAAAAUCCAAUCAUUCAAACAUACUGAUAUAACCAAUGGAUAGUGUGAUAUAUCUACGACAAGCUUCCAACCCAAUCGAGCUUCCGGUAAUCUGUAGGGUAAAUAAAAAUAAACAAAUACGUAAGCAAUGAAUGCUUAGUAAGCUCGUGUAGUCUUUAAUCAUAUUAGUUCAUUUAAAAUAUGAAAUCUAUACAUAUCAAGAAUAAUCCAAUAUUAAUACCAUAAUACUCAUGAAGCUAUAUUCAAUAACUCACAAGGUGAAUAAAUCCACGGUAUCACUUACAUAUUAUCCCAAGCUUAGUAGGAUUUUAUAUAACUUUAACUCUUCAUAAUUUCUUUAUUUUCAUUUGCAUUUCUUUACUUUCCACGCUUAUUCCAUAUACAUGACACUCAAGUCAUAAACAUAUCAUGGUUACAAGCUAGUGCAUUUAACCAAAGCCUUUUUCGAAUUGAUCACAUGAUAAGGCAUUUCAUAAGAAAUUGCAUACAUUACAUAUAAACUCAUCAUACAUAAAUUUUCUUGUAUCAACAUAUUAAAGAUAAUCAUACAUUUACAUGUCAUGAUACAUAUUAUUCUCUUGCCGUUUCUUCAUUGGCAUAUAUCAUUCAUUUCUCAAUAUUUAUAAUUCAAUUUGGCUUUCAUUUGUUAACAUCAUAUACUAUUACAUUGAGCCUUUAUUUAUCUCAUGAACAAUUAGUUCAUGCUUUUUAUUCACAUUUUCAAAUUAUGUUCCACAAUCACGUUUCCUUUCAAUGGCUCAACUGUUGCAUUUUUUUUAUUUAACUUUUCAUUUAAUUACCCCUAUUAACAGACUCGGGCUUUGGCGGAUACGUGGAUUCCAACCAAACACACUAGUAUGACACAUUGUGCUUAAAACGGUACAUAGUACCUGAUUAGUAUACGACACAUAAGUGCCUGAUACGACACACAAGGUGUCUGAAAUACGACACACGAGGUGCCCGAAAUACGACACAUAAAGUGCCUGAAAUACGACACAUAAAGUGCCUGAUCGGCAUAGCCGAUAAAUUCCCGUACUCUUCCAAUCUUAUAGCAUGCCAACUAUAUCCGAAACAGCCCGACUAGUUAAUAGGGUUUUCAAUUCUCAAUUCAAUUUCACAUUCAUUCCAAAAGUUACUUUCAAUAUCAAAUUCACUUUUUCAUUCACGAAUCAAAUUUCAAUUCAAUACUAACACAUAUUUCUUAUUCCAUUCAAUUUUCUAAAUUCAGUUCAAUACUAACACAUAUACAUAUAUAUUAUUCAUCACCAAAUAACAUUCACUUUAAUCAAAAUUGUACAGAAUAUAGUUCAUACGAACUUACCAGGUUAAUUUACAGAAAUACCAAGAUAUAGGGGCAUUUUGGUAAUUUUCUAUUUCCUCAAUUUUCUACCCGAUCUUGAUCUAAGUUAAUAUUUCAUUCAAUUUAUUAACUUAAAUAAUAAAACAAUUCAUUUCAUACAAUUUGGUCACUUUUGACAUUUUUACAAAAUUACCUUAAAAAUUUACUUUUAUUCAAUUUAGUCUCUGAACCUAUAACAUGUAAAUUAGCUAUUUUAAGAUAAAAUCAUAUUAGCUGAAUGUUUACAUAUAUUUUUCCUCCUCCUCCACUCCAUUCCACAUCCUUGAUAUAUAUAAUACCAUUAUUUACUUGUUUACUCAUAACAAGCUAUUCACUUGAGUCAUAAUCACCAAAUUAAUUAUAUUUUAAGCUAAAAAACUACGAAUUGAGAUCCGAAAAUUUUAUAUGAAACUAGACUCACAUAUAUUCUUCCAAUAAAAUUUUCAGAAUUUUUAGUUUAUCCAAUAAGUACAUUUUAUUCUUUAAAGUCACCUCUGUUCUGCUGUCUAACAAUUCCGACCCUUCUUCACUAAAAAUUAAUUAUCUCCUUGUAUGAGAUUCGAAUGAUGUUACCGUUUGUUUCUAUUGAAAAUAUACUCAUUAAGGAUUUAAAAAUAUGAAUUUAAGCCCUAAUUAUUUUUAUCCAAUUUUUUAUGAUUUUCCAAAGUCAAAAUAGGGGAACCCAAAUUCAUUCUGACCUUGUCUCACAAAAUUUAUUAUAUCUCAUGAUUUAUAAUUUCAUUACUUGCACCGUUUCUUCUAUAAGAAACUAGGCUCAAUAAGAUUUAAUUCAAUAUUUUUAUCAUCCUCUAAUUUUAUUUCCACGAUUUAUGGUGAUUUUUCAAAGUUAACCUACUGCUUCUGUUCAAAACUGUUUUAGUGCAAGAUGUUGAUUACUAAGUUUAUAACUCCCUUAUUCCCUUUCUCUAUAAUAUUUCUCAUCACUUUCACUUAUUUUCCUUCACUAAUAUAUCAAGAACAUAAGACCUUAUAUAAUAAAACUCUACUAUAACAUCAUUUCCAUGCUUUUUCAAUAAUAUCAAACUUAAAAAUAUAUUGAAAUCUUGAUGUUCUUACCUUGUCCUAUUGGUUCCAACCUUUAACUUGAUUUUCUCUCUCCUCCAGCUUCUAUUUCUUGAAUCUAACUUGAUAUUUUAGCUCCCCAUGGUCUCCUUGUUAUCUUUCUCUCUUGAGGGAUAUGGAAAUUCUUUUGAUUUUUAGGUGAAAAUGAUAAAUUUUUGGUAGAAGGAUCAAAUUGUAAAGAAAGCAAAACUUUCUUUCUUCUCUUCCCUUCUAACGUGAAAUGCAUGGAAAGAUGGUGGGAUGGUGGCUUUUCAUCUUUCUUUCCACAUAUAUAUAUACUAAAUAAAUUAAUAAUAAAAUAAUAAAAUAUCAUUUAAAAAUCAAAUUAAAAUAUUAAUAAACUAAUAUUUAUUUAAUUAAUUAAACUAAAAUAUCACCAACAUCAUCAUUGCCUUCUAGAUUUCUCUCUCUUCUAAUUGACCAUUUUUCCCUUUAUAAUAUUUUAAAAUUCCAUCCUAGAGUCAUCACUUAAUUUGGUAAAAUUGCAAUUUAGUCCCUCAAAAUUCUUCACCUUUUCAAUUUGGUCCUAAUUCAUCCAUUUUUCCUUAGUUUCUAGAUUAUUCCACCCUUAAAAUAUUUACACAUUUGGUCCUUUAGCUUUUUCAUAUUUACACUUUAACCACUCAAAUUUUGAGUAUUUACUCUUGGGCAACAAAACUUUUCUCACUUGCGAUUUAAUCCUUUCUUGAAUUAAUAUGUCAUAAUAUACUUCCCAAUGUUGCCAUAAGUCAAAAUUACCCUUUUUAUCACUUUAUUUCCUUAUUUUACUAUAUCAGAGAUAUUAUCUUACUUUCCUUACUGUAGAAAUUUUCGAGGUAUUACAUAUAACAUAAAAUGCAAUGGUCAAAUUGUAUAAAUAGUACUCGUACAAAAAUUAUGCACAUGCGUAAAAGUACUAUAGUUUUACAUUAGUAUGAGUAGAUCUCUUCUCUUUAUAUAGAUUAUUGUAAAAUUUAUUAAGAAGAAGUAUUCAAACCCCUUGAGGUUUGAUAAAAAAAAAAAUUUCACUUACCUUCUUAUGUUUUGGAAAACACUCGCUUAUUCUUUGAGGUUUGACAAAAAAAUAUAUUAAAAUUAAAAUUAAAAUUAUUUAAAAUUGAGAUAAAUCUCAAAAUUACACAUGAGUUUUGAUUCAAUGUGCAAUUUGAUACAUAAAUUUUGAUUUCGUGCAAUUAUACACAUGAAACAUUGAUUGUCGUUCAAAUGUAUCCAUGAAACUUUAAUUUGAUUCAAUUAUACAUAUUUAAAGAAAUAAAUACAUCAAUUUAUUUUUAUAUUGGAUGAAUUAAUUAUUUGUGUAUGCAAUAUAUAAAAAUAAAGUGAUGCUAUAUUAGUAAUUGUAUUAAUAAUUUGUGAGAAUUGGAUCAAAUUAAAAUUUCUUAUAUAAAAUUACACAUUAGGCCAAAGUUAAUGUAUAGCUUUGAUAUUUAUCCCUUUAAUAAAAUUUUAUAUAUUAUAAAUAUAAUAUAUGCUUGUAACGAGAUGAACUGACAAAUAUAUAUUUGAAUCGAAUUUUGAAUGAACCAUUCGGAACCAGUUAAGUUAGAAUAAAAACUGAUUGAAUUGAUUUUAUCUGUUUUUCAAUUUUUUAUGACUUUUAAUUAAUUAAUUUAAUUAAAAUCAAACUGAUAAAUUGAAUCGGAACCAAUAAUUUAAAAUAUUAAGCGAUGAACGUUACAAAAAACGAGAUUUCUUUUACGGAUUGAGAUCCUCUCCAUUACUGUUUUACCAAAUAAGAAAUGAUUACCAUUUUUAAUUAUUAAAUAUAAAUUUAUUAUUUAAUCGCAGAUUAACAAAUAUAAAUAUAUAAUUUUUUGGAAAGCAACAAAUAUAAACAUAUAAAAUUAUAAAAACAUUUACAUUAUUAUUUAAUUAUAUAAAAGUGAUUUAUUAAAAAUAUUAUAAUUACCAAAGUAACCUCAUAAAAAUAUAAAUAAAUAUUAAAUGAAAAAUAUCACCCCAAAUUUUAAUAUAAAAUCAUAAACUAAGUAAAUUUAAUCAUCUAGCUUCAUAUUUCUUUUCCUCAUAUUUUCUCCUUCUCUUUCUUGCUUUCUAAGUUUCCCAUAGAAGAUAAAGUUAGAUAAGGUAAUCUUCGAAACACUAAACUUAACUAGAAGCUUUUUACUUGAGUAAUGAAAUUUUGAGUUAUCUGCUUCACUUCCAUAUUUGAUUUUCUGUUUUCGUUCUACUUAGGAGUAAACUUUUUAUGAUAUCGGUUUAACAAAAAGCGGGACUAUUAUCGUUUUCUCCACUGCCAUUUGAAACCUUAAAUGACUUUUUUUUUAUUUUUGUAUAAACUUUUUAUAGUUUGGGGUUUCUAUUAUAUCUAAUUACCAAUUUGCUUCGUAAAAAAGGUUAACUUGUAAUUGAAACUUUGUUGAGUAACCAAGUGUUUUCUUUGUUUGUUUGUGAUAAUCUGAAUAUCUGAUACUUUGGUAAUAUUCACUGUGUAGAAUUUUGAUUGGAAAUAAGGAGUCCUCCAACUUGGACUGCAAGUUGGGGUGAGAUGGUUCCUAAUAAAUGGCUUCCCGUGAGACCGAGAAUGUCGAAUUCGACAUAUUAUGACCCAUCUGUGGCUGAUGCUAGAUUUCCUUUCGCCGGACAGAAUCAAUCAUUUUGUCCCGUAACUGAACAAGCUGCGAACCAUGGUUAUCUUCCUCCGCUUUAUUUACAAGAACCGCUGGCAGAUGCUACUAAUCGGUUGAAUCGAGCUAUCCAACGGAAGGUUUUACUUGCUUAUAUCCAGUACAAGAAUUCAGCGGCAUUGUCGGGGAAUGAUGCUCCGGCUUAUUUUGCCAACUAUAUGCAUUCGACUGUCUGCUGUCAAUAUGUCUGUAGAUGCACCAAAUUCUUCUCACUUGCAUCCCAUUAUGAUGGUUGUCAUGAUGCUAGAUGUGACAUUUGCAACACUGUUCGGUAUAAUGCUGUCCUUGAUACAUUUCGUCCUGACUUUGAACAUGUAAAAGGAGGUCUUCUAAGAGUUACUGGCAGUGGAGACUCUGGCCAGCCCACAUAUGGUAGUUCAGAAGCCAUGCAACCUUUCCUGAAGCGUUUGAAGCUGGAAAAUCCUACCGCUCCCUGCUUUCCUUGUCAUGGUAUGUUUUAUACAAUGGCUCCAUCGCAUGUUCAACCAAGUUAUGCCGAGCUUCCACCCAUGGUGCAGUUUUCAGAAUCUCCUGUAUCUUAUAAUUCUGAGGUUACGCAGGUGGGCGUUGAAUUGCUACCAAAGCUUUUAGAUGGUUCUACAAUUGCCAACAGGAUGGGUAUGAAUAUGGAGGUGAACACUGAAUUGCUACCAUAUCUUAGAGAAGAUUCUACAAGUGCUAAAGAGAUGGACAAGACUAUGGAGAUGAACAUUGAAUUGUUACCAAAGCCUAUAGUAGCUAAAGAGAUGGAUAAGACUAUGGAGAUGAAAAUUGAAUUGUUACCAAAACCUAUAGAAGAUUCUAGAAGUCCUAAAGAGAUGGGUCAUAAUAUGGAGGAGUGGAGCAUCGAAUUGAUAUCAAAGCUUAUGGAAGAUUCUCCAAGUACUAAAGAAAUCAGUAUGGAGGAGGAGAACAUCAAACUGAUACCAAAGCUUAUAGAAGACUCUACAAGUGCUAAAGAGAUAGAUAUGUAUAUGGAGGAGGAGAACGUUCAAUUGAUGUCAAAGCUUAUAGAAGAUUCUUCAAAUGCUAAAGAGAUGGGUAAGGAUGUGGCAGAAAAUUUUCCUGGUCCUCCAGAGGUGGCUAUCGCUGGUUAUAAAGUGGUGGAAACUGAUCCUGUUGGCAGUCAUAGAGAAGAGGAUAUUGGAUUCAUAAAUGUUAUUGACAAUGCAGAUAAUGCAAGAUACCACUUUAACAAUUUGGAAAUCAAUGCUUUGCCCAGCUUCUCUGAAGAACUUGCAGCUGGUUGUGAAGAGGGAGAAACAGAAGCCAGGGCUAAUUCCACCCAGGCAGAGUUAGCAACAAAGACUGAGCUCAUUGCCCAAGAAUCAAAUGGUAGAAAGGAAAUAAAGUUGGAGAGUCUAAAACAAAGAGGUGUGUCCUUAAUAGAAAAUUUCACAGCACAGCAAAUCAAGGAGCAUAUAUCAAGUCUUAGAGAGUGUAUUGAUCAGGUUUGUGCUUUCAUUGUUGUUUAUUGCUUUUAUUUUCCAUUUUGUGCUGUCUUGAUUAGAGGAUAUCCUACUUUAAUCAUCUACUUAAAAUUGCUGUUAGAAUGCUUUAACUUGACUAAAUAUGGAUAGGAUAGAACUUAUGCUAUUGAAGGAUAUGCAUAAUUGCACACAUUCAAACAUCUCAUUGGAGAAAAUAAUAUAAUAGAUAGGCGCAUAAAUAACUUUAUAACAUAUGCAGCCACACCUCAACUAAAGUGCCUGUCAGCAUGCAUCUAACAUCAUGCCAAUUUGUCUCUUUUGAAACCCCUGAAACAUUUGAAAAUUCCUUCCAUACAAGUUUGAAAUGGGUGGGUAAGGGCAGUACGUAGCUGCCAUUUUCUGCUUGCUGUCAUAGUGGUUUCUCUUAAUUUUCCAUAUUCCAUGGCUGCGUGCAUUUUAUAUAAUGAAGUAUGAACCUUUUUAAUCUUAAUCAAACCCUUUCCUUUAACAAAUCUGCAUAAGAGCUGCACGAGUUUGUUCAAUCAUUUUGGCAGUAGCUGGUUUUUGUUGUGUUAAUAUUUUUCGGAGUAUUUUAUCUUCCUGAAGUUGGUUGUCAUAUUAUAAUAGCUGCUGAUACCCAUUUUACAAAAGCAUGGACUUUGCAUUUGCUUGGGAAGGUGACAUUGUCUUCUCUUAUUAAAAUAGGAUCUUGGAAAGAAAGAAGGGGCAAACAGAAGAGUCAAUGUCGACAGUAAGAACUCAUGCCAGUUGUGUGGAGCAGAUAAGCUUUCACUUGCUCCUGCACCAAUAUAUUGUUCAUCAUGUUGUGCUCGUAUCAGACGCAGUGCAAAGUAUUACAGCAUUCCUGAAGUAGAUGGUAUCAGAUAUUGUCUUUGUUCCUCAUGCUACAAGUUAUCUCGGUCUGAGAGUAUCACAACUUCUGGGAUAUUGGUUUCCAAGGCAAAGCUGAUUAAAAAGAUCAAUGACGAGGAAGCAGAAGAAUGGGUAGGCAGGCUAAUCCACAGUAUUUAUCUCAUAUUCCUGGAAUUUCAAACUGAUAAAAGACUCACUUGGUAAUGUUGUGUUCUUGCAGUGGGUUCAGUGUGAUAAAUGUAAAUCUUGGCAACACCAGAUAUGUGCUCUCUUUAAUGAGAAAAAAAAUAAGGAGAAAAAAGACUGUUUCCUUUGCCCAAAAUGCUGCUUAGAAGAAAUUGAAAAUGGAGAACAUAAGCCCCCGUUGGUGAAGACUGUUUUCGGUGCAAAAGAUCUGCCGCCAACCAUGCUUAGUGACCACUUAGAGCAAAGACUGUUUAGGUGUCUUCAGAAAAACAGAGAAGAGAAAGCAAAGGAUACAGGAAUGAGCAUUGAUGAGGUAAGAUUGAAAGUAUGAGUGUAAUGUACUCAUUUUUGUAGCAGCAUUGUUUGGAACUAAUGUACAUAAAAUUGUUCUUUUGUUAUCGGUCAUGAAUCAAGGGUUGGAUUUCUAUUAAUAUUGGAAGGUUGGAAAGAUCCACCUUUUGCUAAAUUGGUUUAAGGUCAGAUGCCCAUUUUAAAACUUACAUGAAUAUUAGAAGGUGAAAGAUAUAUACACAUAUACGUAUACUCCUUCGAAUAUGAAUUUAUUCAUGUAAACCAAUAGUUUUAGGCAUUUCUAUUUUUUUUUCUUCUUCCCUUGCCCUUUUGCUUGUGUUUCAUUCCUAAGCAGUUUUUGUUUUCAUUUUCAGCAGUGAGGUUUUCAUUUUUGACCACUACAUCUUUUCUAUAUUGCACAAUGUUAUUCGUACUUAAUUUAGCUGUUUCAUUGACAAUAGAUGUUCUAUUAUUCACUAGGUUCCUGAAGUAGAAGGUCUUGUUGUCAGAGAGGUGUUAUCUGCUCAGAAACUUGUAAAAGUGAAUGAGAAGCUUUUAGAUAUACUCAAGGAUGGGAAUUACCCUGCUGAAUUUCCAUACAAGUCAAAGGUAAGAUAUCUUUUGAAAUUAUUAUAUGUUUUGAAGGUAACUUGGUAUUCCCAAAUUUUAACAUGCGGCCCUGACCUUGAGGUUUCUUAAAAGAUUGAUUUCUACCAAACUGUCUUAAUGAGAACUGUGUUUGUUUUCCUUUAGCUAUAAUUUGCUUCUUUUUGGAUCAUUCUCUAGAUUCUUGUCAUUUUUACUAUACCAUGAUCAUUUUUCUGUUUUCAGGUUAUUCUUCUGUUUCAGAAGAUUGAUGGGGCAGAUGUAUGCCUUUUUAUCAUGUACGCCCAAGAGUUUGGUGCAGAAUGCAGUCGACCAAAUCAACGCUGUGUUUAUAUCUCAUAUCUUGAUUCUGUUAAGUAUUUUAGGCCCGAAACAGAAACUGCUGCUGCUAGUGGAGAACCUCUUCGAACUGUUGUUUAUCAUGAAAUAAUGGUAUAAUAUAUAGUUUUCUGCUCUAAUUAUUGUAGCUUUUCAAAUUUCAUUAGUUGUUAUAGUUGGAUACUGAGAUUGUUUCUUGCUUUUCUGUUCUGUUUCCAUUUUUAGAUAGGAUACCUUGAUUACUGCAAGAAACGGGGUUUUGCAACCUGCUACAUAUGGGCCUGUCCACCUAAGAAAGGAGAAGAUUAUAUCUUCUAUUUCCACCCAGAGAUUCAGAAAAUACCGAAGUCUGAUAAGCUGCGGCAGUGGUCUCUCUCUCUCUCUCUCCCUGUCACAUAUCUCUUAUACAUGCAUGUCUUUUGUGUGUGCAUGUUGCUUUCUAUCUGUUUGUAUGUGUUUCCUUGUUUGUAUAUAUAUCUUGACAGCAGCUUUUAUGUGAGUGCAGGCAUAAGACCAUGCUACUAAAAGCUGCUAAAAUGGGCAUAGUGGUUGGUUUGACUAACUUAUAUGAUCAAUUUUUCUCCACCGGGCAAUACAACUCCAAGGUGACAGCAGCUAAUUUGCCAUAUUUUGAUGGCGACUAUUGGUCUGGUGCUGCUGAGGAUGUGAUAAAGCAUAUCGAGAAAGCAAGUGGAGAAGACUCAAAAAAGAAUAAGAAAAUUGUGUCAAAAAGAACAUUGAAAGCCAUGGGACACACAAAUCCACCAGGUCAUGCCACUAAGGCUAUUCUCCUGAUGCAGAAGGUAAAAAUUUACAAACCAUCCUCUAGUUUUUACUCUCAUAUGGUUUUUGGCACAUUCUUUGUCCACUUUCCUUCAUGUUAUGAAAGGAGCCUUAUUUUUUUGUCUAUUCCUUUGAGCAGACUGGAAUUACAGGAAGGAAAAAUUGUAAUUAAAUCAUUGUGAUAGUUUCUAUUAUGAAAACAUACUAUUUUAAAUCUGUUUAGUAUAGCUUUCUAUUGAAUUCUUUUCUUAUGCAACUAUGAUCGUCACUAAUUAUUUCAUUUCUUUUCUUCCUGCUUUGUUAGCUGGGCCAAAAUAUUUUACCUAUGAAGGAGGACUUCAUCAUUGCCCAUCUGCAGUUUGUCUGCGUAUGCUGCCAUAGAACUAUAUUAGAUGGAUGGCGAUGGUUUUGCCGUAUGUGUAAAAGCUUUCAGCUUUGUGGAAGGUAAUCAUUCUUUAUCCUCUUAUUUAUUAGAAUAUGCUCUGUCAGUGUUUAUGCAUUUUUUUUCUUGUUGACUUCUGGUUGGCACUAUAUUUCCUCCUCAGAGCUCCAUUUAGGCAUCAAGUUAUUAGUAGGCUAGUAGCCUGAACACACUAACUUUUAGAUGGUUAUUCACUGUCUGGCAGUAAAUUUGAUAAUAUAAACCUAUAAUAUGAUAUGCCUUAAGUUUUUUCAAUGGAAUCUUGGGAUACAUAUUAAAACUGAAGCAUCAAAGUAUAUGAUUGUGGCAAUUCUGUAUGCUGUGGUCUGUGUUUGUUUAUUCUCGUUCUUUAAAUAUAAUUAGCAUUCUCAUAAUGUUAUCAUACUCUUUCCAGCUUUGCUAUUUGCGCUGCUUCUAGUGAUGUAUGUUUUAUGCAUUGGUCUAUUUAAUUCAUGCCAUCUUUCAGGUGCCAUGAUGCAGAGCAAUAUGUCUACAAGGAUUCCACUCACACUUCAUGCAAUGGGGAAAAACAUUCACUCUCUAGGGUAAAUUCCGUUUUUUAACCAUUUGUUUUUACCUUAAUUACUAAGAAUUUGCAAUAUUUAAUGCAUAUAUCUAAAUUAAGUACAACUGUGUCUCUUUUUACAGAUCAUGGUGGAUGUUCCUUAUGAUACCGAUGAUAAUGAUGCCAGCAUGGAUAGUGGUUUAUUUGAAAAUAGGUAUAGGUUUUUGUUGUUCUGUCAGAAGAACAACUAUCAGUUCGACACGCUUCGUCGGGCCAAGCAUUCCUCGAUGAUGAUCCUAUAUUACCUUCACAAUCCAACAUCAUUGCUUGCUGAAACUACCUGCUGUAUUUGUGACAAAGACACACCACUAGACCAGUGCUGGCAAUGCAAGACCUGUUCGGAUUUUUUUGUUUGUGCUGCAUGCUAUCACAGACAUGGUUGUUCCUUACAUGUUCAUAAGUUGUCUCUGCAUCCUUCUGCUGUCGAUUCCUCGGCCAAGAAUAGAGAGACUCUGAAGAAGGGAUUAUCGGUAGGAAGUUUGUUCCACAUAAAUACUAAUAAAUUCUGGUUUCCGAUGUCCCUAAUCUGAUAUUUUAUUUUGUCAAAAUCAUGCAUGCGUGUUAACAGAAACUGCUGGAAGUUUUGUUGCAUGCCUCUGGAUGUGAUCACUGCUCCCACCCCGAUUGCCGUCUUAUGAAAAAGCUAUUCUUCCAUUCGAAAGUGUGCACUGUUAGAGCUGCUGGAGGUUGUAAACACUGUAAUAAGAUAUGGUUCAUACUGAGACAGCACUCCAGAAGUUGCAAAGAGUCCAACUGCAACGUACCACGGUGCAGGUAAGAUCCAACUUGCGACCUUUCUGAAGCCAAUUCUCACUUAAAACAAAUUUAAAACCAGUUCCCCUGAAAUUAUUUCCUUCAUUUUCUCUAAAUUCAAUAGGGACAUAAAGCAGCAUGCACAAUCUUUGGCACUGAAGCCUGCAGCAUUUUGAUGAAGAUAUCUAUAUUAGGACUGGCUCUUGGCACUUGGGAUUGGUCAGAGCACUCAGGUUAUGUUUUGACAAGAUCAAUUCAAAAUAAUUGAUUUAGGGGUUUUUUUUUCUUGAAUAUUAUGCCUAAAAAAUUAGUGAAAUAGUUUACUUGGGUAAAGGUAAAAAUGCACCUCGUCAUCGAUGCUUUUUAAAAGCGUCGGAAAACAUGGAUGACGAGGCGCACAUUUUAUCUACAGGUGUAGGUUGUCAUAAAUUUUUUAAUUUUCAGUUAUUUUGUUUAAACAGAUUUAAAUAAAAUCGUGUCAGUUUUUAGUGUUUGUAUUUCAGAGGAGUUAAUGUUUGAACCUUUUGGAAUUAAUAGACUAAAAUAGUAUUUGUUUCUAUUGAAAAACAACAUUAUUAUGAGUUUUAUAAUAAUAUAACCAAAUAUUAAACAUAAACUAAAAUAAAUUCAUCUGAGUUUAAUACUUGGUUUUAGUGCUAUUACUAUCAAACAUAAAUUAAUGGCUUAAUAUACACUAAACUUGAUCAUUUUUCUUUAAGUUGAUAUCUGAAAAUUUUAAGGUAGCCAAUCGUUACAUUAUACUAACUGGAGAUGGGAAUGAAUAAGCAAGCCACAUGUGGAUUACUAUUUAAUUAAUUUCAAAAUAUAUAUAAUUAAAGAAUAAAAAUGUGUAAAAGUCAUAUAUUAAUCAAAGUGUCUCGAAGACUUCAAAUUUUGUUCUGAUAAGAAAAACGCAUUGUAUAUUGUUUCAAGAUACAUUCUAAGAGUGCACAACCAAAACGUGAAUUAUUUAGCUAAGUUGACCCCGCAAAUAAAGAAGAUUUACAAUUGUUGGACACCCUCCAAAAAAAGCUUUAGAUUUUCUUUGUAUCCCUCAAAUUUUCCGUGUAAUUUAGUGUAGAAUCGUUUCUGGGCAAAAUACCAAUAAAGUCCUUUUUUUUAAAAUUACUGAAAUGGGUCAGGUAAAAAUUUAAUUACUGGAAUAGACCUAUUUCCCUGAAAACGCAUCCACGUCAGCGCGUUGUCAGGUGACAAAGCAAGAAAGGAAGCGCUUUUUCCACGUGGACAGAAAACGCAUCCUCAAGGACGCGCUUUGUGUCCAUGUGGACAAAACGCUUCCUUGAGGAAGCGUUUUCCCCGUGUCUCUGCGUUAGGGUUAGGGUUUUGGGUUUUGGGUUUUGGGUUAGGGUUUUGGGGUUUUUGAGUUUAGGGUUUUAAAGAAAAAAUUAAAUAAAUAAGGGAUUAUGGAUUAGGGUUUCUUAAUUAAAUUAAUUAUAAAUUUUUAAAAAUUAGAUUAGGGUUUCGUGUUUAUGGUUUUUAAGGAAAAAAUCAAUUAAAUUAGGGUUUAAGGUUACUUGAGUAAAUUAAUUAUAAAUUUUAAAAAAAAUCAGAUUAGGGUUUAGUGUUAAGGGUUUUUAAGGAAAAAUCAAAUAAAUUAGGGUUUAGGGUUACUUGAGUAAAUUAAUUAUAAAUUUUAAAAAAUUAGAUUAGGGUUUAGUGUUUAGGGUUUUUGAGUAAAUUAACUAUAUGAAAUAAUAUAAAAAUAUUCAAAAUAUUUGUACAAAUAUAUUAAAAUAAAAAUCAAUCUCCAUGCUCGCCGAAUUCAGUGCCACAUGGCGGUCGUCAACGGACGUGCUGGAUUCCUCCUUUGUCCAGCUUCCGGCGGGGGUUGUGGUUGCUCCGGGGGGAUUAUGGUUCCUCCGAUAGGGGAUCUGGUUGUCGGUGUUGGGAGGAUGACCCACCUUGAUAGAAUAGUGAAUGUAGAGGUGUUUGCAUCACCAACAGCGAAGGUGUUUGAAACUCAUAAGGUGAUGGGGAUUGGUAAAAAGAAGAGCUCUCCGACGACCCCUCGUACGAUCCCUCGUGCAACAGUGGCCUAUAGAUCGGCGAUCCACUUGGCGUAAUCGAAAAUGGAGAUGAACCAGGCCAUUGACUCCAACCUGCCAUAGGACUAGAAAAAGGAAACAUAUAAGGGUUAGGAUACAUAAAAGGGCUAGGAUACGCACCUGGCAUCAUCUGAAAAGGCUGUACUGUGAGUGUCGUCAGUUGAAGUGUUGGGUCGGGUGACUGUGUCAGUGCUGUUGUUGGGUCUGGUGAUUGUGUGGGCGCUGUUGAUGGGCCUGCGUCGUCGUCCCUUCUUCUUGGAUUUAAAGGGCCACGUCGUUCCCUUUGGACACACAAUUGUCGUUGCCUCUCCUCUUCCGACAGUAAAUACGGCUUGCCAUGGAUCCUAAACCAUGGCAUGUAUUCUGGCACGCACGCUAACUCUGGAACAAUGAUCGGUUCCCGAGUAGGUAUAUAAUCAUACCGAUCUUCCCAUAUUUGGAUAUAGUGUGACCAGAAUCUCGGCCAAUCCAUAUGCAAUUGCCGUAAGUCAAUUCUGUGAUGAUCAUCUAACACCUCAGGUGCCACGGGAAUCGGUUGUCGGAAUCCAAAUUGCCGUAAUACUCUGUUCGACUGGUGCAUCUCUACGACCGCAAAGUUGACAAAUGGGACUUUCACAUGCCAAGCGUUCGGAUUUUGGAAGUAUUCAUCCGGAAUUACUGCCCGAAUUGUCGGAUCCUUGUGUGGUGUCCAUUGAAACUAUAUGAACAUUAUGGAAAUAUUAGUUAUAUACAUAAUACUAAAUACUAAAUACUAAAUACGAAUCGACUAUCUCAUUAUGUAUAUCUAUUUUAUUUAAAACUUACUUGUGCUUCCGACGUUUGUCUAAUAGAAGCCGUAUAUCUUCAAGAGAGGUAGGUAAUCGAGCAUAACUUGCCGAAUGGUUCCACCUAAUUAAAUAAAUUUUUAGCAUACGAUUAUAUUUUAAAUCUACGUAAUAAUUGUAAAAUCUAAUAUAAAAUUUACCUCGUUAUGAAUGGGAAUGUAUAUGAGUGGUCUACUCGAGGACGUAAAAAUGGAAAGCGAAACCGUACCCAUGACUGCAGUAGUGAUAGGCAACCUCCGAUUUUCGCUUUAUUCGGUCGUGUUGCCCCGCACAUCUCCCUGUACAAUGUUGCCAACACGGCAGACCCCCAACUAAAUUUACUAGCUGCUCUAAAAUCAACGAGUUUCAGCAUCCAUCUCAGAUGUACAAGGUUCUGUGACAAGUCUGGCAUUAGAUAACCUCCAAUUAUCUCAAGAAUGUAUGCCCGAGCAUAUUGGAUUCUUUCUAGUUCGGUAGAAUCAUCAUCUGGCUCCGGGAAUGUGUCUCGUAACCAGCCCAUCUCGAUUCGACCUCCGUUAAUAUUCUCCAGAAUAGCGCCCAAAAGCUCGUAGCAUACCGCUCCCCAAUCACUAGAUUGAACAGACCCGGUGACUACGUAUCCGUCCACCAGUAAUCCCAAUUGCAAAUUUACGUCUUCCAACGUGAUAGUACACUCUCCACAUGGAAGAUGGAAUGUGUGCGUCUCGGGUCUCCACCUCUCUAUCAACGCACUAAUGAGUUUUGGGUCCAACUUGCAUCCCUAGCCUACCGUCGCCACGCGCCAAAAACUCGUUUCCCGCGGAUAAUUCUCUAUCAACGGUGAUGGAGGACCAUGCAUAUUACGGACAUAGCAUUGCAAUAUCCGGUUUACAGACUUUUAUAAGAAAUAAUAAAAUAAAAAUUAUUUAAAAUUGCAUAAAUGAAAAAAAUCUUAAAUAAUAUUUAAAAAUUAAAGUUAACACUUACCAUUUUCAUUUGUUCUACGAAUAUGUGCUUGUUAUCAAGACAAAUUAAUUCUCCGGCCAUUGCUAACACAAUCAAAUUUUUAUGAUUUAAAAAAUUCAAAAAAUAAAAUUAGAGCUUUUUUUAAAAUAAUUAAAGAGAGCUUUAAAAUGAAUUUGAGAGAAUAUUAGAGAUAAAUAUGAGAGAAUUUGAGAAAAAGGAUUUAAGUGUGAAAAAAAUGAAAUGGAGGUUUAUAGUUUUUUUUUUUUACCGUUGGGGGGUACCAACGGCUAUUUUUUUACCUUUUGUACUGUAGCGAAAAACACUUCCUCAAGGAAGAGCUUUGUCCGCGUGGACGCAAAGCGCGCCCUCCAGGACGCGUUUUCUGUCCACGUAGACAAAAGAAAGCGUUUUCAUGCUUUGUCACCUGAUAACGCGCUGACCUGAACGUGUUUUUGAUUUUGGCCAUUCCAAUAAUUAAUUUUUUACCGAGUCUAUUUCAAUAAUUAAAAAACAAAAUUUUGCCCAUCGUUUUUAUUUCACAAAUAAAAAUAAAGAUGGGUAGGGCUGGGUGAUUUAUGUCAGUAAUAAUGACAGCCACUAAGGUAGGUCUAUAUGUAUGUAAAAUGCAGACCAAAGGCUAAAAGCCAAAAAUCAUCCAUUGCACAAAAAAGUUUAAAAAGGACAACACAUUCAUUUCUUUAAUUCAUUCUAAUCUUAAACUCUGCUACAACAAAAUUUAUACUAAGAUCCCAUUGACAUUGCAAAUGAUUUAAUUAGUGAAAUUUGCAAUGGUGGCAUGUGGCUCACAAGCCUUAGCAGCCGGAACGGCUUCAACAGCUGGGUGUGGGUCAACCGGCUUGCAAAGCAGCUCUUCUGGGAGUUCACCAAUUCCCUUCAAAUAGAAAGUGUAGAAAAUCUUAAAGGGGAAGACGAUUUGGUGGAGCUUAACCUGACCGGAGACACCUUCAAAAAUGCCAGACCCACCAGUAAUAGCCAGGUACGUGUCCUGGUAAGUCAAGUAAGGUCCCUGCACCGCUAUGUGACCGUAGUCUCCGAAGUAAAAGCUGAAGAUGGCCUCGUAGCGAUCACCUUUCAUUUCGGGUUUAUGCUCUAUUAAUAUGCAUAUUCCUGAUGUUAUUCCGAUCCGUUUCUCCAAAUCUCCCCUAUAUAUCUGUAUUUAUAUAUAUACGUUGAAGAUUAAUUUCAUAAAAUUAAUUCAGUGAAAAUAGAAAAAGAAAGCUUACUUUGUUGCUAAAAGGGACAAGAUCACCCAGUGAGUUCACAGAUUUCUGACUCAAACGAAGGUAAGCUGGACUCCCACGAUCUCUCUCAUUCAACUCAUACACAUGUAGUUCUUGAACUUUUUCUGAAACAAGCACAAAAACCCAGAUAUAUUAAUCAACAACAUCAACCCAAAGUCACCAAUCAAUUGACGGGUUUGAAUCAAGAUUUACCCGGAGCUGAGUUAUCAGAUGGAAUAGCCUGGCUUUUGCAAGUGAAACCUCGCUUGGGAGCUGAGAAAGUGUUGGAGUUUGAUGUGAAAAGCUUGUGGGUUUGAGGUAAACAAGGGUUUUUGAUGGGCUUGAAAGAUGAAGCUGCAGGCAACAAGGAAUGGGUGGGUGAAGUUGAUCUGAUUAUCCCAGAAGAAAUGGUGGAUCUUAAAGCAGACAUACUGAGAGUGGAGGAAUUUGAUGAGAAAAUGAGCAAGUCUAGGGACUAGAUUUAUACAGGAAAGUGGAAUUGUUGGUGGACGGUGAUUUUGACACGUGGGCUUUUAGCUUUUGGGUGUACCCAAUGACGGUGCAACCAUGAAUAGUCAAAAGCAGUCUUCGAUGUACAGCCGUUAUCCCAUGUGACGGAAGAACGUGGUGCGUUAGAUUUUGUAUUAUUGUACAAUACACGUAGUUUAUUAUUUUCAAUAAACAUUUAUUUAAUUUGGACGGAAUAAGUUUUUUUUUUUUUACGUUUUAUGCCUGGAGUUGGUAAUUAUUCUUAUUAAUAAUAUUAUUUCAAAAGUUUGAACUUAUAUUCUUCGAAAUGCAACGUGCCUUACCAUUGCACAUUAUAGAUAAUCAAUUUGGGGUAAGAUAUUGUAUGAUAUUAACACAAUAAAAAAUUAUUUAAAAUUUUAAAUAUAAAUUGUUUAAUUUAAUUUUUAAUCUAAAAAUAUACGUGCCUAUUUUUAAUUUUUACAUAUAUAUAAAAUAAUAUACUACAAUAUUGAAAAUUAAUCAAAUUUGGGCAUUGUCAAAAUAUGGUUAUUGGCUAAUUAAUUCUCCAAAUGCAUUUUUGGAAGUGCGAAUUAUGGUGUAUAGAUUAUUCAUCUAUGUUCGAAAGUCUGCUCGAAAAAUGGGUGGUUUUGAAUAAAAACAUGAGGUUCUGAAAAUGAACUUGGGUAGGAUUGAAUGCCUGUUUUCUAUAUGGGCUAGGCCUUGGGCAAGAUGUUUUGGCUUGUGCCUAAUCCGACCUGAAUAUAUUAUAUUAUAAAAAAUAUUAAAUUAAUUAUAUAUGUUAAAUAAUAAUUAUAUGUUUAUAUUUAUAUUAAAUCACUAACCCAGUAACAAUUAAACUCAUUAUACAAAACUUAAGAAAAUAACUUAUCCAACUAAAUAACUCGAGAGUAAACUACUAAAAUAGUCAAUUUUGCUUCUCUCAGGUUAUAUUUUAGUCAUUUACGUUUGAAAUAUUACGUUUUAGUCACUUACGUUAAUGUGUUGUAACAUUUUAGUCACUGAGCCAUUAAUUGCCGUUAACGGUAAGCUGAUACGGCACGUUCAAUCAUCAUUUAAAACAAAAAUUUUAGGUUAAAUUAUACAAUUGAUCCCCAUAUUUCUUUGAGCAAUUUAUUUUUUUCUUUCAUGUUCUUUUAAUUUUUUUCCUUUAUUUUCCAUUCUCUUCUGCUUCUACCUCUAUUUUCCUCCCUUCUUCAUCUCUUUUAAUGUAAAAGAAAAAAAAAUUAAAUUGCUCAAAAUGAAAAAAGAUAUAGGGACCAAUUGUAUAAUUUAGCCUAAAAUUUUUGUUUGAAAUGAUGAUUUAACGUGCCAUGUCAGCUUACCAUUACACCAUUAACAACAAUUAACACUCAAUGACUAAAAUGUUACAACACGAUAACGUAAGUGACUAAAACGUAACAUUUCAAACAUAAGCGACUAAAAUGUAACUUGAGGGAAACAAAAGUGACUAUUUUGGUAGUUUACCCAUAACUCAACCCAAAAUAUAAAAUUUAAAAAAAUUAUAUUUAAUAAAAUAAAAUAUUUAUUAUAUUUAUGCUAGUGUUUUUAAUAUAAUAUAACAUUUAUUAUAUUGCUAGUGUUUUUUAAUAUAAAUAAUUUUUAACGUGUUAAAAUUGUUUUAUUUUAGUAUUUUCUUGCAUUUAAUGUAUUAUAUAUAAAAAAUAUUUUUAAAUAAAAAAAUAUUAAAAAAUCAAAUAUGGACGGGUCAGGUCAAAUCCGAGUUUACCUUUCUUAAAUUGAACCAAUCUUAAACAAAAAAAAAACUCAUUUUUCAGACCGAAUCGAACAUAAACUUAAAAAAUUGGUCUUAAUACCUUAUCCAAACCCGACCCAGCCCGACACAUAAGCAUAUAAAGUUGAGAUUUGUCCAAUAUGGAUUUAAAUUCUAAAUUUGCCACCAAUGACUCGAGGUUUGGAUAAAUGUGUCUCUCCUUUCCAUUUCCUCCUAUAAAUACUUCAUUCAUUUUGUUUUAUUUUUUAAAAUUUUAUCAUAUUAUAUAUAUUUAAAUAAAUACAUCAAUUUUUUAUAUUAAAUAAAUAUAAUUAUUUGUGUAUGUAACAUAUUAAAAUAAAAUGAUGCUAUAUCAAUAAUUGUAUUAAUAAUUUGUGAGAAUAGGAUCAAAUCAAAAUUACAUGUAUGAAAUUGCACAAAAGUAAAAUUCAUGUAUAAAUUUACACAUUAAACCAAAAUUCAUGUAUAGUUUUGAGAUUUUUCUCUUAUUAAAUUUACUUUAAAUUGUCAUAGAAUUAAUUAUUAAAUCUUUUGGAAUUUAUUAAUAGGAAAUAGAUUUAAAGGAUGCCAAUCUAUAUACGAUUAAUAUAAUCGACAAGUUCUUUUUGGUGUGGGUAAAAAGACCUCUGUAGUCUCUCUCAAUUUCAAGUUUGAACAAAUUGGUUCCUCUCAGAAAAAAUUGAGCAAUUUAGUCCUUGUUAAUUUCGAAAAUGAGUGAUUAAAGACAAUUAAUUUCAGAAAAACUAGUAAAAUAUGUAUAUCAAGAACUAAACUUGUUAUUAUACCAAUCAAAUUUAUGCAUAAUUGACGAAAGACAUUAACGUCAUGAUUAAUUGUCCUUAAUUGUUUACUUUCGAAAUUGAUAGGGAUUAAUUCACUCCCAUUUUUUUGAGAUGGACUAAUUUACUCAAUUUCGAAAUUAAGAGGGAUUAAAGAAAUCUUUACCAAGAUUAUUUUAAUAAUUUCCUUAAUCAAUUUUUUGACGAAUUGACUCGUUACAGUAACUUAAUCACUCAUUUAAAUAAUAGUAUAAAUGUUGAUUAAGUCUUUACUCAAUUGGAAUCGACAUUGUUGCCUGUGCAAGAAGAAGUGAAUUUAAGUGCGCUGAAACACAUUAUCUUCGUACUUAUAAAUAUUGUAUAAAAUAAUAAUAGUAUUGAUAAUAAUUUAAUUCUAGUUUUGUUUAGUCAUUGAGCAACAUUAAUUUCUUUCCAUCAUUUAGCCAUUCAUUGCCCAAAAUAUACGUGGACAGUUUUUCAAAGAGAAAAAAGAAACCCCUCCCUGUCCAAAUAAACAUAUUUUUAAAAGGGUAAAUUAUAAUAGAGUUCACUCAAUUAUAAUUUUUUUUUCUUUUUUGAUCAUCUAACCAUGAAAAAUUAUAAAAUAGUUACUCAAGUAUUUAAUUUUAUUUUUUUGAUUUCCAGCUGGCUAACAUAAAAAAUGAAACACCCAAAAGUUCAAGAUAGUUAGGUAAUCAAAAAAGACAAAAUUGAAUAGUUGAGUGGUCAUUUUGUAACUUUUCAUAAUUGAAUUAUCAAAAAAGAAAAAAUUACUAAUAGUCGAAUGACUAUUUUGUAACCUUUCAUAGUUGGACGGUAAAAGAAAAACCAACUACUAUUUAUUACUAUCGUUUGUUAGAUCUAAUUGUAAGGAGUCCAAUAUCUAAAAGAAAAAUCACGUGGAUGUAAAAUGCAGUCCUCGAAGAGCUUUGAUUGACUUUAAAUUUAAUUAUCGGAUAUAUAUUAAAAAAGGAGAAAGGCGUAUUUAUACCAUAUACGGAAUCUAACGUACCAUCCGGCCACAAAGGGAAAACAAAAAUCUAACGCACCAUGUUCUUCCGUCACAUGGGAUAACGGCUGUACAUCGAAGACUGCUUUUGACUAUUCAUGGUUGCACCGUCAUUGGGUACACCCAAAAGCUAAAAGCCCACGUGUCAAAAAUCACCGUCCACCAACAAUUCCACUUUCCUGUAUAAAUCUAGUCCCUAGACUUGCUCAUUUUCUCAUCAAAUUCCUCCACUCUCAGUAUGUCUGCUUUAAGAUCCACCAUUUCUUCUGGGAUAAUCAGAUCAACUUCACCCACCCAUUCCUUGUUGCCUGCAGCUUCAUCUUUCAAGCCCAUCAAAAACCCUUGUUUACCUCAAACCCACAAGCUUUUCACAUCAAACUCCAACACUUUCUCAGCUCCCAAGCGAGGUUUCACUUGCAAAAGCCAGGCUAUUCCAUCUGAUAACUCAGCUCCGGGUAAAUCUUGAUUCAAACCCGUCAAUUGAUUGGUGACUUUGGGUUGAUGUUGUUGAUUAAUAUAUCUGGGUUUUUGUGCUUGUUUCAGAAAAAGUUCAAGAACUACAUGUGUAUGAGUUGAAUGAGAGAGAUCGUGGGAGUCCAGCUUACCUUCGUUUGAGUCAGAAAUCUGUGAACUCACUGGGUGAUCUUGUCCCUUUUAGCAACAAAGUAAGCUUUCUUUUUCUAUUUUCACUGAAUUAAUUUUAUGAAAUUAAUCUUCAACGUAUAUAUAUAAAUACAGAUAUAUAGGGGAGAUUUGGAGAAACGGAUCGGAAUAACAUCAGGAAUAUGCAUAUUAAUAGAGCAUAAACCCGAAAUGAAAGGUGAUCGCUACGAGGCCAUCUUCAGCUUUUACUUCGGAGACUACGGUCACAUAGCGGUGCAGGGACCUUACUUGACUUACCAGGACACGUACCUGGCUAUUACUGGUGGGUCUGGCAUUUUUGAAGGUGUCUCCGGUCAGGUUAAGCUCCACCAAAUCGUCUUCCCCUUUAAGAUUUUCUACACUUUCUAUUUGAAGGGAAUUGGUGAACUCCCAGAAGAGCUGCUUUGCAAGCCGGUUGACCCACACCCAGCUGUUGAAGCCGUUCCGGCUGCUAAGGCUUGUGAGCCACAUGCCACCAUUGCAAAUUUCACUAAUUAAAUCAUUUGCAAUGUCAAUGGGAUCUUAGUAUAAAUUUUGUUGUAGCAGAGUUUAAGAUUAGAAUGAAUUAAAGAAAUGAAUGUGUUGUCCUUUUUAAACUUUUUUGUGCAAUGGAUGAUUUUUGGCUUUUAGCCUUUGGUCUGCAUUUUACAUACAUAUAGACCUACCUUAGUGGCUGUCAUUAUUACUGACAUAAAUCACCCAGCCCUACCCAUCUUUAUUUUUAUUUGUGAAAUAAAAACGAUGGGCAAAAUACUAAUAAAAACGAUGUCGGCGAGGAGGUACGAUGGUGGGAAUGGAGGAGACGUUGGAGUGGGGAGAAAGGAAAAUAAAGGGAAAGGGAAGGGUAAGGGAUUUAGGGAUUGGGGUGGCUCGAAGGGUGGAGGAAAGUAGGAGAGGGCGUGGGUAAUGGAGGAAGAUGACAGUGGCCGGAGAGGUGGAUGAGAAUUGGUUGAUGGUGGCUAAGGUUAAGGGGUUUGGGGGUUAAAAAGGGGGACAUAGUUGUGUAAGGGCCUGUGUUGGGCUACACGGCCGUGUCACACUCCCGUGUGAGGCGUUUUCAGCCCAUGUACAUUUUAAAAAUAUAGGCGCAGUCUUCACACAGCAUCAGACACGUCCGUGUGUCCAGGCCGUGUGGAACACAAUGUCGUGUCAUACAGCUGUGUGCAACGUUCUUCGCUUCUUGAACUACCGUGUGAACUCCCACACACCCAUGUGGCUUGGCCGUGUCUCGCACACUGCCAUGUGUCUUACCCGUGUAACUCUCUGACUUGAUUUUAGAAUGAAAAAAAUUAUCUCCAAGUUUUACACGGCCUAGGGCACGCCCGUGAGCCCAGGUCAUGUGGACUAUUUUAGACCGUGUGACAAUCGAAUUUUGGAAAAUUUAAGUCCCAAGAUCCACACAGCCAAGGACACGCCCGUGUGUCCAAGCCGUGUGGGUCAUAUAGCCAUAUCACCAGGCCAUGUAACUCAUUGUCGAACCAUGUUUUGUGCACAUGGCCUGGGAUACACCCGUGUGUCCUAUCCGUAUGGGUCAGAAACACUUUUUUUAAAAAUUUGAAAAUUAAUUAGUUUUAAAAAUAUCAUGAAAUAAAAUUAUGAAAAUUAGUAGUAUUAACACUCAAGUUGCCUCCCGAGAAGUGCUUAUUUAAAGUCUAAGCUCGACUUACCUUGUAUUCGCACUGUCACAAUGGUUCACGGAGUCGAAACUCCUCUUUCUCGUUAUCAAUUCUAUUACCAAAAUAAGGUUUAAGAUGAGUACUAUUUACCUUAAAUGUGUCAAAUUCAGAAUGAGUUACCUCGACUAUACUGUAUGGGAAAACAUUCAGUACUGUAAAGGGGUUUAAUCUAUUUACAUCAAGCUCCGAAGUGGCAAUUCAAGGAUCCAUUUUAUCUAGCAGUACCUGGUCUCACACCUUAAAUUGGUUCGUUCUAUCUACAUGCUUAUCAUAGUGCCGCUUUGGCUCUUCAUCGUGUUUUCUCGGUUUCCAAUUGACAUGUGUCCGCCAUUCAUCUAGUUCAUCGACUUGUAGCAUUCGUUCUUCAUGAGUCAUUCUAUUUCUGUCCCAUGGACUGGAACAUGGUUCCAUCACGUUUUUCUGAGGUGUUUCCUACAAAGAAGCUUGAGCUACAAGGUUACUCAUAUUAACAGAACUCGUAUAAUCAUCUCGAUCAUUAGAUGUCUUAACAGAAUUAUGAUCUUGAAGUGUAAUCGUUUCGUCACCUACACGAAGUAUUAAUUCACCUGUAUCAACAUCAAUAAUAGUUCUAGUAGAUGCUAAAAAGAGCCGACCCAGAAUCAAAGGUACGUCACUAUCCUUAUCCAUGUUUAAAACAACAAAAUCAAAUAGGAAUAUGAAUUUAUCAAUUUUGACAAGAACAUCUUCAAUAAUACCCCUAGGAAAUCUAAUUGUUCUAUCUGCUAAUUGAAUACUCAUCCUAGUUUGUUUGAGUUUUCCAAGACCUAAUUGCUUAAACAUUUUAUAGGGCAUGACAUUGAUACCGCCCCUAAAUCAGCUAAAACAUUUUAUAGGGCAUGACAUCGAACUUUGGUCGUUGCGAUGAGGCUUGACAGUAUAUUGCAUCGCAACAAGGAACCCCCUCAUGUCACGACGUCAAUCCUAUAUUUUGAAUUAUUUACAAUUUGGUCAUAUUUCUAUCUUAGGUUAGCUUUAGGGCUUUCUUAAGCUCGUGUAAGAUUUAGAUAUGAUUGUAUAUCGUAUUGAAUGAAUGUUUUGGUUGAAUUUAAUCAUAUAAUAGUAUAAAUUGAUUGUAAAUGAUCGUAGUUGCUCCGGCAAUAAAUGUGGCCUCCUAUAACUCAGACUCAACGAUCGAGUCGGGUACAGAGUAUUAGAAUUAUUAUUUUCAAGCUUAAUCUCUCCAAACCCUUAUAAUAAUAACUUGACAUGUACUUAAUAAUUGAAGAAUCUAAAGUGUGGACUAGCUUAAUCAAGUUUAAUUGAUGAUAAAUCUAUGAAAAUUUCAAAGGAAAAAAUUUCUUACCUUUGUUGAUUAUGGACCACAAUUACUUUAUUUGUGUUCUUCCUAAAUUAGGAUGGCAAAAUGGAGAAAGUGAUAUGUUUCUCUCUCCCACUAAUAUUACCUAUUUAUACUUUGAUUAAUAUCUUUAUUAAAUUUAAUUAAACUUUAAUUAAUGCUUAUUGAAUGGUUAAAACCAACUAUUAUUAGUGGCAAUCCAUCCACUCACCAUGAAUUCUUUAUGGUUAAAUAACCAUGAAGCCCCUUAAAGAAUUAUCAUAUAAGUCCUCAUUUAUUUUCUAAAUUAAAACUCAAUAACAAUUAUAUUUUUAUAAUUUAAUCCCUAUACUAUAAUUAACAAUUUUCUCAAUUUAUUAACUCGACCAUUCACUAAUAUAUUUUCAAAUUAAAUACGUAAAUUCUUCUAUUCAUAAUCUCACUGAUUCAAUUUAUGGAAUUCAGUUUGUGAAUUUUCUUUAGAGUUGUUACAAUAUAUGUAAUAGUUGUUUCGACAUUAAAUGAAAUGAUAUAAAACAAUAAAAAUAAGAACAUAAAAAAAUGGUUAAUAUAUGUGGAGGUACUUAAACUUGAAAUUUUAACUUACUUAGUACUUAAAUUUUUUUUCAGACUUAAUUGGUACCUAAACUUAGAAACUGUAAACCAACUUGGUACUCUUUUUAGGUACCUAACUAACACCGUUUAUUUUUACAGACCUAACCAAUCCUUUCAUGCCACGUGCAUUAAAAGAUAAUCAGAUUUUGAAAUGUGUAAUAAAAAAGAUUUAAUUUAAAUUAUUUUAAAAUCAAUAAAUUAAAUUACAUAAAAAAGCUCUUAAUUUAUUUCUUAAUUUUUUCUACCCGCCCCCUUUCUUUCUCCCAAGUCCCUCACCACUCUUAAUUCUGAAACCCCAUAUCAAUAUAUUUUUUGUUGAUUCAACUGGUAUUGGUUCAAUUGUUGAUUCAAUCAGUUUUAAUCGGUUCGGACUAGUCACCCUAUCGAUUCUCAGUCCAACUAAUCCGAUCAAACAGUCCAAUCCAAUUCAAAUAACAUUGAAAAAACACAUAAUUUAAUUAUAAUUAAUAUUUAAAUAUUACAGUCUAAAACAUUUUUUCUCGAAUAUUUAAAAGUAUCCAUCAACAUGUUUUGACAAAGCAAUGAAGAAUUUUUUAUAUUCUUUAAUAAUUUUAAAAAUUUUAAUAAUAUUUACAUGGUUUUAUAAUUUUAUUUUUAGGUAUAAUGACUUAUUUGAUCUUUCAAUUUUAAAAAAAUCAUUUUAGCUACCCAUUUAAUUUUUCAUCUCUUUUAACCUUUAAAUUUGCAUUGUUUAUCAAAUCAUCCUAAAAUGAAUGGUAAAGUUAACGCGUAUUAACUUUGCUGACGUGACAUCAACAUGGCAAUCCACAUGUAUACCAUAUUAGCAAUUAAUUAAUUUUAAAAAAUUUAAAAACAUUAAAAAAUAUUUUAUAAUUUUAUAUUAUUUUUAAUAAUUUUUAAUUUUUAAAAGAAAAAAUAAUUGUUUAUGUGACAUCCGUGUGAAAAUCUAUGUGUAUGUCACAUUAACAAAGUUAACAAAAUUAAAUUUUUCAUCCAUUUUGAAAUAAAUUGACAAACAACACAAAUUUAAAUGUUUUAAAAAAUAAAAUAUUAAAUAAAAAUUUAAAACAUUUUUUAAAUAAAAAACAAAAUAAAUUAUUAUGCUUUUUAAUUAAUUAUUAACGUCGCAUAUAAAAUAAAAUAAUGUCACACCAAUAAUAUAUACAUACAUGUGACAUCCACGUGGGUAAAUUAACAGCAUCAUUAACUUUUAAUAAGAUGGUAUAGUCAACAUUUUAGAUGACGUUACUUAAAAAAAUAAUAUUUUAAUUAAAAAGAGUGGUGACCACACCCCUUUUUCACCUGUACUUUAUAUUUUUAUAUUUUAUAAUUUAAUUUAUUUUUAUAAAAAUAAUUGAGUUGUUUUAUUUUUAUAAUUUUAAAUUUUUAAUAUUUUAUAAGUAUAUAUUUUUUAAUAUUUAGAAUAAUUACCGAGUUGAUAAUGUGUAAACGUUGAAAAUAUAAUGUAUUCUUUUUGAUGACCAAAUACGUUUUAAUAGUGGAGUGACUUAACGAAAGUAACGAAAUUAACUAAAUAAAUUUGAUGACCAAAAUAGGAACUCGCUAAAAAAUUUGAGUGACUAUUUAAAUAGUUUAUCCUAAUAUUUUUAUGUUAAUUUUAUUAAAAUUUAUCAAUUUGUUCAUUAUUUUAAAUAUUCAAAAUUUUAAAAUGAUAAAAAAUAUGAAAAUAAAACAAUUUAACUAUUUUUUAUUAAAUAAAACAAAAUUAUAAGAACUAUAAAAUAUAAAUAUAAAACUAAAAAAUUUAUAAAAAGUAUGUCGCCAAAAUAUUGUUAUUAUUUAUUUAUUAUUAAAAUAUUAUUUUUUAAAUAAAAAUCAUAUUUAUUUUAAAAACAAAAUAAAAAAAUUGUUUAUUUAAAAUAAAAUCACGUGUUUUGUAAAAUAUACAAAAUCUAACGCGCCACCCCACCUUUUUCACAUGUAAUAAUAGUUCACAUGUGAAGACUGCUUUGAGGGAAAGACUUUUUAUUAUUAUAAAUAUAUAUAAAUCCAUCAAUCCCUCCACGUGUGAUUUCACCGUCCACCAACGUUACCACUUUUCUAUAUAAAUCUACUUCCACUCUUCCUCAUUUUCUCAACAAUAUCUCCACUUUCCUUCUCUCCAAACACAAUUCACUAAAGCAAAGACAGCUAGAAGAAGAAGGAAUGGCCGCCUCGGGUAAAUAUAAUUUCCAAUUUUCCCAGUUCUGAAAGAAACCCAUCCAUUUUUUACAUUCAUAUUUUCGAUUUGAUGAUUUGUCACUUUGGGGUGAUCAUGUUUAAUAUUUCUGGGGUUUUGUGCUUGUUUCAGAUAAAGUUCAAGAACUGCAUGUAUAUGAGAUGAAUGAAAGAGAUCGUGGUAGUCCAGCUUACCUUCGUUUAAGUCAGAAACCUGUUAACUCACUUGGUGAUAUUGUCCCUUUUAGCAACAAAGUAAGUUUUUUUUUUCUGAAUUAAUUUAUCGAAUUAACCAAAUAGUUAUUGAUAUAUAUGUAAUUACAGAUAUAUAGGGGAGAUUUGGAGAAACGGAUAGGAAUAACAGCAGGGAUGUGUAUAUUGAUAGAGCAUAAACCCGAACUGAAAGGUGACCGCUACGAAGCCAUCUUCAGCUUUUACUUCGGAGACUACGGUCACAUAGCGGUGCAGGGACCUUACUUGACUUACCAGGACUCGUAUCUCGCUAUUACUGGUGGAUCUGGCAUUUUUGAAGGUGUCUCUGGUCAGGUCAAGCUCCACCAAAUCGUCUUCCCCUUUAAGAUUUUCUACACUUUCUAUUUGAAGGGAAUUGGUGAACUCCCAGAAGAGCUGCUUUGCAAGCCGGUUGACCCACACCCAG
rnacentral:lncRNA from 1 species